CUAUCUAUCUAUCUAUCCAUCUAUCUAUCUAUCUAUCUAUCUAUCUAUCUAUCUAUCUGUCUAUCUAUCUAUCCAUCUAUCCAUCUAUCCAUCUAUCUAUCUCAAUGCACCUAUCUAUCUAUCCAUCUAUCCAUCUAUCUAUCUCUCCAUCUAUCCAUCUAUCUAUUCAUCUAUCCAUCCAUCUACUAUCCAUCUAUCUAUCCAUCCAUCCAUCUAUCUAUCCAUCCAUCGAUCNNNNNNNNNNNNNNNNNNNNNNNNNNNNNNNNNNNNNNNNNNNNNNNNNNNNNNNNNNNNNNNNNNNNNNNNNNNNNNNNNNNNNNNNNNNNNNNNNNNNNNNNNNNNNNNNNNNNNNNNNNNNNNNNNNNNNNNNNNNNNNNNNNNNNNNNNNNNNNNNNNNNNNNNNNNNNNNNNNNNNNNNNNNNNNNNNNNNNNNNNNNNNNNNNNNNNNNNNNNNNNNNNNNNNNNNNNNNNNNNNNNNNNNNNNNNNNNNNNNNNNNNNNNNNNNNNNNNNNNNNNNNNNNNNNNNNNNNNNNNNNNNNNNNNNNNNNNNNNNNNNNNNNNNNNNNNNNNNNNNNNNNNNNNNNNNNNNNNNNNNNNNNNNNNNNNNNNNNNNNNNNNNNNNNNNNNNNNNNNNNNNNNNNNNNNNNNNNNNNNNNNNNNNNNNNNNNNNNNNNNNNNNNNNNNNNNNNNNNNNNNNNNNNNNNNNNNNNNNNNNNNNNNNNNNNNNNNNNNNNNNNNNNNNNNNNNNNNNNNNNNNNNNNNNNNNNNNNNNNNNNNNNNNNNNNNNNNNNNNNNNNNNNNNNNNNNNNNNNNNNNNNNNNNNNNNNNNNNNNNNNNNNNNNNNNNNNNNNNNNNNNNNNNNNNNNNNNNNNNNNNNNNNNNNNNNNNNNNNNNNNNNNNNNNNNNNNNNNNNNNNNNNNNNNNNNNNNNNNNNNNNNNNNNNNNNNNNNNNNNNNNNNNNNNNNNNNNNNNNNNNNNNNNNNNNNNNNNNNNNNNNNNNNNNNNNNNNNNNNNNNNNNNNNNNNNNNNNNNNNNNNNNNNNNNNNNNNNNNNNNNNNNNNNNNNNNNNNNNNNNNNNNNNNNNNNNNNNNNNNNNNNNNNNNNNNNNNNNNNNNNNNNNNNNNNNNNNNNNNNNNNNNNNNNNNNNNNNNNNNNNNNNNNNNNNNNNNNNNNNNNNNNNNNNNNNNNNNNNNNNNNNNNNNNNNNNNNNNNNNNNNNNNNNNNNNNNNNNNNNNNNNNNNNNNNNNNNNNNNNNNNNNNNNNNNNNNNNNNNNNNNNNNNNNNNNNNNNNNNNNNNNNNNNNNNNNNNNNNNNNNNNNNNNNNNNNNNNNNNNNNNNNNNNNNNNNNNNNNNNNNNNNNNNNNNNNNNNNNNNNNNNNNNNNNNNNNNNNNNNNNNNNNNNNNNNNNNNNNNNNNNNNNNNNNNNNNNNNNNNNNNNNNNNNNNNNNNNNNNNNNNNNNAUCUAUCUAUCUAUCUAUCUAUCUAUCUAUCUAUCUAUCUAAAGGAAAUAUGCCCUAGAUGCAAUAAUAAAGUUGUCAUUUAUAUUUCCUUAUAUCAUGAUAAACUAGCGGAGUCACCCGCGCAUUUGCGCGGCUAGAUUGACUACAUAUAUUGUCAUAUUUGGGAUUAUUUUUCUAUGCCAAUUUUAUGGCCACUUACUCAGAUAUUAUCUAAUUGAAUUUACCACCACCAUAUGUUAUAUCCAUAGAUUAGAAUUAAAAGGCAACUUUCGACAAAACAUGGACAGAUUAUUGAGUGCUCAGAAGACGGACGCAAUAUCAUAUAUAGACUUCUAUACCAAUCUUCAUGGUUCCCAUCUUUGAUCCUCUCCUCGACCCUUGGUAUCUAUCUUUGCACCCAAUAUGUCUUUGGAGUUCCAAGAAUUGAAUCUUAGCAUGAAUGGCUUCAAUGUGUACCAAAUGUUCUCUUGUUCCUCCCAAAUUAAUUACUGGUUGCAUUCUUAGUUGCUUUGACAUUCUUGGUUAAUGCAAUGUCUUGCCUACCAAUAUAUGCAUCCACACACGAUCAUAUUUAUAUGACCACUUACCUCUGUAUUCUGGUAUUUGUGCUUCAGAAUUUUUCUCUCAUUCAGUUUAUUCAUAGAUUAAAAACGUCGAUCGUUUCUUUAUUGGUUUGCAUUAUCUUGUUUGCCGAACGUAAGCAUCCACAGAUGCUCGUCAUGAUAUGAUUGGUCAUCAUUGUAUAUUUGUAUUUGUGUGUUGAUAGCUUAAGGAUUUUCUCGGAUUCACUUCAUAGUUUAAGGAUUUUCUCGCGUUCAAUUUAUUCUACCUUAUUCAUUUUCAUGUUUCUUUAUUGCAUUUAUAUCAAUUCUUACAAUAUAUUUUCCAAGAUAUGAACUCAACUACUAAUUAUGUAGUUUUUCAUCAAAAUUUACAUGUAAAAAUGGUACAAAUGCAUAAACAUGAUAAAAAUAUAUAUCAUAUUCCAUUGAGAGAUCGCCCAUUUAAAAAAACACGUUGACUUACAAAAAGGACAAUUCAAGCUGCAUGUACGUCCGACUCAUGUUUACCUGACAAUGUCGAUGUUGAUUUCAGCAGUAAAUGAGCUGUGUGUGACCUUUGCGCUUUCCGGUAUUCUUCUAUCCUGUGUGCUUUAUGAUCAAUUUGUUGUGCUUAGUACUGGACACUGGAGUAUACUAUCAUAUUUGGUACAAAUAAAUCUGAACUACUAUAGUUAUGAUCCACUGUAUAGUUAAUGUGGUGGUAAUUAAUAUAUGUGAUUAAAUACUUGCGCUCCUUAGGUGGGGAGUUGGAUUUGUAUUUCCCUAAAAUAAAUUUCAGAUUUCGUAAUAGUGGUGAAGCCAGCCGGAAGAACCUCUACGUCAUUAUUAAUUUUGGUGAUAUUUUUCUUCAUAGUGUAGAAUAAUUUUAGUGCUUAUUCCGCAAAAAAUAUGGCCUCAACUGACCCCAUAGCUUGUAUGUUGCGCCACCACUGUUUCCUAUAUCUUAUUACAUCCGUUGUUUUUAGAUCUUGAUGCAUAACUUUGACAAUUUUUAAUAGAUAUGUGUCUGUAUAAAAAUUAUAAAUGCUAUGAUAAUUUGAUUAAUUAUGAUGAAUAAAAUGUUAUUGCUCUGACUUGAUCCCUCUAGAAUUUUCCAAAAUUUCACAUUACAGUUGUAGUAGUGCAUGCUACCUCUUGAGCAUUGCGUUAGUUUUCCCUUGAAGAGGAAAGGGUGAUGCAGUAAAGCAGCGUCAGUAUUUCCCUCAGUUUUUGAGAAGCAAGGUAUCAAUCCAGUAGGAGGCCACGCACGAGUCCCUCGCACCUACACAAACAAAUAAAAUCCUCGCAACCAACGCAAUAAAGGGGUUGUCAAUCCCUUCACGGUCACUUACGAAAGUGAGAUCUGAUAGAUUUGAUAAGAUAAUAUUUUUGGUAUUUUUAUGAUAAAGAUGCAACGUAAAGAAAGCAAAAUAAAAACAGCGCUAGAAAUAGCUUGUUGACGGGAGAUUAAAUAUGAUGGAAAAUAGACCGGGGGGCCGUAGGUUUCACUAGUGGCUUCUCUCGAGAGCAUAAGUAUUUCGGUGGGUAGACAAAUUACUGUUGAGCAAUUGACAGAAUUGAGCAUAGUUAUGAGAAUAUCAAGGUAUGAUCAUGUAUAUAGGCAUCACGUCCGAGGCAAGUAGCCCGACUCCUGCCUGCAUCUACUACUAUUACUCCACACAUCGACCGCUAUCCAGCAUGCAUCUAGAGUAUUAAGUUCAAAAGAACAGAGUAACGCUUUAAGUAAGAUGACAUGAUGUAGAGGGAUAAACUCAUGCAGUAUGAUAUAAACCCCAUCUUGUUAUGCUCGAUGGCAACAAUACAAUACGUGCCUUGCUGCCCCUACUGUCACUGGGAAAGGACACCGCAAGAUUGAACCCAAAGCUAAGCACUUCUCCCAUCGCAAGAAAGAUCAAUCUAGUAGGCCAAACCAAACUGAUAAUUUGAAGAGACUUGCAAAGAUAACCAAUCAUACAUAAAAGAAUUCAGACAAGAUUCAAAUAUUGUUCAUAGAUAAACUUGAUCAUAAACCCACAAUUCAUCGGUCUCAACAAACACACCGCAAAAGAAGAUUACAUCGAAUAGAUCUCCACAAGAGAGGGGGAGAACAUUGUAUUGAGAUCCAAAAAGAGAGAAGAAGCCAUCUAGCUAAUAACUAUGGACCCGAAGGUCUGAGGUAAACUACUCACACAUCAUCGGAGAGGCUAUGGUGUUGAUGUAGAAGCCCUCCAUGAUCGAUGCCCCCUCCGGCGGAGCUCCGGAAAAGGCCCCAAGAUGGGAUCUCAUGGGUACAGAAGGUUGCGGCGAUGGAAUUAGGUUUUUGGCUCCGUAUCUGGUAGUUUUGGGGGUACGUAGGUAUAUAUAGGAGGAAGAAGUACGUCGGUGGAGCAACGUGGGCCCCACGAGGGCGCGCCCCCUACCUCAUGCCUUCCUGGUAGAUUUCUUGACGUAGGGUCCAAGUCCUCUAGAUCACGUUCGUUCCCAAAAUCACGUUUCCGAAGGUUUCAUUCCGUUUGGACUCCGUUUGAUAUUCUUUUUCUGUGAAACUCUGAACUAGGCAAAAAACAGCAAUUCUGGGGUGGGCCUCCGGUUAAUAGGUUAGUCCCAAAAAUAAUAUAAAAGUGUAUAAUAAAGCCCAUUAAUGUCUAAAACAGAAUAUAAUAACGUUGGAGACGUAUCAAGCAUCUCCAAGCUUAAUUCCUGCUCGUCCUCGAGUAGGUAAAUGAUAAAAACAGAAUUUUUAAUGUGGAAUGCUACUUGGCAUAAUUUGAAUGUAAUUCUCUUAAUUGUGGUAUGAAUAUUUAGACCCGAAAGAUUCAAGACAAAAGUUUAAUAUUGACAUAAAAAUAAUAAUACUUCAAGCAUACUAACUAAGCAAUUAUGUCUUCUCAAAAUAACAUGGCCAAAGAAAGUUAUCCCUACAAAAUCAUAUAGUCUAGCUAUGCUCUAUCUUCACCACACAAAGUAUUUAAAUUAUGCACAACCCCGAUGACAAGCCAAGCAAUUGUUUCAUACUUUUGAUGUUCUCAAACUUUUUCAAUCUUCACGCAAUACAUGAGCAUGAGCCAUGGACAUAGCACUAUAUGUGGAAUAGAAUGGUGGUUGUGGAGAAGACAAAAAAGGAGAAGAUAGUCUCACAUCAACUAGGCGUAUCAACGGGCUAUGGAGAUGCCCAUUAAUAGAUAUCAAUGUGAGUGAGUAGGAAUUGCCAUGCAACAGAUGCACUAGAGCUAUAAGUAUAUGAAAGCUCAACAAAAGGAACUAAGUGGGUGUGCAUCCAACUCACUUGCUCAUGAAGACCUAGGGCAUUUUGAGGAAGCCCAUCAUUGGAAUAUACAAGCCAAGUUCUAUAAUGAAAAUUUCCCACUAGUACAUGAAAGUGAUAUCAUAGGAGACUCUCUAUCAUGAAGAUCAUGGUGCUACUUUGAAGAACAAGUGUGGUAAAACGAUAGUAACAUUGUCCCUUCUCUCUUUUUCUCUCUUUUUUAUUUGGGUCUUUUAUCCUUUUUUUAUGGCCUCUUUUUUUUUAGUCCGAAGACUCAUCACGACUUGUGGGGGAAUCAUAGUCUCCAUCAUCCUUUCCUCACUUGGGACAAUGCUCUAAAAAAAUGAUGAUCAUCACACUUUUAUUUACUUACAACUCAACAAUUACAACUCAAUACUUAGAACAAAAUAUGACUCUAUGUGAAUGCCUCCGACGGUAUAUCGUGAUAUGCAAUGAAUCAAGAGUGACAUGUAUGAAAGAAUUAUGAACGGUGGCUUUGCCACAAAUACAAUGUCAACUACAUGGUCAUGGAAAGCAAUAUGACAAUGAUGGAGUGUGUCAUAAUAAACUGAACGGUGGUAAGUUGCAUGGCAAUAUAUCUCGGAAUGGCUAUGGAAAUGCCACGGUAGGUAGGUAUGGUGGCUGUUUUGAGGAAGGUAUAUGGUGGGUGUAUGAUACCGGCGAAAAGUGCGCGGUAUUAGAGAGGCUAGCAAUGGUGGAAGGAAGAAAGUGCGUAUAAUCCAUGGACUCAACAUUAGCCAUAAAGAACUCAUAUACUUAUUGCAAAAAUCUACAAGUUAUCGAAGCAAAGUAUUACCCGCAUCAUUCUAGGGGGAUAGAUUGGUAGGAAAAGACAAUCACUCGUCCCCGACCGCCACUCAUAAGGAAGACAAUCAAUAAAUAAAUCAUGCUCCGACUUCAUCACAUAACGGUUCACCAUACGUGCAUGCUAAGGGAAUCACAAACUUUAACACAAGUAUUUCACAAAUUCAAAACUACUCAACUAGCAUGACUCUAAUAUCACCAUCUCCAUAUCUCAAAACAAUUAUCAAGUAUCAAACUUCUCAUAGUAUUCAACACACUCAUAAGAUUUUUUUACUAAUCUUGAGUGCCUAUCAUAAUUAAAGCAAAUUACCACGCUGUUUUGUAGGACUAUCAAAAUAAUCUAAGUGAAUCAUGAGAGAACAAUAGUUUCUAUAAAACAAAACCACCACCGUGCUCUAAAAGAUAUACGUGAAGCACUAGAGCAAAAACUAUAUAGCUCAAAGGAUAUAAGUGAAGCACAUAGAGUAUUCUAACAAUUUCUGAAUCAUGUGUGUCUCUCUCAAAAGGUGUGUACUGCAAGGAUUAUUGUGGCAAACUAACAAAUAAAGACUUCAAAUAAUACAAGACGCUCCAAGCAAAACACAUAUCAUGUGGUGAAUAAAAAUAUAGCUCCAAGUAAAGUUACCGAUGGAAGUAGACGAAAGAGGGGAUGCCUUCCGGGGCAUCCCCAAGCUUUGGGUUUUAGGUGUCCUUAGAUUAUCUUGGUGUGCCAUGGGCAUCCCCAAGCAUAGGCUCUUGCCACUCCUUGUUUCAUAAUCCAUCAAAUCUUUCACCCAAAACUUGAAAACUUCACAACACAAAACUCAGCAGAAAAUCUCGUGAGCUCCGUUAGCAAAAAACAAAACACCACUUCAAGGUACUGUAAUGAACUCAUUCUUUAUUUAUGUUGGUGUUAAACCUACUGUAUUCCAACUUCUGUAUGGUUUAUAAACUAUUUUACUAGCCAUAGAUUCAUCAAAAUAAGCAAACAACACACGAAAAACAGAAUCUGUCAAAAACAGAACAGUCUGUAGUAAUCUGUAACUAACGCAAUUUUCUGGGACUCCAAAAAUUGACCCAAAAUAGGAAGACCUAGACAAUUUUUUUAUUGAUCAGCAGCAAUUGGAAUUAAUAUUUUAUCACGUCCUGGUGAUUUUUAACAAUUAUUUUCGUGAACAGAAAGUUUCUGGAAUUUUCAGCAAGAUCAAAUAACUAUCAUCCAAGAAGAUCCUAUAGGUUAAACUUGGCACAAACACUAAUUAAAACAUAAAAACACAUGUAACCAGAGGCUAGAUCAAAUAUUUAUUCCUAAACAAAAGAAAAAAUCAUAAAAACUAAAAAUAAAAUUGGGUUGCCUACCAACAAGCGCUAUCGUUUAACGCCCCUAGCUAGGCAUAAUAGCAAUGAUAGAUCUAGGUAUUGCCAUCUUUGGUAGGCAAUCCAUAAGUGGCUCUCAUAAUAGAUUCAUAAGGUAAUUUUAUUUUCUUUCUAGGGAAGUGUUCCAUGCCUUUCCUUAAUGGAAAUUGGAAUCUAAUAUUCCCUUCCUUCGUAUCAAUAAUUGCACCAAUCGUUCUAAGGAAAGGUCUACCAAGAAUAAUAGGACAUGAAGGAUUGCAAUCUAUAUCAAGAACAAUAAAAUAUAUGGGCACAUAAUUCCUAUUUGCAACAAUAAGAACAUCAUCAAUUCUUCCCAUAGAUUUCUUAAUGGUGGAAUCCGCAAGGUGCAAGUUUAAAGAGCAAUCAUCAAAAUCACGGAAACCUAGCAAAUCGCACAAAAUCUUUGCAAUCGUGGAAACACUAGCACCCAAAUCACACAAAGCAUAGCAUUCAUGAUCUUUAAUUUUAAUUUUAAUAGUAGGUUCCCACUCAUCAUAAAGUUUUCUAGGGAUAGAAACUUCCAACUCAAGUUUUUCUUCAUAAGAUUGCAUCAAAGCAUCAACGAUAUGUUUAGUAAGGCUUUAUUUUGACUAUAAGCAUGUGGAGAAUUUAGCACGGAUUGCAACAAGGAAAUACAAUCUAUCAAAGAGCAAUUAUCAUAAUUAAAUUCCUAGAAAUCCAAAAUAGUGGGUUCAUUAAUAUCUAGAGUUUUGAUUUCUUCAAUCCCACUUUUACCAUUUUUUGCAUCAAGAUCUAAAAACUCCGAAUUUUUGGAACGCCUUCUAGGUAGAGGUGGAUCAUAUUCAGUCCCAUCAUUAUCAAGAUUCAUAUUGCAAAACAAAGAUUUAAUAGGGGACACAUCAAUAACUUUUAGAUCUUCAUCUUUAUUUUCAUAGAAACUAGAAGAACACGCUUUCACAAAACAAUCUUUCUUAGCACGCAUCCUAGCGGUUCUUUCUUUGCACUCAUCAAUGGAAAUUCUCAUGGCCUUGAGAGACUCAUUGAUAUCAUGCUUAGGAGAAAUUGUAUCAGCGUUCCUAGCCAAUUCAUCAAAUUUAAGCAAUUUUUCUUCAAGCAAAGCAUUGAAAUUGUUUUGCGAAUUCAUAAAUUCUUUAACACUAGUCUCAAAUUCAGAAGGCAUCUUAUUAAAAUUUCCAUAAUAAUUGUUGUAGGAAUUACCAUAAUUAUUAGAGGAAUUACUAGGAUACGACCUUGGAUUAAAGUUUCCUCUAUACGCGUUGUUACCAAAAUUAUUCCGACCAACAAAAUUCACAUCCAUAGAUUCAUUAUUAUUCUCAAUCAAAGUAGACAAAGGCAUAUCAUUAGGAUCAGAAGAAACACUUUUAUUAGCAAAUAAUUUCAUAAGUUCAUCCAUCUUUCCACUCAAAACAUUAAUUUCUUCUAUCGCAUGCACUUUUUUAUUAGUGGAUUUUUCGGUGUGCCAUUGAGAAUAAUUAACUAUAAUAUUAUCUAGGAGUUUAGUAGCUUCUCCUAAAGUGAUUUCCAUAAAAGUGCCUCCCGCGGCCGAAUCUAAAAGAUUUCUAGAAGAAAAAUUCAAUCCGGCAUAAAAUUUUUGUAUAAUCAUCCACAAAUUCAAACCAUGAGUAGGGCAAUUACGUAUCAUUAAUUUCAUCCUCUCGCAAGCUUGUGCAACAUGUUCAUGAUCAAGUUGCUUAAAAUUCAUAAUAUCAUUUCUAAGAGAGAUGAUCUUAGCGGGAGGAAAAUACUUAGAGAUAAAAGCAUCUUUGCACUUAUUUCAAGAAUCACUACUAUUUUUAGGCAAAGACAAAAACCAAGCUUUAGCACGAUCUCUAAGCGAAAAAGGAAAUAGCUUCAAUUUAACAAUAUCUUUGUCCACAUCUUUCUUCUUUUGCAUAUCACACAAAUCAACGAAGUUGCCAUGUCUAGGAAUGCUUGAAGCUUCAAAGAUUUCCUAUAAUACAACAUGCCUCUAACUAUUCACAAUAAGAAAAACAUGUAAAUGCGGAAUCAACCAAAUGAUGGUAAAUUGUAGUUGAUUUUGGCCAAGCAAACGUGAGAUGAAAGAAACAUACAUGAGUGAACAUCACGAUUGGAUGUUUUAUUCAAAUUUAACAGGUUAAACUCACCAAAUCCAUCUGGAUAUUUAGUAUUAAACUUUAACAGAUGGUCAGUUGUAGCUAGAUUCACACCACUGAAGCAAAAUUCCAUCUGCCACGGUUACAUCACACCAUCUUUUCAUCGUUACUAUUUAAAUUCCAAAUGCCUGCAACUCAUUUUUUUGUUAUGAUGUAUGCAUGAUUUUUAACUCAAGAGGAAGAGGGGAAACUAAAUCCAAGAAAAGAACACCAAGGAAGCAUCCAAAAUAGAGAAAGGAAAAAUCCAAAAUAGAGGCAGAAUCGAAGGGAAGAAACCCCAUAAAAAAUAGGAGAUCAAACGGUGAAAAAAAUCUAAGAGUCAAACAAUUCCAGGUAAGACCAAAUCGACGGCAAAAUAGCACAAGAGGGACUCACAUUAACAGGUAUACCAGGUAUACCAAUUCAGAAAGAAGUGUAAAGCGAACAGUGCAAUGGACCACUAGUAUAAAUUGGAUGUACACAAACAUGGGACUUAAACAGGAACUGCGAGAUGCAGGGUUCACGUGCAAACCCAAAAAACGGAAAACUGAAACCCACAACAAGAUUUUAUCUUCAUGUUUGUGUAUUAGUUGCUUCUUCCGAAUCCCCACCUAUCAAGCGUUUUCUCUGAAUAAACAAACAGAAUAGUAUUCUCUGAAUUAUACUGUACAACGGUAUUUAACAAAGCGACUGGAAUUAACAAUAUUAUGAGCUAUUGGCUUUUUAGUCAGGUAAAUAUCAUUCUUAAGACUACGGAAAACAGCAGGCGGCGAAGAAAACAUCUAUUGAUGAGAACUAUACACAUACUUAAGAAGGAAGUGACAUCUAUGGUAGCAGAACAUAUAUCAAGCUGUUGCAGCUACAUUAGCAGUUUAGCACAGUUCCUCCAUAAUACACAGGCUAGUGUAAUUUCACAAAUACAAUAAGCUAACAAUAUAUAUUUGGUAGAUGGAAAUGGCUGGAUCAUGACCAAUAUACCAUUACACAUCCGAUGAUGCAAAUAAAGAAACGAGGCCCAACAAUAGUGGAAAAUAAACCACAAUAGAACAUGUAUUUGGCGAAACCUCCAUACUGCAAUAUCAAACAUGAAUUGAAAUUAACAAUCUAGCAAAAAAACAUGACAGAUGCAGUCUUGGUCAUUUUUCCUUUUGUGACAUCCCCUAAAAAAGUAAAAACAAUGUUGUUCGUAUUUUACCAGAGAUACACUGAGCUGGGACAAUUCGGUCUGAAAUAAAAUAUGAUGGCUUCGGAGGAUUCGGAAGGCAAGAAAUUUGCUUUCUUCCAACAUAUAUGGUCUGCUGAACUAAACUUCGUUUCAACGGGCUUUGGCAAAAAUUUGUAACUGCAAACAUCAACUUGUGUGCCCGUCCUACGUCAAACUUUAACCCUGACGGAUUAAAUAUUUUAGGUUAGGCUGAGAUCAGUGUACUUUAUGAGUGUUAAGUGUACUUUCUAAAUAGCAGAGAAACCAUAACAUCUAAGCACAACCCAGCAACUUGUACAAGCUAACAUCAAAUCUGAAAGAGGAAAUGUCGAGAACAGGUGAAGGUACCAUGAUCCACGACUGAGCAAAGUUAUCUAUAAUCCUCGGUGAAUAUCAUAAAUUAGGAUCAACUACGCUGAAGAACAAACGGGAAAGGAACCUAGAAAGAUCUUCUGCCGGUAGAAUAUAACUGAUACACUAUCCUCAUUCUCGAGAUCAAGGUCGUUUCUUGAAUUGCAGUUUCCUCACUGUAGUAUGGGGUCAUUACACUGCGAAGAACAAAGUGUCAUAUGAAUCAUUUAGAGCCCAAUAUUUUUCACUGAAACUCUUAUGAUCACAUAACGAAUUUAAACAUAAGGUUUAUUAGAUAUUUGUUGUUGUGAACAGAUAAUAUAUUUCUGGUGUUGACAAUGUUUUGAUUAUGGAUGCACUUCAAGAUGGGUGGCACAGAUUCUGUUGUACAGGCCUCCACCUGGAAUUUCAUCACUUGUUAUUUUUGUUUUAGAAUGUCUAGGUGCAUUUUUCCUUUAAGGUGGAAACAGAUGUACUUGUAUAAGCAACAAGAAUACAAAGCGCCACUGCCAUACAUUGUGGAAGUUCAGUGCUUCUGUUUACAAAAUCUGCUUCCCAAAACAGAAGGAUUUAUAAUUUUUUAUUACAAUCAAGCGGACAUGAGCUGAUGAGUACAGAUGUAGACAUGUACUGAGAGCAGCACCCUUUCAAAAGUGGAUCAUUUACAAGUUGGAUAGUUUGAUGGUCUGAAAUUAGUGGUCGUGUUUCAGAAUUGUUAUCGAAUAGUAGGGGAUAUAUAUUAACUUCUGAAAUUAGUGGCUGUUUGUCAGAACUGUUAUCGAAUAACAGAGCACAUAUAUUAACUUCAAUAAGUGGAGUAAUAUUUUUGGAUUCGCUGUGAGGAAAGAUUACCAAAACAAAACAGAAGUGAGUGCGAGGACCCAGAUCAAGGCGCUCUUGAGCCUCUUCCCGACCGACCUAGAUGCAGGAGCAGAACACGGCGGAUCUAAUCAGCCAACGAAUAAAGCUGAGGCAGGUAGAGGAAGUAAGGGAGGAAGAAGACUGACUUUUCCUGGUCGCCCUCGUAGUAGAACCUGUGUUUUGAUUUUCGGCCGAAAAAAGUGGAUUUCGGCCAUCUCGGCCUGGGGCGAAAAGUGUAUUUAGGCCGAAAUUGUUCAAAUUUAGCAAAUUUUGGUCAAAUUUAAGUCAAAUUGCAGUCAAAAUUUGGUCAAAUUUCAGCCGAAAUUUUUGAAAAUGGCCGAAAUUCGGCCAUCUCAGCCUAGGGAGAAAAAAAAGCUCAAACCGAAAAUCAAAACACAGAGUAGAACAUGGCGAACAGGAUGACGAGGAAGACGAGGACAGCGUCGAGGAUGUAGACGACGAGCCAGAGCGUGUUCAUGGGCAGGAUCAAGCAUGGGCAGGAUAAGGGCGCAGGCCCCGUUGUAGGCGGCGUGCUUGCAGGCCUGGCGGUUGGCGACGUCGGCGGGGAGCAUGAGGAUGGCGAGGACGGCGACGGUGAUGCCGAGCACGACGACGAGCUUGAGGAAGUAGGCCUGGUUGGCAUCAUCCGGCUGCUGGUAGUUGACGAGCAGGUAGACGCUGACGAGGAGCACCAGGAUGCUGACCACCGCCGCCACGAUCACUAGCGCCACGUUAAAAACCCCAUCUCCUCGGGGCUCCGGUCCCGGUUCCGGCCCGCCGCCUCGCCCCCAUUGGUCGGUCAGAUCUCUCUGUCCCUAGAGGCGGGGGGACACAGGCUAGGGUUUGGGCGUGGGCGGGGAAUAGGCUGCUAUGGUGCCGGCAGCGGGGCGUGUAGGAGAGAAGGAUUAGGAGGAAUAAUUCACCACACUUUGCUUAAGCUCUCGGCUGGUUCUUAUGUAUAGAUUACAGGGCCAGCCAGGGAGAUCAUGGGGUGAUCCACUACCUGGGAUCGUGCGCCACGAUCACUACAUGCGUGCGCCACGAUCAUAUACACACACGCUACACCUAGUGUCUACGCAACUACGGUAUAGCAGUACAGUACAGUCUAACACCCCCCCGCAGUCGUGACGUCGUCGGCGGCGACGCAAAGACUGGACCGGAACUCAGAGAAAACAUCCGAUGGCAGGCCUUUGGUCAUGAUGUCCGCGAGUUGUUGGCGCAUGGGGAUGUGAAGAACACGGAAGUGGCCGAGGGCGACGCGCUCCCGCACGAAAUGGAUGUCCAGCUCCACAUGCUUAGUGCGGCGAUGAUGCACCGAAUUGGCUGACAGGUAGACUGCGGACACAUUGUCAUAGUACACCAGUGCCGCCUUGGUCACUGGAGCGGAGAGCUCGCCGAGAAACUGGCGGAGCCAGAUGCAUUCAGCGACCGCGUUGGCAACGCCGUGGUAUUCAGCUUCGGCACUGGAGCGCGAUACGGUCGCCUGGCGCUUGGAGGACCAGGAGAUGAGAGCAUCGCCGAGGAAGACGCAGAAGCCCGACGUGGAGCGUCGGGUGUCGGGGCAGCCGGCCCAGUCCGCGUCGGUGAACGCACGGACGUCGAGCGUGGUCGAGGCGCGAAGAUGAAGCCCGAGUGUGCAGGUGCCCUUCACGUACCGGAGCACGCGCUUGACGAGCGCGAGGUGACAUUCGCGCGGGUCAUGCAUGUGCAAGCAGAUUUGCUGGACGGCGUAGGCGAUCUCUGGGCGCGUGAUGGUGAGGUAGUGCAGGGCCCCGGCGAUGCUCCGAUAGGCUGAGGGGUCGUCGACGCAGGGCCCAUCGGCUGAGGGGAGUUUGCUCUUCGUGUCGAUGGGUGUCGGGGAAGGGUGGCAGGUGUCCAUGCCGGCGCGUUCCAGGAGUUCGUCGGCAUAUUGUUGUUGCGACAGGAAGAAGCCAGCUCGGGUGCGGGUCACGCGGAUGCCGAGGAAGAAGGCGAGCGAGCCCAGGUCCUUCAUGGUGAAUUCGCCUGUGAGGCGUUGGAUGACAUGGUGAAGCACGCGUGACGAGGACGCGGUGAGCACGAUGUCGUCGACGUAGAGGAGGAGGAACGCCAUGUCGUUGCCGUGCCGGAAGGUGAACAGCGACGAGUCCGAACGCGUAGCUGCGAAGCCAAUGGAGCGGACGAAGCCGGCGAAGUGGAGGAACCAGGCACGGGGCGCCUGCUUGAGCCCGUACAAGGACUUGGAGAGGCGGCGAACGUGCUCUGGUUUGUCGGGGUCGACGAAUCCGGCGGGCUGGAGGCAGUAGACUUCCUCCUCCUAGUUGCCGUGGAGGAAGGCGUUGGAGACGUCGAGGUGGUGCACCGGCCAGCCGCGUGACGCGGCCAGAGUGAGCACCGUGUGGAUCGUCGCUGGCUUGACGACGGGGGAGAACAUCUCGCCGUAGUCGACGCCGGCACGCUGAUGAAAGCCCCGCACGACCCAGUGUGCUUUGUAGCGGGCCAGCGCGCCGUCGGCGUCGUUUUUGUGCUUGAAGAUCCACUUCCCUGUGAUCAGGUUGGCGCCCGGGGGGCGGGCACCAGCUCCCACGUGCGAUUGCGCACGAGCGCAUGGCACCGAGCCAGUUCGGGUCGCGAACAGCAGCGCGAAGCGAACGUGGCACCGGCGACACCGAUGAUGAGGUAGAGGCGGUGGCCGCGUCGUAGUAGCGUGGGUUGGGGCGGAAGAUGCCGCGCUGGGCACGCGUGACCAUGGGCACAGGAGGCGCCGGUGCGCGGCGCGCCGCUGGUGGCGCGCUCGGAGACGAGCUGUCGGAGGAGCCGCUGGCGGAGUUGUCGGAGGAGCCGCUGGCGGAGGCGAAGACAGGCGGACCAGGCGCGGAUGGGCACGUCGAGGAUGGAGCCGAGCCGCCAUCGGAAGCGCCCGCAGCGUACCGCGAGCUGACGCGGCGCGCCUCGCUGGUUGGCGAGGAUGAGCGGGGCAGGCCGGUGAUGGAGAUCGGGCGCGCCGGCAGCACGGGUGACAUGCUGCUGUCAGGCACCAGUGGAAGCGCGGGCAGCGCAGGAGGCCGGACGACGAGCGGGAUCUGCAGGGUAGAGGGUAUGACGGGUGGCGUAGGCGACGGGGAAGAGGAUGCGAACGGGAAAACGUGUUCGUGGAAGAGAACGUGGCGAGACGUGAGGACGCGGCGAGAGGUGAGGUCAAAGCAGCGAAAACCACGAUGAUCGGGAGGGUACCCGAGGAAGACGCAGGCGAUAGAACGUGGCUCGAGCUUAUGGCGGGUGGUGGCGGUGACGUUCGGAUAGCAGAGGCAUCCAAAGACGCGGAGCUGCGAGUAAUCUGGGGCGACGCCGAGCAGGAGUUCAUGCGGAGUGCAGGGCGCCGAGGCGCGGUAGGGCCGACGAUUGAGCAGGUAGGUCGAGGUGUUGAGAGCCUCUGCCCAGAAGCGAGCGGGCAUGUGCGCAUGACAGAGAAGCACACGAACGCCGUCGUUGAUCGUGCGGAGAACUCGCUCGUCCUUGCCGUUCUGCUGACUGGUGUAUGGGCAGGUGAGACGGAAGUGUGUGCCGUGGCGAGCAAGCAGAGAGCGCACGGCUGCGCUGUCGAAUUCACGACCAUUGCCCAUUUGCAGUGCAAGUAUGGGUAACUGAAACUGAGUCUGAACAUAGGCAAAGAAAUCAACAAGUAUGGGAAGAACUUCAGACAUGUGUUUCAGAGGGAAAGUCCAGACAUAGUGACUGAAAUCAUCUAGUAUAACUAAGUAAAACUGAUAGCCGGAUAUGCUUACAACGGGAGCGGUCCAUACAUCAAGGUGUAAAAGCUGGAAAGAACUAGCAGUGGUGGAUGUCUGAAACGGGAGCCAGGUGUGUUUGCCAACACGACAGGCAUGACAGACAGGCGGAUCACGGCAGAACUCCAGGGACUGAUCAACAGCAACAGUGCGGAGUGCGGCAGCCCCUGGGUGGCCAUGCGUUGGUGCCGGGUGCAGGCGUGGGGUACGCCGGGGGAGGGCGGGGAGCCUGGGAGGACGGCGUGGGCGGGCCACCAAUGCCGUUGCCACGUCUGCGGCGGCGUCCGCGCCCACGCCCUUGGUUGGUGUUGCUGGGCGGGGGUGUGGGUGGUGUAGGAGAGCCGCCACGCCCGGCGACGAGAGCGUGCGCAGACUGCUGGCGAGUGGUCGACUGCUCUGCUCGGUGUUCCUCAAGCAGGACGAAGGAGCGCACCUGCAGGAACGACGGGAGCGGGACCUGCGAGGUGAUGUGAGGGAUGGCGGAGUGGAACUGCUGGUUCAGACCGCGGAGCAGGUUGAAGACCUGCCGCGAGUCGGUUACCGGCUGCCCGAGGUCGCGGAGUCGAUCCGUGAACGACUUCAUCUUGGUGCAGUACGCCAUGAUCGACAUGUCGCCCUGAACGACAUAGUGGUACUCGGCGUCGAGGUAGACAGCGCGAGCGAGGUGGUUGUCGCGGAAGAUUCCAUCGACCGCAGUCCAGAUGGCCAGAGCAGUGUCGUCCGGCUGCAUGACGACGUCGAGCAGGUCCGGCGAUAUGGUAGUGUAGAACCAGUGGACGACGACGUGAUCAGCCAUGCCCCACUCGGGAUCAUCGUGGCGGUGGAUGGCCAUGGCGUCGACGUGAGUGCGGAGGCCGAACAUGCCGAUGACGGUGUCGAAGUGGCGGCGCCACUGCGUGUAGUUGCCGGCGAGAAGGUCGAGGGUGACCGGGACAUGACGACGGAUGUCCACGGUCUGCAGGAUCGCGGAGGCGACAGGUGCUGUAGGAGGAGGAGGAGGGAUGACGGGCACCGCGGGCGCGACAGGUGCUGGAGCCGGCGGUGCGUUGGCCAGGGGGACAGCGUUGAGGACGCCGUCGGCGCCGUGCUGCGAGGAGCGAGGGGACACGACGGGGUUGUCAUCCAUGGCGGUGGAAGCGGGACUGGCGACCUGCGCGAAGGGAUUGAGCAGGUCGGGGGAGUCUGAUACCAUAUAGGAAAGAAGGAUUAGGAGGAAUAAUUCACCACACUUUGAUUGAGCUCUCGGUUGGGUCUUAUGUACAGAUUACAGGGCCAGGGAGAUCAUGGGGUGAUCCACUACCUGGGAUCGUGCGCCACGAUCACUAUAUGCGUGCGCCACGAUUAUAUACACACAUGCUACAACUAGUGUCUACGCAACUACGGUAUAGCAGUACAAUAAAGUCUAACAGGGCGGCCACCGGCGGGGAGGGCGGGAUCCGUGCGGGGUGGCGGGAUUUGGGCAGGCGGUGGGCUCGGGGGAGGGCGAUGGCAGCGAAGCAGCAAGGAGGGGCUGGAGGAGAUGAAACGAAAGAGGUCGCGUGACACAGCGACAGCGUAGUCCAAUCCCCUCGCUGCUGAUUUAAAAAAAAGGUAAUGAUAACUCCCGAACGUUCGGGAGUUAAGCAUGGCAACCCGAACGGGUUUAGAUGGCAAGUUUAGUUUGCGUGAGAUUAGGGAAACAUGGCAAUUUUCUGACAAAAGAAAUGAAAAAGGACGAAGUUGCCAUCCCCUAUCAACUAAAGUUGCCAUCCCCUAUAAAUUAAAGUUGCCAUGUAAAAACGUUCGGGACGAAAUGCUCAAAAUCCGAACGUUCGGAAGUUACUGGAUUCAAAAAAAUCCCCUUGCUGCCAAUCGCUGGCCCGUUUCUUUUUUCGCCCAAUCGCUAGGUGAUGACGUGGCUAUCGCGGGAAGGCGCCCUUGAUGCGUAGUCGAAUGGUUUUAAUUAAUAGGAAACGAGUGCUUACUCUAGUUACUGAAUCAUGUACACCAAAUAAAGCCAUUUACACGUAGUUAAUGACAAAAAAAGUUGAUGUUUGCUACGCAAAUGUGUAGUACAAAUUAAGAAGUGCAAGAUUAAAAAAAAAUGCUGGUCCUUGAUUCGUUGUUGAUCGUCAGCAUGCCAUCAUCAAUUUGUAGUUAAUUAUCAUACAAAUUGGCUCUUUCAUAGAGUUGGAGGCUAGCUCCUUUGAUCAGCACGCGCUUAAACACAAACAGCACGUAUAUGUUUUGUCUCCGGAGUUCAAUUCUUCAUCGGCCAGCAAAAAUGGCCCGACCGGGUAGAGGAAAAGGCAUGUUUGUUAGUACGCCUGGAGGAAAUGCCUUUGAUUACGGCAUCUUCAACAGCGACCAGUAAAUUUCCUUCCGCGUUCGUUCACGGAUAGGGGAUCAGUCUGCGGAUACGAAUACAGGAAUCAUCCAUCCAACGCUGUCCGCGUAUAUUUCAAACACAUUUUUUUUUUAAAAUAGGAUGAAAUUCAUGCAAACACAAUGGAUUUCAUACAAACCGGACAAAAAUGUUUACAUUUUGGACAUAUUUUUUUACUAAAAACUCUACAGCCGGCGCCGGCGAAUAUCCACCCCGGCGACAUGGAUACCCUUGACUAGUCUACUGCCGGCCGCAGCGGAUCUCCAAUGUCGUCCCCAUAUCCGGCAGCUAUGAGCCCUAGAGGUAUAUGCUUCAGCGCAAAGAGCGGCUCGCCUCCCUACCGCUCAUCGGAGUGGAACAACCAGCUGAUGCUUCUGCCGAUGGAAAGGGUCCCUACGCUACACGGAUUAGAGUUGGUUUUCGGCUGGGAACGGCGGUGGCCUGCCAGAGGGCAAGACACCGACUGUGUAUGCUGGUGUCACCUGGUGUGGCAUUCGUGGGACCCAAGCGGCAGCGCCUCCUCGAUGAUGGCGGCGAGCGCGGACGUGUUUGACACCACCUCGUCGAUGUCCGUGCAGCCGGCUUCUUUCUCUGUAGGAAGGACGCGGUUACGCUUGCGUUGACAUCGGAUGACUCGGUCACAUGCACGGGAGGGGCGGUACGACAUGGCACCGCCAAUGGCAGCCAUGAUGCCCACGCCACCGUGCUCCCUCCCAGUGCCGAUCUAGAGCAACUUGCCACUCCUCUGCUCGUGACCGGUGGGCUUGACGGGCCACCUAGCCAUUUUUUAUGCCAGACAACUCUUCUUCCUGCUCGUCAGAUGUCAUGGAUAAAACUGUUUAAGGAGGAAAAUGAUGAGUGGACGUGUGAUGCGGUUCUUGCCCAACAUCUGACAUUGUUUAAAUAGCGAGGGGAGACGAGAGGAGCCAACCGGCGUACUGUUUAAUGCCAACCGGCUCGCGAACGAACAUGUGGCCGGAGUAAUUAUCCUAGCACACACGCGGGUUUAAUGGUGGAAGGCGGGCAGUCUGCAGGAAUGAGGCGAGGAUGUGUGCUUAGCCGGCGUGCAGCAGGCGGCGCCCUCGGCCGGCGUGCUGCUUCCAUUGCGGAGGCAGUGAGAGGUCGCGUCCGCUCUGCAGCGCAUGAAUGCGGGCAGCUGGCGCAGAGCGGGAACGCGUGCGGGCGAGGGAGGAGGGGGUUUGGGCGGGUGGUCAGAAGAGGUCGUGGGUGUUGUCCGAACGCCUGCAAAGCCCCCCUCCAUGUUUGUCUCCAGUUUGCGGGAGAAAGUACGUCCGGACCGUCUCCAAUGGACCAAUACAGGCCCGCAUUGGAUAGCACAACACGUCCGGACCAUGUGGUCCGGAUGGUUGUGGACAGUUUAAUUGAGGGUCGGCGUUGGAGAUGCCUUAGAGUUUAUGAAUCCAUUGUGUUUUUCUAAUCAUAAAAAAUCACUUACAAUAAGUUAUAAGGAAAGACACGUUUAUAUGUUAGGUUCAGACUCCAGCUUUCGUUUUACAUAUGCUUUAUUCAUCCGACUGAUUCCAAUAGAGUGAGCCUAGCGUUGUUUUUCUGGAAACUCGCGGGAUAAGGAGACAUGCAUACACAUUCUUUCAAGCAAAUCACAUCCAUUUUUUUUAACUCAUUUUUCUUCUUUUAAUAAUAUAAUAGAUCAUUUAUAUUUUUUAUCUGAAACAGUUGACGUGUAAUUUAUAUUGUAAUCUGAGGAUAAUGUUUGGAUUUUACUUUCAAAUAUAUUUGAAAUGGCCAUGAUGGAAUCACAUCCAUUUAUUUUAUUAUUAUUUGAAUUUGAUCCAAAAGAUAAAUAAUGAGUAGAGGUCAUGUCAACUUUUCUGAGAACUUUGCUAAUCAAAAUAUAAAUUGUAUUUAAAAACAUCUAUUUUUUAGCACGCAUGAAAAACAUAACACGUAUCUUUUCACACAUAAUGAACGGUUGUCAUAAGAACUCAUGCCAUGCCACAACCUCCCUCCGACCCUGCCAACAUUGUUGCAGCUGCACUCGCAAGCCUUAGCGUAGAUGAUAAUUUAUACAAUUUGCGUAAAACAAAAUAAGAUCUACAAAUGAAUAGAAGCUAGAACGUACAUUGGCAUGCACACACAUUGCAAGCCAUACUAAGCUGAUAAGUGUUAAUAACUUGUACAACAUAUACAACACUUAAGACAAGUAAAAGCAAUUUGAUGAGUCAUGGUCUAUCAAAGCCACAUUACUAGUCUAAUCCAUCUUAACAGGUCACACAUGAUUAAAAUCUUGUUUGUGUGCAAGUCAAGCUUAUCUAGUUUACAUGUAACAACUUGUAGAACAUUACAAAAUUUAUGUUUGCUAAUAACUUCUAGAACACUACAACACUUGACAUGUAAAAGGAAUUUGAUGAGUCAUGGCCUACUAAAGCAAGUUAUAUUACUAGUCUUAUCUACCAUAACAGGCCACACAAGAUUACAAACCAAGUUCUGUGCCAGCCAUGCUUAUCUAGUUUAUGCGUAACAAUUUGCAGAAAAUUACAAACUUAGUUUCAGAAAAAUAGGCAAUCUAGAUUAGUGUUUGAGCUGUAAAGUGAAUAAAAUGAGUCAUGCGUGUUAUCACACCUUUUUGGUUGUGGAAUGAUAGUGCAACAACAAGGAACUUUAAUGACCAGUUCAAGAAUACACUUGUAAGUAGUGCCACCGAACACAACAUACCAAAUUAUGAUUUUGAGAAGCAUCCAAGCACAUCCACACAAGCAAAUGCCAAUUGUGAAAGAGAUCAUGCCAUGGCAGCUAUAAAUAGGCCCGUAGCAUGACGAUCAUCCUUCCUCAUCCAUCAUUCUCAUAAGUAGAGCGCAUCAUUUAAGCCAAGCAAGCAGUGCUCAAUACAAAUCCACCAUGAAGACCUUUCUCAUCCUUGCCCUCCUUGCUAUUGUAGCAACCACCGCCACAAUUGCAGUUAGAGUUCCAGUGCCACAAUUGCAGCCACAAAAUCCAUCUCAGCAACAACCACAAGAGCAAGUUCCAUUGGUACAACAACAGCAAUUUCCAGGGCAGCAACAACCAUUUCCACCACAACAGCCAUAUCCGCAGCCGCAACCAUUUCCAUCACAACAACCAUAUCUGCAGCUGCAACCAUUUCCGCAGCCGCAACUACCAUAUCCGCAGCCGCAACCAUUUCGACCACAACAACCAUAUCCACAACCGCAACCACAGUAUUCGCAACCACAACAACCAAUUUCACAGCAGCAGCAGCAGCAGCAACAACAACAACAACAACAACAACAGAUCCUUCAACAAAUUUUGCAACAAUAACUGAUUCCAUGCAGGGAUGUUGUAUUGCAACAACACAGCAUAGCGCAUGGAAGCUCACAAGUUUUGCAACAAAGUACUUACCAGCUGGUGCAACAAUUGUGUUGUCAACAGCUGUGGCAGAUCCCCGAGCAGUCGCGGUGCCAAGCCAUCCACAAUGUUGUUCAUGCUAUUAUUCUGCAUCAACAACAACAACAACAACAACAACCGUUGAGCCAGGUCUGCUUCCAACAGCCUCAACAACAAUAUCCAUCAGGCCAGGGCUCCUUCCAGCCAUCUUAGCAAAACCCACAGGCCCAGGGCUCUGUCCAGCCUCAACAACUGCCCCAGUUUGAGGAAAUAAGGAACCUAGCGCUAGAGACGCUACCUGCAAUGUGCAAUGUCUAUAUCCCUCCAUAUUGCACCAUUGCUCCAGUUGGCAUCUUCGGUACUAACUGAGAAUAGAAUAACUCUAGUAGUAGAUAUAUGAUACACCGUUUUCUUAGUCCAUGGUUUGGUCGUUGUAGCGGUGAAAAAAUAAAGUGACAUGCACUAUCAUGUAAGAACCCGAACUAUACUAUUUCAAACAUGGGAAUAAAAGACAAACACAUGUCUUGUCUACAUAUGAUUGUUUGUUUGAGUUCCACUCAUGUGCCCACUCACAAGUUCACCCCUAAUUAUAUAUAUUAUGCAUUAAGUAGAUAUUUAUGUUGCAUUAAUCUAAAGAUAACAAAAUGAGUCUGAAAUUUGAAUUAAAUUGAAGUAUUUCCUUGGACUUUCAAAUGGAGUAUUAUUAAAGUAGUAAGGACUAUCCACAUCCUUGGCUUGCCCUUGAUCAAUUAUUUCCAGAGAAGCAUUCAAUUCAUCAAUCAAUUACAUUGAUUUUUGUGGCUGGUACUUCUCCUCAACAUGAGUAUAUUCAUCGCGGCUACUCCAAAUAGCCAUGAAUGAGGUACCGGUGCUCUGGAGCACUGGUACCUAACUGCUUCUCAUGUGAAGGGGUGCGGGCGCGGGAGAGGUGUUUUUGGUGGGCCAGGGGAGUAAGAAGCGGCCGUGGCAGCGGUCCAGACGCCCACAAAGCCCCGUAGUUUGUUUUUGGUUUACAGGAAAAUGCACAUCCAGACUGGCCUGCGGGCCGAUAUAGGACCGUAUUGGAUGGCAAAACAUGUCCGGAUGGUCGCGAGCGGUUUAAGGGUUAGCUUUUGUAACACCCGGUUAGUUAUGCUAUGGUAAUUCCCUGCUAAUGAUGUCACGUCAGCACGAUUACUGUUGUUAACCUCACAAUGAUUCAAUCCCAUUCAAAUUCAAAUUUAAAAUAAAGGCAAACAUCAAAAGUUUCAAACAUUAAAACUAAAAUCUUCGAGAGGUGAAAAAUAAUGCAUAAGUAAUUAUGGUGGAGAAACCACACUUUUAUAAAAUGUUUAAAUACUCUAAAAAUAAUAAAACAGUGGCUUAAACUAUUAUUUAAAUGCUUUUAAAAUAGUAAAAAUGUUCUAACUAAAUUAAUUGGGUACCAAACUUUUGGUGGCAGUGGUAUAUUUAGUAGAACUAAUUUAGAUGCUAAUAAAACAUAAAAGGAAAGACAAAACAAAUAAAAGUAAAAGGGGGCAACCCUUGGCUGGGCCUCGGCCAAGCUGGGCACUUGGCUAGCUAGGUUGGCCCAACCGCCUCCCUUAACCCCCCACUCCCCAUCGAACCCUAGACCGAUCGCCCCACUUCCCCCCCACCCCCUCGUCAGCCUCCCCACCUCUCGAUCCCAUCUGGAUCGGGGAGGGGAUCGCCUUCAUCGACCCCGUCGCGGUCGCUGGAUCGCCCGCUCGCCCAUCGCCCGCCGGCGUCGCCGGACCUCCUCCCCGUCGCAUGUCUCCGGCUCUCCUCCCCUCUCGCUCCUCUUCCCCGACCCGAUCUAGAUCGGGAAGGGCCAAUGAGCCCAACGCCCCCCUCCAUCGACGCUGUGCUCCAGCACCGCCGCCCGAAGACCUCGCCAUCGCCGGACCUCGCGUCGCCUCCUCGUAUCCCUCCCCGACUCGCCUCCUCAAGCCACGCCGACCCCCUCUCGGCAACGCCGUGAGCCGCACCCGUUUCCCUCCUUCUCUUUCCACCGUGUUCACCGCGCCGCCUGCCGUGCCCCUCGCCGCGCGCACGCCCACCACCGCGCCAGCCCCCGCUCCCGCCCUCUCCUGCACGCUUGUGCGCGCAUGACCCUAGCCGCGCCCACGCCGUGAUCCCCUUGUCCCGCCCGCCUUCGUCCCGCGCUCGCCGCGGCCCCCAUGCUCCCCUGCGCCCUCUUUUGGGGCCGUCGGCUGCCCCUGUCCCGCAGCUCGCUGGCAUGCGUCCCCGCCUGCGCCUCGCCACCGCUCUACUGCUACGCUACUAUUGCGCUGUGGCCGCCGCCGCUUCCCGCUGCUCUGCCAGCGCCAAAGCUCCUGGUUGGCCCUGCCGCUGCUCGCGUUUAACCGCCGGCCUAAGCGGCCUAACCUCCCCCCUCGCUAAUGAACCCCCACCGACCCGCUGACACCGGGACCCACAUCCCCUAAUUAACCAUUUAAUAAAUUAAAACUCUUAAAUUAACAUUAGUGUAUGACAUGUGGGUCCCCUAUUAAUUAAACUGAUUUAAUUAAAAUCUAUUAACUUUGAGUCUAUGACAUAUGGGCCCCACUAAACAUUUGACCAAUCAACGGUCCAGUCAAAUGCUGACCGGACAGUUGACCAGAGGGCCCCGCCAGUCAGCCAAUGUGCUGUUCUGCUGGGUACCUUUCUAAGUACACCUAGCAUUUUGCAUUUACAAUAUUUGUUUUAAAAUAAAUUAGAAUAAUUUCAAAAAAAUAUUAAAACUUUUAAAAUUAAAAUAAAAUAAUCCGUAACUCGGAUGAAAUUACUUUAUACAUGGAAGUUGCUCAAAAAAUGAGACGAAUCCGAAUACACAGUCCGUUCGUCUGCCACGCGUCCCUAGCAUAGCGAACAUGCAACCAUCCCCCUCCGGUUCGACUGUCCGAAAAAUUAUUAUUGCACAUGCCCGCUAAGAGGUUGGCUGUAUAUGACAUGACAACUUCUUAUAGCCGAGCCUUGGCUGUAUUAUUAACCAUGCUCUUAGUGAGGUAGCUAGUAUAUCAUAGACGACUAGCUAGUAUCAGACUAGCCAAAGUGGGAGUAACUUCAGCAGUAACAUCGACUCCAACUCAGCAAACUUCCUUAUGUGGGAGUAAACCGUGCCCAAUGCAAAAUACAAUCCCAGUCGUAAUUUUUUCAGGAAACGUGUGGGAUCCCAAACGAAAAGCACACGUCACUCUUGCGGCAACCGUCGGUGACACCCAAUAAAUCACAAACGGUCUGCAGCAGCUGUAUGUGUGCAAAGGGGCUCCUGAACCGUUUGUGAUAGAACAUUAUCGCAGACGGUAAUUGUUGGCAAACGUGUGCGAUGGAGUCUAGCAUGGCAGACGGGUUACGCAGAAAACUCGUGUGUGAUGGGGCACAAAUCGCACACAGUUCAUAUGUUGGUCCAUGUGCCUUACAUACUAUUUCCCAAAUGGUUUGUUACGACAGACCGUAUCGUUUCAGUGCGUCAUUAGAAACGCUUAAUCACUGAUACCACACGUGCGAAAGAAAUUAGUGCGUGAUGCAUCGCACACGAUUACAUUUUGGAAGGCCUCUGGAUCACUGCUCCAUAUCCCCGACGGUUUCUGGGCCGUGUGGGAAGGACACCCUAUCGCACACACUCACUUGGCGAUGGUUCCAAAUGCUGUCGCAGAAAAGGGUUAAAAACAGUUUGUUUAGGACCGACGCGUACCAGUGUCUAUCUAUCUAUCUAUCUAUCUAUCUAUGUAUCUAUCUAUCUAUCCAUCUAUCUAUCUAUCUAUCUAUCUAUCUAUCUAUCUAUCUAUCUAUCUAUCUCAAUCCACCUAUCUAUCUAUCCAUCUAUCUAUCUCUCCAUCUAUCCAUCUAUCUAUCCAUCUAUCCAUCCAUCUACUAUCCAUCUAUCUAUCCAUCCAUCCAUCUAUCUAUCCAUCCAUCCAUCUAUCUAUCUAUNNNNNNNNNNNNNNNNNNNNNNNNNNNNNNNNNNNNNNNNNNNNNNNNNNNNNNNNNNNNNNNNNNNNNNNNNNNNNNNNNNNNNNNNNNNNNNNNNNNNNNNNNNNNNNNNNNNNNNNNNNNNNNNNNNNNNNNNNNNNNNNNNNNNNNNNNNNNNNNNNNNNNNNNNNNNNNNNNNNNNNNNNNNNNNNNNNNNNNNNNNNNNNNNNNNNNNNNNNNNNNNNNNNNNNNNNNNNNNNNNNNNNNNNNNNNNNNUCUAUGUAUCCAUUUAUCCAUUGAUCCAUCUAUCGAUCCAUCCAUCCAUCCAUCUAUCCAUCAAUCUAUCUAUCCAUGUAUCCAUGUAUCCAUCUAUCCAUCUAUCGAUCUAUCCAUCCAUCUAUCUAUCUAUCUAUCCAUCUAUCCAUCUAUCGAUCUAUCCAUCUAUCUAUCUAUCCAUCCAUCUAUCGAUCUAUCGGUCUAUCCAUCUAUCGAUCUAUCCAUCUCUCCAUCUACCCAACUAUCCAUCUAUCCAUCUAUUCAUCUACCGAUCUAUCUAUCCAUCUAUCUAUCUAGCUAUCUAGCUAUCUAGCUAUCUAUCUAUCUAUCUAUCUAGCUAUCUAGCUAUCUAUCUAUCUAGUUAUCUAGCUAUCUAUCUAUCUACCUACCUACCUACCUACCUACCUACCUAUCUAUCUAUCUAUCUAUCUAUCUAUCUAUCUAUCUAUCUAUCUAUCUAUCUAUCUAUCUAUCUAUCUAUCUAUCUAAAGGAAAUAUGCCCUAGAUGCAAUAAUAAAGUUGUCAUUUAUAGUUCGUUAUAUCAUGAUAAACUAGCGGAGUCACCCGCGCAUUUGCGCGGCUAGAUUGACUACAUAUAUUGUUAUAUUUGGGAUUAUUUUUCUAUGCCAAUUUUAUGGCCUCUUACUCAGAUAUUAUCUAAUUGAAUUUACCACCACCAUAUGUUAUAUCCAUAGAUUAUAAUGAAAAGGCAACUUCCGACGAAACAUGGACAGAUUAUUGAGUGCUCAGAAGACGGACGCAAUAUCAUAUAUAGACUUCUAUACCAAUCUUCAUGGUUCCCAUCUUUGAUCCUCUCCUCGUCCCUUGGUAUCUAUCUUUGCACCCAAUAUGUCUUUGGAGUUCCAAGAAUUGAAUCUUAGCAUGAAUGGCUUCAAUGUGUACCAAAUGUUCUCUUGUUCCUCCCAAAUUAAUUACUGGUUGCAUUCUUAGUUGCUUUGACAUUCUUGGUUAAUGCAAUUUCUUGCCUACCAAUAUAUGCAUCCACACACGAUCAUAUUUAUAUGACCACUUACCUCUGUAUUCUGGUAUUUGUGCUUCAGAAUUUUUCUCUCAUUCAGUUUAUUCAUAGAUUAAAAACGUCGAUCGUUUCUUUAUUGGUUUGCAUUAUCUUGUUUGCCGAACGUAAGCAUCCACACAUGCUCGUCAUGAUAUGAUUGGUCAUCAUUGUAUAUUUGUAUUUGUGUGUUGAUAGCUUAAGGAUUUUCUCGGAUUCACUUCAUAGUUUAAGGAUUUUCUCGCGUUCAAUUUAUUCUACCUUAUUCAUUUUCAUGUUUCUUUAUUGCAUUUAUAUCAAUUCUUACAAUAUAUUUUCCAAGAUAUGAACUCAACUACUAAUUACGUAGUUUUUCAUCAAAAAUUACAUGUAAAAAUGUUACAAAUGCAUAAACAUGAUAAAAAUAUAUAUCAUAUUCCAUUGAGAGAUCGCCCAUUUAAAAAAAACACGUUGACUUACAAAAAGGACAAUUCAAGCUGCAUGUACGUCCGACUCAUGUUUACCUGACAAUGUCGAUGUUGAUUUCAGCAGUAAAUGAGCUGUGUGUGACCUUUGCGCUUUCCGGUAUUCUUCUAACCUGUGUGCUUUAUGAUCAGUUUGUUGUGCUUAGUACUGGACACUUGAGUAUACUAUCAUAUUUGGUACAAAUAAAUCUGAACUACUAUAGUUAUGAUCCACUGUAUAGUUAAUGGUGGUGGUAAUUAAUAUAUGUGGUUAAAUACUUGCGCUCCUUAGGUGGGGAGUUGGAUUUGUAUUUCCCUAAAAUAAAUUUCAGAUUUCGUAAUAGUGGUGAAGCCAGCCGGAAGAACCUCUGCGUCAUUAUUAAUUUUGGUGAUAUUUUUCUUCAUAGUGUAGAAUAAUUUUAGUGCUUAUUCCGCAAAAAAUAUGGCCUCAACUGACCCCAUAGCUUGUAUGUUGCGCCACCACUGUUUCCUAUAUCCUAUUACAUCCGUUGUUUUUAGAUCUUGAUGCAUAACUUUGACAAUAUUUAAUAGAUAUGUGUCUGUAUAAAAAAUUAUAAAUGCUAUGAUAAUUUGAUUAAUUAUGAUGAAUAAAAUGUUAUUGCUCUGACUUGAUCCCUCUAGAAUUUUCCAAAAUUUCACAUUACAGUUGUAGUAGUGCAUGCUACCUCUUGAGCACUGCGUUAGUUUUCCCUUGAAGAGGAAAGGGUGAUGCAGUAAAGUAGCGUCAGUAUUUCCCUCGGUUUUUGAGAACCAAGGUAUCAAUCCAGUAGGAGGCCACGCAUGAGUCCCUCGCACCUACACAAACAAAUAAAAUCCUCGCAACCAACGCAAUAAAGGGGUUGUCAAUCCCUUCACGGUCACUUACGAAAGUGAGAUCUGAUAGAUUUGAUAAGAUAAUAUUUUUGGUAUUUUUAUGAUAAAGAUGCAACGUAAAGAAAGCAAAAUAAAAAAAGCGCCAGAAAUAGCUUGUUGACGGGAGAUUAAAAUAGACCGGGGGGCCAUAGGUUUCACUAGUGGCUUCUCUCGAGAGCAUAAGUAUUUUGGUGGGUAGACAAAUUACUGUUGAGCAAUUGACAGAAUUGAGCAUAGUUAUGGGAAUAUCAAGGUAUGAUCAUGUAUAUAGGCAUCACGUCCGAGGCAAGUAGCCCGACUCCUGCCUGCAUCUACUACUAUUACUCCACACAUCGACUGCUAUCCAGCAUGCAUCUAGAGUAUUAAUUUCAAAAGAACAGAGUAACGCUUUAAGUAAGAUGACAUGAUGUAGAGGGAUAAACUCAUGCAGUAUGAUAUAAACCCCAUCUUGUUAUCCUCGAUGGCAACAAUACAAUACGUGCCUUGCUGCCCCUACUGUCACUGGGAAAGGACACCGCAAGAUUGAACCCAAGCUAAGCACUUCUCCCAUCGCAAGAAAGAUCAAUCUAGUAGGCCAAACCAAACUGAUAAUUCGAAGAGACUUGCAAAGAUAACCAAUCAUACAUAAAAGAAUUCAGACAAGAUUCAAAUAUUGUUCAUAGAUAAACUUGAUCAUAAACCCACAAUUCAUCGGUCUCAACAAACACACCGCAAAAGAAGAUUACAUCGAAUAGAUCUCCACAAGAGAGGCGGAGAACAUUGUAUUGAGAUCCAAAAAGAGAGAGGAAGCCAUCUAGCUAAUAACUAUGGACCCGAAGGUCUGAGGUAAACUACUCACACAUCAUCGGAGAGGCUAUGGUGUUGAUGUAGAAGCCCUCCAUGAUCGAUGCCCCCUCCGGCGGAGCUCCGGAAAAGGCCCCAAGAUGGGAUCUCACGGGUACAGAAGGUUGCGGCGAUGGAAUUAGGUUUUUGGCUCCGUAUCUGGUAGUUUGGGGGUACGUAGGUAUAUAUAGGAGGAAGAAGUACGUCGGUGGAGCAACGUGGGCCCCACGAGGGCGCGCCCCCCUACCUCGUGCCUUCCUGGUAGAUUUCUUGACGUAGGGAACAAGUCCUCUAGAUAACGUUCGUUCCCAAAAUCACGUUUCCGAAGGUUUCAUUCCGUUUGGACUCGGUUUGAUAUUCUUUUUCUGUGAAACUCUGAACUAGGCAAAAAACAGCAAUUCUGGGGUGGGCCUCCGAUUAAUAGGUUAGUCCCAAAAAUAAUAUAAAAGUGUAUAAUAAAGCCCAUUAAUGUCUAAAACAGAAUAUAAUAUAGCAUGGAACAAUAAAAAAUUAUAUAUACGUUGGAGACGUAUCAAGCAUCCCCAAGCUUAAUUCUUGCUCGUCCUCGAGUAGGUAAAUGAUAAAAACAGAAUUUUUAAUGUGGAAUGCUACUUGGCAUAAUUUCAAUGUAAUUCUCUUAAUUGUGGUAUGAAUAUUCAGACCCGAAAGAUUCAAGACAAAAGUUUAAUAUUGACAUAAAAAUAAUAAUACUUCAAGCAUACUAACUAAGCAAUUAUGUCUUCUCAAAAUAACAUGGCCAAAGAAAGUUAUCCCUACAAAAUCAUAUAGUCUAGCUAUGCUCUAUCUUCACCACACAAAGUAUUUAAAUUAUGCACAACCCGGAUGACAAGCCAAGCAAUUGUUUCAUACUUUUGAUGUUCUCAAACUUUUUCAAUCUUCACGCAAUACAUGAGCAUGAGCCAUGGACAUAGCACUAUAUGUGGAAUAGAAUGGUGGUUGUGGAGAAGACAAAAAAGGAGAAGAUAGUCUCACAUCAACUAGGCGUAUCAACGGGCUAUGGAGAUGCCCAUUAAUAGAUAUCAAUGUGAGUGAGUAGGAAUUGCCAUGCAACGGAUGCACUAGAGCUAUAAGUAUAUGAAAGCUCAACAAAAGGAACUAAGUGGGUGUGCAUCCAACUCGCUUGCUCAUGAAGACCUAGGGCAUUUUGAGGAAGCCCAUCAUUGGAAUAUACAAGCCAAGUUCUAUAAUGAAAAUUUGCCACUAGUACAUGAAAGUGAUAUCAUAGGAGACUCUCUAUCAUGAAGAUCAUGGUGCUACUUUGAAGAACAAGUGUGGUAAAAGGAUAGUAACAUUGUCCCUUCUCUCUUUUUCUCUCAUUUUUUUAUUUGGGUCUUUUAUCCUUUUUUAUGGCCUCUUUUUUUUAGUCCGAAGUCUCAUCCCGACUUGUUGGGGAAUCAUAGUCUCCAUCAUCCUUUCCUCACUUGGGACAAUGCUCUAAAAAAUGAUGAUCAUCACACUUUUAUUUACUUACAACUCAACAAUUACAACUCAAUACUUAGAACAAAAUAUGACUCCAUGUGAAUGCCUCCGGCGGUAUACCGUGAUAUGCAAUGAAUCAAGAGUGACAUGUAUGAAAGAAUUAUGAACGGUGGCUUUGCCACGAAUACAAUGUCAACUACAUGAUCAUGGAAAGCAAUAUGACAAUGAUGGAGUGUGUCAUAAUAAACUGAACGGUGGUAAGUUGCAUGGCAAUAUAUCUCGGAAUGGCUAUGGAAAUCCUAUGGUAGGUAGGUAUGGUGGCUGUUUUGAGGAAGGUAUAUGGUGGGUGUAUGAUACCGGCGAAAAGUGCGCGGUAUUAGAGAGGCUAGCAAUGGUGGAAGGAAGAAAGUGCGUAUAAUCCAUGGACUCAACAUUAGCCAUAAAGAACUCAUAUACUUAUUGCAAAAAUCUACAAGUUAUCGAAGCAAAGUAUUACCCGCAUCAUCCUAGGGGGAUAGAUUGGUAUGAAAAGACCAUCGCUCAUCCCAGACCGCCACUCAUAAGGAAGACAAUCAAUAAAUAAAUCAUGCUCCGACUUCAUCACAUAACGGUUCACCAUACGCGCAUGCUAAGGGAAUCACAAACUUUAACACAAAUAUUUCGCAAAUUCAAAACUACUCAACUAGCAUGACUCUAAUAUCACCAUCUCCAUAUCUCAAAACAAUUAUCAAGUAUCAAACUUCUCAUAGUAUUCAACACACUCAUAAGAUUUUUUUACUAAUCUUGAGUGCCUAUCAUAAUUAAAGCAAAUUACCACGCUGUUUUGUAGGACUAUCAAAAUAAUCUAAGUGAAUCAUGAGAGAACAAUAGUUUCUAUAAAACAAAACCACCACCGUGCUCUAAAAGACAUACGUGAAGCACUAGAGCAAAAACUAUAUAGCUCAAAAGAUAUAAGUGAAGCACAUAGAGUAUUCUAACAAUUUCCGAAUCAUGUGUGUCUCUCUCAAAAGGUGUGUACUGCAAGGAUUAUUGUGGCAAACUAACAAAUAAAUACUUCAAAUAAUACAAGACGCUCCAAGAAAAACACAUAUCAUGUGGUGAAUAAAAAUAUAGCUCCAAGUAAAGUUACCGAUGGAAGUAGACGAAAGAGGGGAUGCCUUCCGGGGCAUCCCCAAGCUUUGGCUUUUAGGUGUCCUUAGAUUAACUUGGGGUGCCAUGGGCAUCCCCAAGCUUAGGCUCUUGCCACUCCUUGUUUCAUAAUCCAUCAAAUCUUUCACCCAAAACUUGAAAACUUCACAACACAAAACUCAGCAGAAAAUCUCGUGAGCUCCGUUAGCAAAAGAAAACAAAACACCACUUCAAGGUACUGUAAUGAACUCAUUCUUUAUUUAUAUUGGUGUUAAACCUACUGUAUUCCAACUUCUCUAUGGUUUAUAAACUAUUUUACUAGCCAUAGAUUCAUCAAAAUAAGCAAACAACACACGAAAAACAUAAUCUGUCAAAAACAGAACAGUCUGUAGUAAUCUGUAACUAACGCAAUUUUCUGGGACACCAAAAAUUGACCCAAAAUAGGAAGACCUAGACAAUUUUUUUAUUGAUCAGCAGCAAUUGGGAUCAAUAUUUUAUCACGUCCUGGUGAUUUUUAACAAUUAUUUUCGUGAACAGAAAGUUUCUAGAAUUUUCAGCAAGAUCAAAUAACUAUCAUCCAAGAAGAUCCUAUAGGUUAAACUUGGCACAAACACUAAUUAAAACAUAAAAACACAUGUAACCAGAGGCUAGAUCAAAUAUUUAUUCCUAAACAAAAGAAAAAAUCAUAAAAAACUAAAAAUAAAAUUGGGUUGCCUCCCAACAAGCGCUAUCGUUUAAUGCCCCUAGCUAGGCAUAAUAGCAAUGAUAGAUCUAGGUAUUGCCAUCUUUGGUAGGCAAUCCAUAAGUGGCUCUCAUAAUAGAUUCAUAAGGUAAUUUUAUUUUCUUUCUAGGGAAGUGUUCCAUGCCUUUCCUUAAUGGAAAUUGGAAUCUAAUAUUCCCUUCCUUCGUAUCAAUAAUUGCACCAAUCGUUCUAAGGAACGGUCUACCAAGAAUAAUAGGACAUGAAGGAUUGCAAUCUAUAUCAAGAACAAUAAAAUCUACUGGCACAUAAUUCCUAUUUGCAACAAUAAGAACAUCAUCAAUUCUUCCCAUAGGUUUCUUAAUGGUGGAAUCCGCAAGGUGCAAGUUUAAAGAGCAAUCAUCAAAAUCACGGAAACCUAGCAAAUCGCAUAGAAUCUUUGGAAUCGUGGAAACACUAGCACCCAAAUCACACAAAGCAUAGCAUUCAUGAUCUUUAAUUUUAAUUUUAAUAGUAGGUUCCCACUCAUCAUAAAGUUUUCUAGGGAUAGAAACUUCCAACUCAAGUUUUUCUUCAUAAGAUUGCAUCAAAGCAUCAACGAUAUGUUUAGUAAGGCUUUAUUUUGACUAUAAGCAUGUGGAGAAUUUAGCACGGAUUGCAACAAGGAAAUACAAUCUAUCAAAGAGCAAUUAUCAUAAUUAAAUUCCUUGAAAUCCAAAAUAGUGGGUUCAUUAAUAUCUAGAGUUUUGAUUUCUUCAAUCCCACUUUUACCAUUUUUUGCAUCAAGAUCUAAAAACUCCGAAUUUUUGGAACGCCUUCUAGGUAGAGGUGGAUUAUAUUCAGUCCCAUCAUUAUCAAGAUUCAUAUUGCAAAACAAAGAUUUAAUAGGGGACACAUCAAUAACUUUUAGAUCUUCAUCUUUAUUUUCAUAGAAACUAGAAGAACACGCUUUCACAAAACAAUCUUUCUUAGCACGCAUCCUAGCGGUUCUUUCUUUGCACUCAUCAAUGGAAAUUCUCAUGGCCUUGAGAGACUCAUUGAUAUCAUGCUUAGGAGAAAUUCUAUCAGCGUUCCUAGCCAAUUCAUCAACUUUAAGCAAUUUUUCUUCAAGCAAAGCAUUGAAAUUGUUUUGCGAAUUCAUAAAUUCUUUAACACUAGUCUCAAAUUCAGAAGGCAUCUUAUUAAAAUUUCCAUAAUAAUUGUUGUAGGAAUUACCAUAAUUAUUAGAGGAAUUACUAGGAUACGGCCUUGGAUUAAAGUUUCCUCUAUACGCGUUGUUACCAAAAUUAUUCCGACCAACAAAAUUCACAUCCAUAGAUUCAUUAUUAUUCUCAAUCAAAGUAGACAAAGGCAUAUCAUUAGGAUCAGAAGAAACACUUUUAUUAGCAAAUAAUUUCAUAAGUUCAUCCAUCUUUCCACUCAAAACAUUAAUUUCUUCUAUCAUGCACUUUUUAUUAGUGGUUUUUUCGGUGUGCCAUUGAGAAUAAUUAACCAUAAUAUUAUCUAGGAGUUUAGUAGCUUCUCCUAAAGUGAUUUCCAUAAAAGUGCCUCCCGCGGCCGAAUCUAAAAGAUUUCUAGAAGAAAAAUUCAAUCCGGCAUAAAUUUUUUGUAUAAUCAUCCACAAAUUCAAACCAUGAAUAGGGCAAUUACGUAUCAUUAAUUUCAUCCUCUCGCAAGCUUGUGCAACAUGUUCAUGAUCAAGUUGCUUAAAAUUCAUAAUAUCGUUUCUAAGAGAGAUGAUCUUAGCGGGAGGAAAAUACUUAGAGAUAAAAGCAUCUUUGCACUUAUUUCAAGAAUCACUACUAUUUUUAGGCAAAGACAAAAACCAAGCUUUAGCACGAUCUCUAAGCGAAAAAGGAAAUAGCUUCAAUUUAACAAUAUCAUUGUCCACAUCUUUCUUCUUUUGCAUAUCACACAAAUCAACGAAGUUGCCAUGUCUAGGAAUGCUUGAAGCUUCAAAGAUUUCCUAUAAUACAACAUGCCUCUAACUAUUCACAAUAAGAAAAACAUGUAAAUGCGGAAUCAACCAAAUGUUGGUAAAUUGUAGUUGAUUUUGGCCAAGCAAACGUCAGAUGAAAGAAACAUACAUGAGUGAACAUCACGAUUGGAUGUUUUAUUCAAAUUUAACAGGUUAAACUCACCAAAUCCAUCUGGAUAUUUAGUAUUAAACUUCAACAGAUGGUGAGUUGUAGCUAGAUUCACAACACUGAAGCAAAAUUCCAUCUGCCACGGUUACAUCACACCAUCUUUUCAUCGUUACUAUUUAAAUUCCAAAUGCCUGCAACUCAUUUUUUUGUUACGAUGUAUGCAUGAUUUUUAACUCAAGAGGAAGAGGGGAAACUAAAUCCAAGAAAAGAACACCAAGGAAGCAUCCAAAAUAGAGAAAGGAAAAAUCCAAAAUAGAGGCAGAAUCGAAGGGAAGAAACCCCAUAAAAAAUAGGAGAUCAAACGGUGAAAAAAAUCUAAGAGUCAAACAAUUCCAGGUAAGACCAAAUCGACGACAAAAUAGCACAAGAGGGACUCACAUUAACAGGUAUACCAAUUCAGAAAGAAGUGUAAAGCGAACAGUGCAAUGGACCACUAGUAUAAAUUGGCUGUACACAAACAUGGGACUUAAACAGGAACUGCGAGAUGCAGGGUUCACGUGCAAACCCAAAAAACGGAAAACUGAAACGCACAACAAGAUUUUAUCUUCAUAUAUAUAUAUUAUGAGCUAUUGGCUUUUUAGUCAGGUAAAUAUCAUUCUUAAGACUACGGAAAACAGCAGGCGGCGAAGAAAACAUCUAUUGAUGAGAACUAUACACAUACUUAAGAAGGAAGUGACAUCUAUGGUAGCAGAACAUAUAUCAAGCUGUUGCAGCUACAUUAGCAGUUUAGCACAGUUCCUCCAUAAUACACAGGCUAGUGUAAUUUCACAAAUACAAUAAGCUAACAAUAUAUAUUUGGUAGAUGGAAAUGGCUGGAUCAUGACCAAUAUACCAUUACACAUCCGAUGAUGCAAAUAAACCACAAUAGAACAUGUAUUUGGCGAAACCUCCAUACUGCAAUAUCAAACAUGAAUUGAAAUUAACAAUCUAGCAAAAAAACAUGACAGAUGCAGUCUUGGUCAUUUUUCCUUUUGUGACAUCCCCUAAAAAAAGUAAAAACAAUGUUGUUCGUAUUUUACCAGAGAUACACUGAGCUGGGACAAAUUGGUCUGAAAUAAAAUAUGAUGGCUUCGGAGGAUUCGGAAGGGAAGAAAUUUGCUUUCUUCCAACAUAUAUGGUCUGCUGAACUAAACUUCGUUUCAGCGGGCUUUGCCAAAAAUCUGUAACUGCAAACAUCAACUUGUGUGCCCUUCCUACGUCAAACUUUAAACCUGAGCUCAGUGUACUUUAUGAGUGUUAAGUGUACUUUCUAAAUAGCAGAGAAACCAUAACAUCUAAGCACAACCCAGCAACUUGUACAAGCUAACAUCAAAUCUGAAAGAAGAAAUGUCGAGAACAGGUGAAGGUACCAUGAUCCACGACUGAGCAAAGUUAUCUAUUAUCCUCGGUGAAUAUCAUAAAUUAGGAUCAACUACGCUGAAGAACAAACGGGAAAGGAACCUAGAAAGAUCUUUUGCCGGUAGAAUAUAACUGAUACACUAUCCUCAUUCUCGAGAUCAAGGUCGUUUCUUGAAUUGCAGUUUCCUCACUGUAGUAUGGGGUCAUUACACUGCGAAGAACAAAGUGUCAUAUGAAUCAUUUAGAGCCCAAUCUUUUUCACUGAAACUCUUAUGAUCACAUAACGAAUUUAAACAUAAGGUUUAUUAGAUAUUUGUUGUUGUGAAUAGAUAAUAUAUUUCUGGUGUUGACAAUGUUUUGAUUAUGGAUGCACUUCAAGAUGGGUGGCACAGAUUCUGUUGUACAGGCCUCCACCUGGAAUUUCAUCACUUGUUAUUUUUGUUUUAGAAUGUCUAGGUGCAUUUUUCCUUUAAGGUGGAAACAGAUGUACUUGUAUAAGCAACAAGAAUACAAAGCGCCACUGCCAUACAUUGUGGAAGUUCAGUGCUUCUGUUUACAAAAUCUGCUUCCCAAAACAGAAGGUUUAUAAUUUUUUAUUACAAUCAAGCGGACAUGAGCUGAUGAGUACAGAUGUAGACAUGUACUGAGAGCAGCACCCUUUCAAAAGUGGAUCAUUUACAUGUUGGAUAGUUUGAUGGUCUGAAAUUAAUGGUCGUGUUUCAGAAUUGUUAUCGAAUAGUAGGGGAUAUAUAUUAACUUCUGAAAUUAGUGGCUGUUUGUCAGAACUGUUAUCGAAUAGUAGGGCACAUAUAUUAACUUCAAUAAGUGGACUAAUAUCUUUGGAUUCGCUGUGAGGAAAGAUUACCAAAACAAAACAGAAGUGAGUGCGACGACCCAGAUGAGGGCGCUCUUGAGCCUCUUCCCGACCGACCUAGAUGCAGGAGCAGAACACGGCGGAUCUAAUCAGCCAACCAAUAAAGCCGAGGAAGUAAGGGAGGAAGAAGACUGACUUGUCCUGGUCGCCCUCGUAGUUAGAACAUGGCGAACAGGAUGACGAGGAAGACGAGGACAGCGUCGAGGAUGUAGACGACGAGCCAGAGCAUGUUCAUGGGCAGGAUCAAGCAUGGGCAGGAUAAGGGCGCAGGCCCCGUUGUAGGCGGCGUGCUUGCAGGCCUGGCGGUUGGCGACGUCGGCGGGGAGCAUGAGGAUGGAGAGGACGGCGACGGUGAUGCCGAGCACGAUGACGAGCUUGAGGAAGUAGGCCUGGUUGGCAUCAUCCGGGUGCUGGUAGUUGACGAGCAGGCAGACGCUGACGAGGAGCACCAGGAUGCUGACCACCGCCGCCACGAUCACUAGCGCCACGUUAAAAAACCCAUAUCCUCGGGGCUCCGGUCCCGGUUCCGGCCCGCCGCCUCGCCCCCGUUGGUCGGUCAGAUCUCUCUGUCCCUAGAGGCGGGGGAUACAGGCUAGGGUUUGGGCGUGGGCGGGGAAUAGGCUGCUAUGGUGCCGGCAGCGGGGCGUGGAGGAGAGAAGGAUUAGGAGGAAUAAUUCACCACACUUUGAUUAACCUCUCGGCUGGGUCUUAUGUACAGAUUACAGGGCCAGCCAGGGAGAUCAUGAGGUGAUCCACUACCUGGGAUCGUGCGCCACGAUCACUACAUGCGUGCGCCACGAUCAUAUACACACACGCUACACCUAGUGUCUACGCAACUACGGUAUAGCAGUACGGUACAGUCUAACACCCCCCCCCCCCCGCAGUCGUGACGUCGUCGGCGGCGACGCAAAGACUGGACCGGAACUCAGAGAAAACAUCCGAUGGCAGGCCUUUGGUCAUGAUGUCCGCGAGUUGUUGGCGCGUGGGGAUGUGAAGAACACGGAAGUGGCCGAGGGCGACGCGCGCCCGCACGAAAUGGAUGUCCAGCUCCACAUGCUUAGUGCGGCGAUGAUGCAUCGGAUUGGCUGACAGGUAGACUGCGGACACAUUGUCACAGUACACCAGUGCUGCCUUGGUCACUGGAGCGGAGAGCUCGCCGAGAAGCUGGCGGAGCCAGAUGCAUUCAGCGACCGCGUUGGCGACGCCGCGGUAUUCAGCUUCGGCGCUGGAGCGCGAUACGGUCGCCUGGCGCUUGGAGGACCAGGAGACGAGAGCAUCGCCGAGGAAGACGCAGAAGCUCGACGUGGAGCGUCGGGUGUCGGGGCAGCCGGCCCAGUCCGCGUCGGUGAACGCAAGGACGUCGAGCGUGGUCGAGGCGUGAAGAUGAAGCCCGAGUGCGCAGGUGCCCUUCACGUACCGGAGCACGCGCUUGACGAGCGCGAGGUGGCAUUCGCGCGGGUCAUGCAUGUGCAAGCAGAUUUGCUGGACGGCGUAGGCGAUCUCUGGACGCGUGAUGGUGAGGUACUGCAGGGCCCCGGCGAUGCUCCGAUAGGCCGAGGGGUCGUCGACGCAGGGCCCAUCGGCUGAGAGGAGUUUGCUCUUCGUGUCGAUGAGUGUCGGGGAAGGGCGGCAGGUGUCCAUGCCGGCGCGUUCCAGGAGUUCGUCGGCAUAUUGUUGUUGCGACAGGAAGAAGCCAGCUCGGGUGCGGGUGACGCGGAUGCCGAGGAAGAAGGCGAGCGAGCCCAGGUCCUUCAUGGCGAAUUCGCCUGUGAGGCGCUGGAUGACAUGGUGAAGCACGCGUGACGAGGACGCGGUGAGCACGAUGUCGUGGAUGUAGAUGAGGAGGAACGCCAUGUCGUUGCCGUGCCGGAAGGUGAACAGCGACGAGUCCGAACGCGUAGCUGCGAAGCCAAUGGAGCGGACGAAGCCGGCGAAGCGGAGGAACCAGGCACGGGGCGCCUGCUUGAGCCCGUACAAGGACUUGGAGAGGCGGCAGACGUGCUCUGGUUUGUCGGGGUCGACGAAUCCGGCGGGCUGGAGGCAGUAGACUUCCUCCUCCAAGUUGCCGUGGAGGAAGGCGUUGGAGACGUCGAGGUGGUGCACCGGCCAGCCGCGCGACGCGGCCAUAGUGAGCACAGUGUGGAUCGUCGCUGGCUUGACGACGGGGGAGAACGUCUCGCCGUAGUCGACGCCGGCACGCUGAUGAAAGCCCCGCACGACCCAGCGUGCUUGCUAGCGGGCCAGCGCACCGUCGGCGUCGUUUUUGUGCUUGAAGAUCCACUUCCCUGUGAUCAGGUUGGCGCCGGGGGGGCGGGGCACCAGCUCCCAUGUGCGAUUGCGCACGAGCGCAUCGUACUCAGCACGCAUGGCACCGAGCCAGUUCGGGUCGUGAACAGCAGCGCGAACCGAACGCGGCACCGGCGACACCGAUGAUGAGGUAGAGGCGGUGGCCGCGUCGUAGUAGCGCGGGUUGGGGCGGAAGAUGCCGCGCUGGGCACGCAUGACCAUGGGCACAGGAGGCGCCGGUGCGCGGGGCGCCGUUGGUCGCGCGCUCGGAGACGAGCUGUCGGAGGAGCCACUGGCGGAGUUGUCGGAGGAGCCGCUGGCGGAGGCGAAGACAGGCGGACCUGGCGCGGAUGGGCACGUCGAGGACGGAGCAGAGCCGCCAUCGGAAGCGCCCGCAGCGCACCGCGAGCUAACGCGGCGCGCCCCGCUGGUUGGCGAUGAUGAGCGGGGCAGGCUGGUGAUGGAGAUCGGGCGCGCCGGCAGGACGGGUGACAUGCUGCUGUCAGGCACCGGUGGAAGCGCAGGCAGCGCAGGAGGCCGGACGGCGAGCGGGAUCUGCAGGGUAGAGGGUACGACGGGUGGCGUAGGCGACGGGGAAGAGGAUGCGAACGGGAAAACGUGGUCGUGGAAGAGAACGUGGCGAGACGUGAGGACACAGCGAGAGGUGAGGUCAAAGCAGCGAAAACCACGAUGAUCGGGAGGGUACCCGAGGAAGACGCAGGCGAUAGAACGUGGCUCGAGCUUAUGGCGGGUGGUGGCGGUGACGUUCGGAUAGAUGCGGAGUAAUUUGUGCGACGCCGAGCAGGAGUUCAUGCGGAGUGCAGGGCGCCGAGGCGCGGCAGGGCCGAUGAUUGAGCAGGUAGGUCGAGGUGUUGAGAGCCUCUGCCCAGAAGCGAGCGGGCAUGUGCGCAUGACAGAGAAGCACACGAACGCCGUCGUUGAUCGUGCGGAGAACUCGCUCGUCCUUGCCGUUCUGCUGACUGGUGUAUGGGCAGGUGAGACGGAAGUGUGUGCCGUGGCGAGCAAGCAGAGAGCGCACAGCUGCGCUGUCGAAUUCACGACCAUUGCCCGUUUGCAGUGCAAGUAUGGGUAACUGAAACUGAGUCUGAACAUAGGCAAAGAAAUCAACAAGUAUGGGAAGAACUUCAGACAUGUGUUUCAGAGGGAAAGUCCAGACAUAGUGACUGAAAUCAUCUAGUACAACUAAGUAAAACUGAUAGCCGGAUAUGCUUACAACGGGAGCGGUCCAUACAUCAAGGUGUAAAAGCUGGAAAGGAAAGAAACUAGCAGUGGUGGAUGUCUGAAACGGGAGCCAGGUGUGUUUGCCAACACGACAGGCAUGACAGACAGGCGGAUCACGGCAGAACUCCAGGGACUGAUCGGCAGCAACGGUGCGGAGUGCGGCAGCCCCUGGGUGGCCGAGACGUUGAUGCCACAGGUCGGUCGUGGCGGCGCCGGCGAAGAUGCCCGGGGAAUGGACGGAUGGCCGCACCACGGGAUAGAGAUCGCCGUCGGAGUCACAUCGGAGAAUCACUACCCUGGUUCGUAGGUCCUUGACAGAGAAACCACGAGCGUCAAAUUCAACAGAAACGGGGUAGGAACGACAAAGCUGCCGAACUGAAAGUAGGUUUUUGACGAGAGAUGGAGAGACGAGAACGUUGCGGAGAGGAAUGGGGGAAGUGCUGGUGAUCAGCGCGCCCGUGCCAACGUGGGUGAUGGGCAGGCGGUCACCACUGCCCACGAUGAUAGAUGCAGUAGUAGAGGACGGGCGAGUGGAGAGGAGAUUACCAGGGGAGGACGUCAUGUGCGCCGCGGCGCCGGAGUCGAGGUACCACUCCGGUGCGCUGCCAGAGGAGGAAGGGCUGGCCGAGGCGCUGUGGAGGGCGGCCUGGAGCGAGGCCAUGUCCCAUGGCUGGUGGGUUGCAGUCGACGAGCUGGCGCCGGGGUGCCCGUAGCCUGACAGGACGUCGGAGACGGGUGGAGUGACGCCGUAGCCGGGGAGGGUAGCGCCGUAGCCGUAUGGUGCAGCCGGCGACGGGGCGGCGAACAUGGCCUGCUGGUACGGCGUACCAGGGCGGGGGCCGAGCACUUCAGCUCCAGCCGCGCGCCAAGGCAUCGGCCAAGCCUGGACCAUGCCGGUCCAUGCGUUUGUACCGGGUGCAGGCGUGGGGUACGCUGGGGGAGGGCGGGGAGCCUGGGAGGACGGCGUGGGCGGGCCACCAAUGCCGUUGCCACGUCUGGGGCGGCGUCCGCGCCCACGCCCUUGGUUGGUGUUGCUGGGCGGGGGUGUGGGUGGUGUAGGAGAGCCGCCACGCCCGGCGACGAGAGCGUGCGCAGACUGCUGGCGAGUGGUCGACUGCUCUGCUCGGUGUUCCUCAAGCAGGACGAAGGAGCGCACCUGCAGGAACGACGGGAGCGGGACCUGCGAGGUGAUGUGAGGGAUGGCGGAGUGGAACUGCCGGUUCAGACCGCGGAGCAGGUUGAAGACCUGCCGCGAGUCGGUUACCGGCUGCCCGAGGUGGCGGAGUUGAUCCGUGAACGACUUCAUCUUGGUGCAGUACACCAUGAUCGACAUGUCGCCCUGAACGAUAGCGUGGUACUCGGCGUCGAGGUAGACAGCGCGAGCGAGGUGGUUGUCGCGGAAGAUUCCAUCGACCGCAGUCCAGACGGCCAGAGCAGUGUCGUCCGGCUGCAUGACGGCGUCGAGCAGGUCCGGCGAUAUGGUGGUGUAGAACCAGUGGACGACGACGUGAUCAGCCAUGCCCCACUCGGGAUCAUCGUGGCGGUGGAUGGCCGUGGCGCCGAACAUGCCGAUGACGGUGUCGAAGUGGCGGCGCCACUGCGUGUAGUUGCCGGCGAGAAGGUCGAGGGUGACCGGGACAUGACGACGGAUGUCCACGGUCUGCAGGAUCGCGGAGGCGACAGGUGCUGUAGCAGGAGGAGGAGGGAUGACGGGCACCGCGGGCGCGACAGGUGCUGGAGCCGGCGGUGCCUUGGCCAGGGGGACAGCGUUAAGGACGCCGUCGGCGCCGUGCUGCGAGGAGCGAGGGGACACGAUGGGGUUGUCAUCCAUGGCGGCGGAAGCGGGACUGGCGACCUGCGCGAAGGGAUUGAGCAGGUCGGGGGAAUCUGGUACCAUAGAGGAGAGAAGGAUUAGGAGGAAUAAUUCACCACACUUUGAUUAAGCUCUCGGUUGGGUCUUAUGUAUAGAUUACAGGGCCAGGGAGAUCACGGGGUGAUCCACUACCUGGGAUCGUGCGCCAGGAUCACUAUAUGCGUGCGCCACGAUUAUAUACACACAUGCUACAACUAGUGUCUACGCAACUACGGUAUAGCAGUACAAUACAGUCUAACAGGGCAGCCACCGGCGGGGAGGGCGGGAUCCACGCGGGGUGGCGGGAUUUGGGCAGGCGGUGGGCUCGGGGGAGGGCGGUGGCAGCGAAGCAGCAAGGAGGGGCUGGAGGAGAUGAAACGAAAGAGGUCGCGUGACACAGCGACAGCGUUGUCCAAUCCCCGCGCUGCCGAUUUAAAAAAAAGGUAAUGAUAACUCCCGAACGUUCGGGAGUUAAGCAUGGAAACCCGAACGGGUUUAGAUGGCAAGUUUAGUUUGCGUGAGAUUAGGAAAACAUGGCAAUUUUCUGACAAAAGAAAUGAAAAAGGAUGAAGUUGCCAUCCCUAUCAACUAAAGUUGCCAUCCCCUAUGAACUAAAGUUGCCAUGUAAAAACGUUCGGGACGAAAUGCUCAAAAUCCGAACGUUCGGAAGUUACUGGAUUCAAAAAAAUCCCCUUGCUGCCAAUCGCUGGUCCGUUUCUUUUUUCGCCCAAUCGCUAGGUGAUGACGUGGCUAUCGCGGGAAGGCGCCCUUGAUGCGUAGUCGAAUGGUUUUAAUUAAUAGGAAGCGAGUGCUUACUCUAGUUACUGAAUUAUGUACACCAAAUAAAGCCAUUUACACGUAGUUAAUGACAAAAAAAGUUGAUGUUUGCUACGCAAAUGUGUAGUACAAAUUAAGAAGUGCAAGAUAAAAAAAAAUGCUGGUCCUUGAUUCGUUGUUGAUCGUCAGCAUGCCAUCAUCAAUUUGUAGUUAAUUAUCAUACAAAUUGGCUCUUUCAUAGAGUUGGAGACUAGCUCCUUUGAUCAGCACGCGCUUAAACACAAACAGCACGUAUAUGUUUUGUCUCCGGAGUUCAAUUCUUCAUCGGCCAGUAAAAAUGGCCCGACCAGGUAGAGGAAAAGGCAUGUUUGUUAGUACGCCUGGAGGAAAUGCCUUUGAUUAGGGCAUCUUCAACAGCGACCAGUAAAUUUCCUCCCGCGUUCGUCCACGGAUAGGGGAUCAGUCCGCGGAUACGAAUACAGGAAUCAUCCAUCCAACGCUGUCCGCGUAUAUUUCAAACACAUUUUUUUUAAAAAUAGGAUGAAAUUCAUGCAAACACAAUGGAUUUCAUACAAACCGGACAAAAAUGUUUACAUUUUGGACAUUUUUUUUUACUAAAAACUCUACAGCCGGCGCCGGCGAAUAUCCACUCCGGCGACAUGGAUACCCUUGACUAGUCUACUGCCGGCCGCAGCGGAUCUCCGAUGUCGUCCCCAUGUCCGGCAGCUAUGAGCCCUAGAGGUAUAUGCUUCAGCGCAAAGAGCGGCUCGCCUCCCUACCGCUCAUCGGAGUGGAACAACCAGCUGAUGCUUCUGCCGAUGGAAAGGGUCCCUACGCUACACGGAUUAGAGUUGGUUUUGGGCUGGGAACGGCGGUGGCCUGCCAGAGGGCAAGACACCGACUGUGUAUGCUGGUGUCACCUGGUGUGGCAUUCGUGGGACCCAAGCGGCAGCGCCUCCUCGAUGAUGGCGGCGAGCGCGGACGUGUUGGACACCACCUCGUCGAUGUCCGUGCAGCCCGCUUCUUUCUCUAUAGGAAGGACGCGGUUACGCUCGCGUUGACAUCGGAUGACUCGGUCACAUGCACGGGAGGGGCGGUACGACAUGGCAUCGCCAAUGGCAGCCAUGAUGCCCGCGCCACCGUGCUCCCUCCCAGUGCCGACCUGGAGCAACUUGCCACUCCUCGGCUCGUGACCGGUGGGCUUGACGGGCCACCUAGCCAUUUUUUAUGCCAGACAACUCUUCUUCCUGCUCGUCAGAUGUCAUGGAUAAAACUGUUUAAGGAGGAAAAUGAUGAGUGGACGUGUGAUGCGGUUCUUGCCCAACAUCUGACAUUGUUUAAAUAGUGAGGGGACACGAGAGGAGCCAACCGGCGUUCUGUUUAAUGCCAACCGGCUCGCGAACGAACAUGUGGCCGGAGUAAUUAUCCUGGCACACACGAGGGUUUUAUGGUGGAAGGCGGGCAGUCUGCAGGAAUGAGGCGAGGAUGUGUGCUUAGCCGGCGUGCAGCAGGCGGUGCCCUCGGCCGGCGUGCUGCUUCCAUUGCGGAGGCAGUGAAAGGUCGCGUCCGCUCUGCAGCGCAUGAAUGCGGGCAGCUGGCGCAGAGCGGGAACGCGUGUGGGCGAGGGAGGAGGGGGUUUGGGCGGGUGGUCAGAAGAGGUCGUGGGUGUUGUCCGAACGCCUGCAAAGCCCCCCUCCAUGUUUGUCUCCAGUUUGCGGGAGAAAGUACGUCCGGACCGUCUCCAAUGGACCAAUACAGGCCCGCAUUGGAUGGCACAACACGUCCGGACGAUGUGGUCCGGAUGGUUGUGGACAGUUUAAUUGAGGGUCGGCGUUGGAGAUGCCUUAGAGUUUAUGAAUCCAUUGUGUUUUUCUAAUCAUAAAAAAGCACUUACAAUAAGUUAUAAGGAAAGACACGAUUAUAUGUUAGGUUCAGACUCCAGCUUUCGUUUUACAUAUGCUUUAUUCAUCCGACUGAUUCCAAUAGAGUGAGCCUAGCGUUGUUUUUCUGGAAACUCGCGGGAUAAGGAGACAUGCAUACACAUUCUUUCAAGCAAAUCACAUCCAUUUUUUUUAACUCAUUUUUCUUCUUUUAAUAAUAUAAUAGAUCAUUUAUAUUUUUUAUCUGAAACAGUUGACGUGUAAUUUAUAUUGUAAUCUGAGGAUAAUGUUUGGAUUUUACUUUCAAAUAUAUUUGAAAUGGCCAUGAUGGAAUCACAUCCAUUUAUUUUAUUAUUAUUUGAAUUUGAUCCAAAAGAUAAAUAAUGAGUAGAGGUCAUGUCAACUUUUCUGAGAACUUUGCUAAUCAAAAUAUAAAUUGUAUUUAAAAACAUCUAUUUUUUAGCACGCAUGAAAAACAUAACACGUAUCUUUUCACACAUAAUGAACGGUUGUCAUAAGAACUCAUGCCAUGCCACAACCUCCCUCCGACCCUGCCAACAUUGUUGCAGCUGCACUCGCAAGCCUUAGCGUAGAUGAUAAUUUAUACAAUUUGCGUAAAAACAAAAUAAGAUCUACAAAUGAAUAGAAGCUAGAACGUACAUUGGCAUGCACACACAUUGCAAGCCAUACUAAGCUGAUAAGUGUUAAUAACUUGUAUAACAUAUACAACACUUAACACAAGUAAAAGCAAUUUGAUGAGUCAUGGUCUAUCAAAGCCACAUUACUAGUCUAAUCCAUCUUAACAGGUCACACAUGAUUAAAAUCUUGUUUGUGUGCAAGUCAAGCUUAUCUAGUUUACAUGUAACAACUUGUAGAACAUUACAAAAUUUAUGUUUGCUAAUAACUUCUAGAACACUACAACACUUGACAUGUAAAAGGAAUUUGAUGAGUCAUGGCCUACUAAAGCAAGUUAUAUUACUAGUCUUAUCUACCUUAACAGGCCACACAAGAUUACAAACCAAGUUCUGUGCCAGCCAUGCUUAUCUAGUUUAUGCGUAACAAUUUGCAGAAAAUUACAAACUUAGUUUCAGAAAAAUAGGCAAUCUAGAUUAGUGUUUGAGCUGUAAAGUGAAUAAAAUGAGUCAUGCGUGUUAUCACACCUUUUUGGUUGUGGAAUGAUAGUGCAACAACAAGGAACUUUAAUGACCAGUUCAAGAAUACACUUGUAAGUAGUGCCACCGAACACAACAUACCAAAUUAUGAUUUUGAGAAGCAUCCAAGCACUUCCACACAAGCAAAUGCCAAUUGUGAAAGAGAUCAUGCCAUGGCAGCUAUAAAUAGGCCCGUAGCAUGACGAUCAUCCUUCCUCAUCCAUCAUUCUCAUAAGUAGAGCGCAUCAUUUAAGCCAAGCAAGCAGUGCUCAAUACAAAUCCACCAUGAAGACCUUUCUCAUCCUUGCACUCCUUGCUAUUGUAGCAACCACCGCCACAAUUGCAGUUAGAGUUCCAGUGCCACAAUUGCAGCCACAAAAUCCAUCUCAGCAACAACCACAAGAGCAAGUUCCAUUGGUACAACAACAACAAUUUCCAGGGCAGCAACAACCAUUUCCACCACAACAGCCAUAUCCGCAGCCGCAACCAUUUCCAUCACAACAACCAUAUCUGCAGCUGCAGCCAUUUCCGCAGCCGCAACUACCAUAUCCGCAGCCGCAUCUACCAUAUCCGCAGCCGCAACCAUUUCGACCACAACAACCAUAUCCACAACCGCAACCACAGUAUUCGCAACCACAACAACCAAUUUCGCAGCAGCAGCAACAACAACAACAACAACAACAACAACAGAUCCUUCAACAAAUUUUGCAACAACAACUGAUUCCAUGCAGGGAUGUUGUAUUGCAACAACACAGCAUAGCGCAUGGAAGCUCACAAGUUUUGCAACAAAGUACUUACCAGCUGGUGCAACAAUUGUGUUGUCAGCAGCUGUGGCAGAUCCCCGAGCAGUCGCGGUGCCAAGCCAUCCACAAUGUUGUUCAUGCUAUUAUUCUGCAUCAACAACAACAACAACAACAACAACAACAACAACAACAACCGUUGAGCCAGGUCUCCUUCCAACAGCCUCAACAACAAUAUCCAUCAGGCCAGGGCUCCUUCCAGCCAUCUCAGCAAAACCCACAGGCCCAGGGCUCUGUCCAGCCUCAACAACUGCCCCAGUUUGAGGAAAUAAGGAACCUAGCGCUAGAGACGCUACCUGCAAUGUGCAAUGUCUAUAUCCCUCCAUAUUGCACCAUUGCUCCAGUUGGCUUCUUCGGUACUAACUGAGAAGAGAAGAACUCUAGUAGUAGACAUAUGAUACACCGUUUUCUUAGUCCAUGGUUUGGUCGUUGUAGCGGUGAAAAAAUAAAGUGACAUGCAGUAUCAUGUAAGAACCCGAACUAUACUAGUUCAAACAUGGGAAUAAAAGACAAACACAUGUCUUGUCUACAUAUGAUUGUUUGUUUGAGUUCCACUCAUGUGCCCACUCACAAGUUCACCCCUAAUUAUAUAUAUUAUGCAUUAAGUAGAUAUUUAUGUUGCAUUAAUCUAAAGAUAACAAAAUGAGUCUGAAAUUUGACUUAAAUUGAAGUAUUUCCUUGGACGUUCAAAUGGAGUAUUAUUAAAGUAGUAAGGACUAUCCACAUCCUUGGCUUGCCCUUGAUCAAUUAUUUCCAGAGAAGCAUUCAAUUCAUCAAUCAAUUACAUUGAUUUUUGUGGCUGGUACUUCUCCUCAACAUGAGUAUAUUCAUCGCGGCUACUCCAAAUAGGCAUGAAUGAGGUACCGGUGCUCUGGAGCACUGGUACCUAACUGCUUCUCAUGUGAAGGGGUGCGGGCGCGGGAGAGGUGUUUUUGGUGGGCCAGGGGAGUAAGAAUCGGCCGUGGCAGCGGUCCAGACGCCCACAAAGCCCCGUAGUUUGUUUUUGGUUUACAGGAAAAUGCACAUCCAGACCGGCCUGCGGGCCGAUAUAGGACCGUAUUGGAUGGCAAAACAUGUCCGGAUGGUCGCGAGCGGUUUAAGGGUUAGCUUUUGUAACGCCUGGUUAGUUAUGCUAUGGUAAUUCCCUGCUAAUGAUGUCACGUCAGCACGAUUACUGUUGUUAACCUCACAAUGAUUCAAUCCCAUUCAAAUUCAAAUUUAAAAUAAAGGCAAAAAUCAAAAGUCUCAAACAUUAAAACUAAAAUCUUCGAGAGGUGAAAAAUAAUGCAUAAGUAAUUAUGGUGGAGCAACCACACUUUUAUAAAAUGUUUAAAUACUCUAAAAAUAAUAAAACAGUGGCUUAAACUAUUAUUUAAAUGCUUUUAAAAUAGUAAAAAUGUUCUAACUAAAUUAAUUGGGUACCAAACUUUUGGUGGCAGUGGUAUAUUUAGUAGAACUAAUUUAGAUGCUAAUAAAACAUAAAAGGAAAGACAAAACAAAUAAAAGUAAAAGGGGGCAACCCCUCGCUGGGCCUCGGCCAAGCUGGCCACUGGGCUAGCUAGGUUGGCCCAACCGCCUCCCUUAACCCCCCACUCCCCAUCGAACCCUAGACCGAUCGCCCCACUUCCCCCACACCCCCUCGUCAGCCUCCCCACCUCUCGAUCCCAUCUGGAUCGGGGAGGGGAUCGCCCCCAUCGACCCCGUCGCGGUCGCUGGAUCGCCCGCUCGCCCAUCGCCCGCCGCCGUCGCGAGACCUCCUCCCCGUCGCACGUCUCCGACUCUCCUCCCCUCUCGCUCCUCUUCCCCGACCCGAUCUGGAUCGGGAAGGGCCAAUGAGCCAAACGCCCCCCUCCAUCGACGAUGUGCUCCAGCACCGCCGCCCGAAGACCUCGCCCUCGCCGGACCUCGCGUCGCCUCCUCGUAUCCCUCCCCGACUCGCCUCCUCAAGCCACGCCGACCCCCUUCUCGGCAACGCUGUGAGCUGCCCCCGUUUCCAUCCUUCUCUUUCCACCGUGUUCACCGCGCUGCCUGCCGUGCCCCUCGCUGCGCGCACGCCCACCACCGUGCCAGCCCCUGCUCCGAGCCCUCUCCUGCACGCUUGUGCGCGCAUGACCCUAGCCGCGCCCACGCCGUGAUCCCCUUGUCCCGCCCGCCUUCGUCCCGCGCUCGCCGCGGCCCCCAUGCUCCCAUGCGCCCUCUUUUGGGGGCGUCGGCUGCCCCUGUCCCGCAGCUCGCUGGCAUGCGUCCCCGCCCGCGCCUCGCCACCGCUCUACUGCUACGCUACUAUUGCGCUGUGGCCGCCGCCGCUUCCCGCUGCUCUGCCAGCGCCAAAGCUCCCGGUUGGCCCUGCCGCUGCUCGCGUUUAACCGCCGGCCUAAGCGGCCUAACCUCCCCCCUCGCUAAUGAACCCCCACCGACCCGCUGACACCGGGACCCACAUCCCCUAAUUAACCAUUUAAUAAAUUAAAACUCUUAAAUUAACAUUAGUGUAUGACAUGUGGGUCCCCUAUUAAUUAAACUGAUUUAAUUAAAAUCUAUUAACUUUGAGUCUAUGACAUAUGGGCCCCACUAAACAUUUGACCAGUCAACGGUCCAGUCAAAUGCUGACCGGACAGUUGACCAGAGGGCCCCGCCAGUCAGCCAAUGUGCUGUUCUGCUGGGUACCUUUCUAAGUACACCUAGCAUUUUACAUUUACAAUAUUUGUUUUAAAAUAAAUUAGAAUAAUUUCAAAAAAAUAUUAAAACUUUUAAAAUUAAAAUAAAAUAAUCCAUAACUCGGAUGAAAUUACUUUAUACAUGGAAGUUGCUCAAAAAACGAGACGAAUUCGAAUACACAGUCCGUUCGUCUGCCACGCGUCCCUAGCAUAGCGAACAUGCAACCAUCCCCCUCCGGUUCGACUCUCCGAAAAAUUAUUAUUGCACAUGCCCGCUAAGAGGUUGGCUGUAUAUGACAUGACAACUUCUUAUAGCCGACCCUUGGCUGUAAUAUUAACCAUGCUCUUAGUGAGGUAGCUAGUAUAUCAUAGACGACUAGCUAGUAUCAGACUAGCCAAAGUGGGAGUAACUUCAGCAGUAACAUCGACUCCAACUCAGCAAACUUGCUUAUGUGGGAGUAAACCCUGCCUAAUGCAAAAUACAAUCCCAGUCGUAAUUUUUUCAGGAAACGUGUGGGAUCCCAAACGAAAAGCACACGUCACUCUUGCGGCAACCGUCGGUGACACCCAAUAAAUCACAAACGGUAUGCAGCACUUGUAUGUGUGCAAAGGGGCUCCUGAACCGUUUGUGAUAGAACAUUAUCGCAGACGGUAAUUGUUGGCAAACGUGUGCGAUGGAGUCUAGCAUGGCAGACGGGUUACGCAGAAAACUCGUGUGCGAUGGGGCACAAAUCGCACACUGUUCAUAUGUUGGCCCAUGUGCCUUACAUACUAUUUCCCAAAUGGUUUGUUACGACAGACCGUAUCGUUUCAGUGCGUCAUUAGAAACGCUUAAUCACUGAUACCACACGUGCGAAAGAAUUUAGUGCGUGCUGCAUCGCACACGAUUACAUUUUGGAAGGCCUCUGGAUCACUGCUCCAUAUCCCCGACGGUUUCUGGGCCGUGUGGGAAGGACACCCUAUCACACACACUCACUUGGCGACGGCUCCAAAUGCUGUCGUGGAAAGGGGUUAAAAACAGUUUGUUUAGGACCGACGCGUACCAGUGUCUAUCUAUCUAUCUAUCUAUCUAUCCAUCUAUCUAUCUAUCUAUCUAUCUAUCUAUCUAUCAAUCUAUCUAUCCAUCUAUCCAUCUAUCCAUCUAUCCAUCUAUCCAUCUAUCUAUCUCAAUCCACCUAUCUAUCUAUCCAUCUAUCCAUCUAUCUAUCUCUCCAUCUAUCCAUCUAUCUAUCCAUCUAUCCAUCCAUCUACUAUCCAUCUAUCUAUCCAUCCAUCCAUCUAUCUAUCCAUCCAUCUAUCUAUCUAUCUAUCUAUCUAUCUAUCUAUCUAUCUAUCUAUCUAUCUAUCUGUCUGUCUAUCUAUCUAUCUAUCUGUCUGUCUGUCUAUCUAUCUAUCUAUCCAUCUAUUCAUCUAUCUAUCUAUGUAUCCAUUUAUCCAUUGAUCCAUCUAUCGAUCCAUCGAUCCAUCCAUCUAUCCAUCCAUCUAUCCAUCCAUCUAUCUAUCCAUAUAUCCAUGUAUCCAUGUAUCCAUCUAUCCAUCUAUCGAUCUAUCCAUCUAUCCAUCUAUCCAUCUAUCCAUCUAUCUAUCUAUCCAACCAUCUAUCGAUCUAUCGAUCUAUCGGUCUAUCCAUCUAUCGAUCUAUCCAUCUCUCCAUCUACCAAUCUAUCCAUCUAUUCAUUUACCGAUCUAUCUAUCCAUCUAUCUAUCUAGCUAUCUACCUAUCUAUCUAUCUAUCUAUCUAGCUAUCUAGCUAUCUAUCUAUCUAGUUAUUUAGCUAUCUAUCUGUCUACCUACCUACCUACCUAUCUAUCUAUCUAUCUAUCUAUCUAUCUAUCUAUCUAUCUAAAGGAAAUAUGCCCUAGAUGCAAUAAUAAAGUUGUCAUUUAUAUUUCCUUAUAUCAUGAUAAACUAGCGGAGUCACCCGCGCAUUUGCGCGGCUAGAUUGACUACAUAUAUUGUUAUAUUUGGGAUUAUUUUUCUAUGCCAAUUUUAUGGCCUCUUACUCAGAUAUUAUCUAAUUGAAUUUACCACCACCAUAUGUUAUAUCCAUAGAUUAUAAUUAAAAGGCAACUUCCGACGAAACAUGGACAGAUUAUUGAGUGCUUAGAAGACGGACGCAAUAUCAUAUAUAGACUUCUAUACCAAUCUUCAUGGUUCCCAUCUUUGAUCCUCUCCUCGUCCCUUGGUAUCUAUCUUUGCACCCAAUAUGUCUUUGGAGUUCCAAGAAUUGAAUCUUAGCAUGAAUGGCUUCAAUGUGUACCAAAUGUUCUCUUGUUCCUCCCAAAUUAAUUACUGGUUGCAUUCUUAGUUGCUUUGACAUUCUUGGUUAAUGCAAUGUCUUGCCUACCAAUAUAUGCAUCCACACACGAUAAUAUUUAUAUGACCACUUACCUUUGUAUUCUGGUAUUUGUGCUUCAGAAUUUUUCUCUCAUUCAGUUUAUUCAUAGAUUAAAAACGUCGAUCGUUUCUUUAUUGGUUUGCAUUAUCUUGUUUGCCGAACGUAAGCAUCCACACAUGCUCGUCAUGAUAUGAUUGGUCAUCAUUGUAUAUUUGUAUUUGUGUGUUGAUAGCUUAAGGAUUUUCUCGGAUUCACUUCAUAGUUUAAGGAUUUUCUCGCGUUCAAUUUAUUCUACCUUAUUCAUUUUCAUGUUUCUUUAUUGCAUUUAUAUCAAUUCUUACAAUAUAUUUUCCAAGAUAUGAACUCAACUGCUAAUUACGUAGUUUUUCAUCAAAAAUUACAUGUAAAAAUGUUACAAAUGCAUAAACAUGAUAAAAAUAUAUAUCAUAUUCCAUUGAGAGAUCGCCCAUUUAAAAAAAACACGUUGACUUACAAAAAGGACAAUUCAAGCUGCAUGUACGUCCGACUCAUGUUUACCUGACAAUGUCGAUGUUGAUUUCAGCAGUAAAUGAGCUGUGUGUGACCUUUGCGCUUUCCGGUAUUCUUCUAACCUGUGUGCUUUAUGAUCAGUUUGUUGUGCUUAGUACUGGACACUGGAGUAUACUAUCAUAUUUGGUACAAAUAAAUCUGAACUACUAUAGUUAUGAUCCACUCUAUAGUUAAUGGUGGUGGUAAUUAAUAUAUGUGGUUAAAUACUUGCGCUCCUUAGGUGGGGAGUUGAAUUUGUAUUUCCCUAAAAUAAAUUUCAGAUUUCGUAAUAGUGGUGAAGCCAGCCGGAAGAACCUCUGCGUCAUUAUUAAUUUUGGUGAUAUUUUUCUUCAUAGUGUAGAAUAAUUUUAGUGCUUAUUCCGCAAAAAAUAUGGCCUCAACUGACCCCAUAGCUUGUAUGUUGCGCCACCACUGUUUCCUAUAUCUUUUUACAUCCGUUGUUUUUAGAUCUUGAUGCAUAACUUUGACAAUAUUUAAUAGAUAUGUGUCUGUAUAAAAAAUUAUAAAUGCUAUGAUAAUUUGAUUAAUUAUGAUGAAUAAAAUGUUAUUGCUCUGACUUGAUCCCUCUAGAAUUUUCCAAAAUUUCACAUUACAGUUGUAGUAGUGCAUGCUACCUCUUGAGCACUGCAUUAGUUUUCCCUUGAAGAGGAAAGGGUGAUGCAGUAAAGCAGCGUCAGUAUUUCCCUCGGUUUUUGAGAACCAAGGUAUCAAUCCAGUAGGAGGCCACGCAUGAGUCCCUCGCACCUACACAAACAAAUAAAAUCCUCGCAACCAACGCAAUAAAGGGGUUGUCAAUCCCUUCACGGUCACUUACGAAAGUGAGAUCUGAUAGAUUUGAUAAGAUAAUAUUUUUGGUAUUUUUAUGAUAAAGAUGCAACGUAAAGAAAGCAAAAUAAAAAAAGCGCCAGAAAUAGCUUGUUGACGGGAGAUUAAAAUAGACCGGGGGGCCAUAGGUUUCACUAGUGGCUUCUCUCGAGAGCAUAAGUAUUUCGGUGGGUAGACAAAUUACUGUUGAGCAAGUGACAGAAUUGAGCAUAGUUAUGAGAAUAUCAAGGUAUGAUCAUGUAUAUAGGCAUCACGUCCGAGGCAAGUAGCCCGACUCCUGCCUGCAUCUACUACUAUUACUCCACACAUCGACCGCUAUCCAGCAUGCAUCUAGAGUAUUAAGUUCAAAAAACAGAGUAACGCUUUAAGUAAGAUGACAUGAUGUAGAGGGAUAAACUCAUGCAAUAUGAUAUAAACCCCAUCUUGUUAUCCUCGAUGGCAACAAUACAAUACGUGCCUUGCUGCCCCUACUGUCACUGGGAAAGGACACCGCAAGAUUGAACCCAAGCUAAGCACUUCUCCCAUCGCAAGAAAGAUCAAUCUAGUAGGCCAAACCAAACUGAUAAUUCGAAGAGACUUGCAAAGAUAACCAAUCAUACAUAAAAGAAUUCAGACAAGAUUCAAAUAUUGUUCAUAGAUAAACUUGAUCAUAAACCCACAAUUCAUCGGUCUCAACAAACACACCGCAAAAGAAGAUUACAUCGAAUAGAUCUCCACAAGAGAGGGGGAGAACAUUGUAUUGAGAUCCAAAAAGAGAGAAGAAGCCAUCUAGCUAAUAACUAUGGACCCGAAGGUCUGAGGUAAACUACUCACACAUCAUCGUAGAGGCUAUGGUGUUGAUGUAGAAGCCCUCCGUGAUCGAUGCCCCCUCCGGCGGAGCUCCGGAAAAGGCCCCAAGAUGGGAUCUCACGGGUACAGAAGGUUGCGGUGAUGGAAUUAGGUUUUUGGCUCCGUAUCUGGUAGUUUGGGGGUACGUAGGUAUGUAUAGGAGGAAGAAGUACGUCGGUGGAGCAACGUGGGCCCCACGAGGGCGCGCCCCCCUACCUCGUGCCUUCCUGGUAGAUUUCUUGACGUAGGGAACAAGUCCUCUAGAUAACGUUCGUUCCCAAAAUCACGUUUCCGAAGGUUUCAUUCCGUUUGGACUCCGUUUGAUAUUCUUUUUCUGUGAAACUCUGAACUAGGCAAAAAACAACAAUUCUGGGGUGGGCCUCCGGUUAAUAGGUUAGUCCCAAAAAUAAUAUAAAAGUGUAUAAUAAAGCCCAUUAAUGUCUAAAACAGAAUAUAAUAUAGCAUGGAACAAUAAAAAAUUAUAUAUACGUUGGAGACGUAUCAAGCAUCCCCAAGCUUAAUUCUUGCUCGUCCUCGAGUAGGUAAAUGAUAAAAACAGAAUUUUUAAUGUGGAAUGCUACUUGGCAUAAUUUCAAUGUAAUUCUCUUAAUUGUGGUAUGAAUAUUCAGACCCGAAAGAUUCAAGACAAAAGUUUAAUAUUGACAUAAAAAUAAUAAUACUUCAAGCAUACUAACUAAGCAAUUAUGUCUUCUCAAAAUAAAAUGGCCAAAGAAAGUUAUCCCUACAAAAUCAUAUAGUCUAGCUAUGCUCUAUCUUCACCACACAAAGUAUUUAAAUUAUGCACAACCCGGAUGACAAGCCAAGCAAUUGUUUCAUACUUUUGAUGUUCUCAAACUUUUUCAAUCUUCACGCAAUACAUGAGCAUGAGCCAUGGACAUAGCACUAUAUGUGGAAUAGAAUGGUGGUUGUGGAGAAGACAAAAAAGGAGAAGAUAGUCUCACAUCAACUAGGCGUAUCAACGGGCUAUGGAGAUGCCCAUUAAUAGAUAUCAAUGUGAGUGAGUAGGAAUUGCCAUGCAACGGAUGCACUAGAGCUAUAAGUAUAUGAAAGCUCAACAAAAGGAACUAAGUGGGUGUCCAUCCAACUCGCUUGCUCAUGAAGACCUAGGGCAUUUUGAGGAAGCCCAUCAUUGGAAUAUACAAGCCAAGUUCUAUAAUGAAAAUUUCCCACUAGUACAUGAAAGUGAUAUCAUAGGAGACUCUCUAUCAUGAAGAUCAUGGUGCUACUUUGAAGAACAAGUGUGGUAAAAGGAUAGUAACAUUGUCCCUUCUCUCUUUUUCUCUCUUUUUUUAUUUGGGUCUUUUAUUCUUUUUUUAUGGCCUCUUUUUUUUAGUCCGAAGUCUCAUCCCGACUUGUGGGGGAAUCAUAGUCUCCAUCAUCCUUUCCUCACUUGGGACAAUGCUCUAAAAAAAUGAUGAUCAUCACACUUUUAUUUACUUACAACUCAACAAUUACAACUCAAUACUUAGAACAAAAUAUGACUCUAUGUGAAUGCCUCCGGCGGUAUACCGUGAUAUGCAAUGAAUCAAGAGUGACAUGUAUGAAAGAAUUAUGAACGGUGGCUUUGCCACAAAUACAAUGUCAACUACAUGAUCAUGGAAAGCAAUAUGACAAUGAUGGAGUGUGUCAUAAUAAACUGAACGGUGGUAAGUUGCAUGGCAAUAUAUCUCAGAAUGGCUAUGGAAAUGCCACGGUAGGUAGGUAUGGUGGCUGUUUUGAGGAAGGUAUAUGGUGGGUGUAUGAUACCGGCGAAAAGUGCGCGGUAUUAGAGAGGCUAGCAAUGGUGGAAGGAAGAAAGUGCGUAUAAUCCAUGGACUCAACAUUAGCCAUAAAGAACUCAUAUACUUAUUGCAAAAAUCUACAAGUUAAUGAAAAUCUAGGGGGAUAGAUUGGUAGGAAAAGACCAUCGCUCGUCCCCGACCGCCACUCAUAAGGAAGACAAACAAUAAAUAAAUCAUGCUCCGACUUCAUCACAUAACGGUUCACCAUACGUGCAUGCUAAGGGAAUCACAAACUUUAACACAAGUAUUUCGCAAAUUCAAAACUACUCAACUAGCAUGACUGUAAUAUCACCAUCUCCAUAUCUCAAAACAAUUAUCAAGUAUCAAACUUCUCAUAGUAUUCAACACACUCAUAAGAUUUUUUUUACUAAUCUUGAGUGCCUAUCAUAAUUAAAGCAAAUUACCACGCUGUUUUGUAGGACUAUCAAAAUAAUCUAAGUGAAUCAUGAGAGAACAAUAGUUUCUAUAAAAAAAAACCACCACCGUGCUCUAAAAGAUAUACGUGAAGCACUAGAGCAAAAACUAUAUAGCUCAAAAGAUAUAAGUGAAGCACAUAGAGUAUUCUAACAAUUUCCGAAUCAUGUGUGUCUCUCUCAAAAGGUGUGUACUGCAAGGAUUAUUGUGGCAAACUAACAAAUAAAGACUUCAAAUAAUACAAGACGCUCCAAGAAAAACACAUAUCAUGUGGUGAAUAGAAAUAUAGCUCCAAGUAAAGUUACCGAUGGAAGUAGACGAAAGAGGGGAUGCCUUCCGGGGCAUCCCCAAGCUUUGGCUUUUAGGUGUCCUUAGAUUAUCUUGGGGUGCCAUGGGCAUCCCCAAGCUUAGGCUCUUGCCACUCCUUGUUUCAUAAUCCAUCAAAUCUUUCACCCAAAACUUGAAAACUUCACAACACAAAACUCAGCAGAAAAUCUCGUGAGCUCCGUUAGCAAAAGAAAACAAAACACCACUUCAAGGUACUGUAAUGAACUCAUUAUUUAUUUAUAUUGGUGUUAAACCUAAUGUAUUCCAACUUCUCUAUGGUUUAUAAACUAUUUUACUAGCCAUAGAUUCAUCAAAAUAAGCAAACAACACACGAAAAACAUAAUCUGUCAAACACAGAACAGUCUGUAGUAAUCUGUAACUAACGCAAUUUUCUGGGACUCCAAAAAUUGACCCAAAAUAGGAAGACCUAGACAAUUUUUUUAUUGAUCAGCAGCAAUUGGAAUCAAUAUUUUAGCACGUCCUGGUGAUUUUUAACAAUUAUUUUCAUGAACAGAAAGUUUCUGGAAUUUUCAGCAAGAUCAAAUAACUAUCAUCCUAGAAGAUCCUAUAGGUUAAACAUGGCACAAACACUAAUUAAAACAUAAAAACACAUGUAACCAGAGGCUAGAUCAAAUAUUUAUUCCUAAAAAAAAGAAAAAAGCAAAAAAACUAAAAAUAAAAUUGGGUUGCCUCCCAACAAGCGCUAUCGUUUAACGCCCCUAGCUAGGCAUAAUAGCAAGGAUAGAUCUAGGUAUUGCCAUCUUUGGUAGGCAAUCCAUAAGUGGCUCUCAUAAUAGAUUCAUAAGGUAAUUUUAUUUUCUUUCUAGGGAAGUGUUCCAUGCCUUUCCUUAAUGGAAAUUGGAAUCUAAUAUUCCCUUCCUUCAUAUCAAUAAUUGCACCAAUCGUUCUAAGGAAAGGUCUACCAAGAAUAAUAGGACAUGAAGGAUUGCAAUCUAUAUCAAGAACAAUAAAAUCUACGGGCACAUAAUUCCUAUUUGCAACAAUAAGAACAUCAUCAAUUCUUCCCAUAGGUUUCUUAAUGGUGGAAUCCGCAAGGUGCAAGUUUAAAGAGCAAUCAUCAAAAUCACGGAAACCUAGCAAAUCGCACAAAAUCUUUGGAAUCGUGGAAACACUACCACCCAAAUCACACAAAGCAUAGAAUUCAUGAUCUUUAAUUUUAAUUUUAGUAGUAGGUUCCCACUCAUCAUAAAGUUUUCUAGGGAUAGAAACUUCCAACUCAAGUUUUUCUUCAUAAGAUUGCAUCAAAGCAUCAACGAUAUGUUUAGUAAGGCUUUAUUUUGACUAUAAUCAUGUGGAGAAUUUAGCACGGAUUGCAACAAGGAAAUACAAUCUAUCAAAGAGCAAUUAUCAUAAUUAAAUUCCUUGAAAUCCAAAAUAGUGGGUUCAUUAAUAUCUAGAGUUUUGAUUUCUUCAAUCCCACUUUUACCAAUUUUUGCAUCAAGAUCUAAAAACUCUGAAUUUUUGGAACGCCUUCUAGGUAGAGGUGGAUCAUAUUCAGUCCCAUCAUUAUCAAGAUUCAUAUUGCAAAACAAAGAUUGAAUAGGGGACACAUCAAUAACUUUUAGAUCUUCAUCUUUAUUUUCAUAGAAACUAGAAGAACACGCUUUCACAAAACAAUCUUUCUUAGCACGCAUCCUAGCGGUUCUUUCUUUGCACUCAUCAAUGGAAAUUCUCAUGGCCUUGAGAGACUCAUUGAUAUCAUGCUUAGGAGAAAUUGUAUCAGCGUUCCUAGCCAAUUCAUCAACUUUAAGCAAUUUUUCUUGAAGCAAAGCGUUGAAAUUGUUUUGCGAAUUCAUAAAUUCUUUAACACUAGUCUCAAAUUCAGAAGGCAUCUUAUUAAAAUUUACAUAAUAAUUGUUGUAGGAAUUACCAUAAUUAUUAGAGGAAUUACUAGGAUACGACCUUGGAUUAAAGUUUCCUCUAUACGCGUUGUUACCAAAAUUAUUCCGACCAACAAAAUUCACAUCCAUAGAUUCAUUAUUAUUCUCAAUCAAAGUAGACAAAGGCAUAUCAUUAGGAUCAGAAGAAACACUUUUAUUAGCAAAUAAUUUCAUAAGUUCAUCCAUCUUACACUCAAAACAUUAAUUUCUUCUAUCGCAUGCACUUUUUUAUUAGUGGAUUUUUCGGUGUGCCAUUGAGAAUAAUUAACCAUAAUAUUAUCUAGGAGUUUAGUAGCUUCUCCUAAAGUGAUUUCCAUAAAAGUGCCUCCCGCGGCCGAAUCUAAAAGAUUUCUAGAAGAAAAAUUCAAUCCGGCAUAAAAAUUUUGUAUAAUCAUCCACAAAUUCAAACCAUGAGUAGGGCAAUUACGUAUCAUUAAUUUCAUCCUCUCGCAAGCUUGUGCAACAUGUUCAUGAUCAAGUUGCUUAAAAUUCAUAAUAUCGUUUCUGAGAGAGAUGAUCUUAGUGGGAGGAAAAUACUUAGAGAUAAAAGCAUCUUUGCACUUAUUUCAAGAAUCACUACUAUUUUUAGGCAAAGACGAAAACCAAGCUUUAGCACGAUCUCUAAGCGAAAAAGGAAAUAGUUUCAAUUUAACAAUAUCAUUGUCCACAUCUUUCUUCUUUUGCAUAUCACACAAAUCAACGAAGUUGCCAUGUCUAGGAAUGCUUGAAGCUUCAAAGAUUUCCUAUAAUACAACAUGCCUCUAACUAUUCACAAUAAGAAAAACAUGUAAAUGCGGAAUCAACCAAAUGAUGGUAAAUUGUAGUUGAUUUUGGCCAAGCAAACGUCAGAUGAAAGAAACAUACAUGAGUGAACAUCACUAUUGGAUGUUUUAUUCAAAUUUAAUAGGUUAAACUCACCAAAUCCAUCUGGAUAUUUAGUAUUAAACUUCAACAGAUGGUCAGUUGUAGCUAGAUUCACACCACUGAAGCAAAAUUCCAUCUGCCACGGUUACAUCACACCAUCUUUUCAUCGUUACUAUUUAAAUUCCAAAUGCCUGCAACUCAUUUUUUUUGUUACGAUGUAUGCAUGAUUUUUAACUCAAGAGGAAGAGGGGAAACUAAAUCCAAGAAAAGAACACCAAGGAAGCAUCCAAAAUAGAGAAAGGAAAAAAAUCCAAAAUAGAGGCAGAAUCGAAGGGAAGAAACCCCAUAAAAAAUAGGAGAUCAAACGGUGAAAAAAAUCUAAGAGUCAAACAAUUCUAGGUAAGACCAAAUCGACGGCAAAAUAGCACAAGAGGGACUCACAUUAACAGGUAUACCAGGUAUACCAAUUUAGAAAGAAGUGUAAAGCGAACAGUGCAAUGGACCACUAGUAUAAAUUGGAUGUACACAAACAUGGGACUUAAACAAGAACUGCGAGAUGCAGGGUUCACGUGCAAACCCAAAAAAUGGAAAACUGAAACCCACAACAAGAUUUUAUCUUCAUAUAUAUAUAUAUAUAUAUAUAUAUAUAUAUAUAUAUAUAUAUAUAUAUAUAUAUAUAUAUAUAUAUUCAAGGCUCGCCCUAUCUAUUAGUUGCUUCUUCCGAAUCCCCACCUAUCAAGCGUUUUCUCUGAAUAAACAAACACAAUAGUAUUCUUUGAAUUAUACUGUACAACGGUAAUUAACCAAGCGACUGGAAUUAACAAUAUUAUGAGCUAUUGGCUUUUUAGUCAGGUAAAUAUCAUUCUUAAGACUACGGAAAACAACAGGCGGCGAAGAAAACAUCUAUUUAUGAGAACUAUACACAUACUUAAGAAGGAAGUGACAUCUAUGGUAGCAGAACAUAUAUCAAGCUGUUGCAGCUACAUUAGCAGUUUAGCACAGUUCCUCCAUAAUACACAGGCUAGUGUAAUUUCACAAAUACAAUAAGCUAACAAUAUAUAUUUGGUAGAUGGAAAUGGCUGGAUCAUGAGCAAUAUACCAUUACACAUCCGAUGAUGCAAAUAAAGAAACGAGGCCCAACAAUAGUGGAAAAUAAACCACAAUAGAACAUGUAUUUGGCGAAACCUCCAUACUGCAAUAUCAAACAUGAAUUGAAAUUAACAAUCUAGCAAAAAAACAUGACAGAUGCAGUCUUGGUCAUUUUUCCUUUUGUGACAUCCCCUAAAAAAAGUAAAAACAAUGUUGUUCGUAUUUUACCAGAGAUACACUGAGCUGGGACAAAUCGGUCUGAAAUAAAAUAUGAUGGCUUCGGAGGAUUCGGAAGGCAAGAAAUUUGCUUUCUUCCAACAUAUAUGGUCUGCUGAACUAAACUUCGUUUCAACGGGCUUUGGCAAAAAUCUGUAACUGCAAACAUCAACUUGUGUGCCCUUCCUACGUCAAACUUUAAACUUGACGGAUUAAAUAUUUUAGGUUAGGCUGAGAUCAGUGUACUUUAUGAGUGUUAAGUGUACUUUCUAAAUAGCAGAGAAACCAUAACAUCUAAGCACAACCCAGCAACUUGUACAAGCUAACAUCAAAUCUGAAAGAGGAAAUGUCGAGAACAGGUGAAGGUACCAUGAUCCACGACUGAGCAAAGUUAUCUAUAAUCCUCGGUGAAUAUCAUAAAUUAGGAUCAACUACGCUAAAGAACAAACGGGAAAGGAACCUAGAAAGAUCUUCUGCCGGUAGAAUAUAACUGAUACACUAUCCUCGUUCUCGAGAUCAAGGUCGUUUCUUGAAUUGCAGUUUCCUCACUGUAGUAUGGGGUCAUUACACUGUGAAGAACAAAGUGUCAUAUGAAUCAUUUAGAGCCCAAUCUUUUUCACUGAAACUCUUAUGAUCACAUAACGAAUUUAAACAUAAGGUUUAUUAGAUAUUUGUUGUUGUGAACAGAUAAUAUAUUUCUGGUGUUGACAAUGUUUUGAUUAUGGAUGCACUUCAAGAUGGGUGGCACAGAUUCUGUUGUACAGGCCUCCACCUGGAAUUUCAUCACUUGUUAUUUUUGUUUUAGAAUGUCUAGGUGCAUUUUUCCUUUAAGGUGGAAACAGAUGUACUUGUAUAAGCAACAAGAAUACAAAGCGCCACUGCCAUACAUUGUGGAAGUUCAGUGCUUCUGUUUACAAAAUCUGCUUCCCAAAACAGAAGGAUUUAUAAUUUUUUAUUACAAUCAAGCGGACAUGAGCUGAUGAGUACAGAUGUAGACAUGUACUGAGAGCAGCACCCUUUCAAAAGUGGAUCAUUUACAAGUUGGAUAGUUUGAUGGUCUGAAAUUAGUGGUCGUGUUUCAGAAUUGUUAUCGAAUAGUAGGGGAUAUAUAUUAAAUUCUGAAAUUAGUGGUUGUUUGUCAGAACUGUUAUCGAAUAACAGAGCACAUAUAUUAACUUCAAUAAGUGGAGUAAUAUCUUUGGAUUCGCUGUGAGGAAAGAUUACCAAAACAAAACAGAAGUGAGCACUGGUAGAAAAUGGGCCUUUAGUCCCGGUUCGCAAAGGCCAUUAAUCCCGGCUGUGCAACCGGGACUAAANNNNNNNNNNNNNNNNNNNNNNNNNNNNNNNNNNNNNNNNNNNNNNNNNNNNNNNNNNNNNNNNNNNNNNNNNNNNNNNNNNNNNNNNNNNNNNNNNNNNNNNNNNNNNNNNNNNNNNNNNNNNNNNNNNNNNNNNNNNNNNNNNNNNNNNNNNNNNNNNNNNNNNNNNNNNNNNNNNNNNNNNNNNNNNNNNNNNNNNNNNNNNNNNNNNNNNNNNNNNNNNNNNNNNNNNNNNNNNNNNNNNNNNNNNNNNNNNNNNNNNNNNNNNNNNNNNNNNNNNNNNNNNNNNNNNNNNNNNNNNNNNNNNNNNNNNNNNNNNNNNNNNNNNNNNNNNNNNNNNNNNNNNNNNNNNNNNNNNNNNNNNNNNNNNNNNNNNNNNNNNNNNNNNNNNNNNNNNNNNNNNNNNNNNNNNNNNNNNNNNNNNNNNNNNNNNNNNNNNNNNNNNNNNNNNNNNNNNNNNNNNNNNNNNNNNNNNNNNNNNNNNNNNNNNNNNNNNNNNNNNNNNNNNNNNNNNNNNNNNNNNNNNNNNNNNNNNNNNNNNNNNNNNNNNNNNNNNNNNNNNNNNNNNNNNNNNNNNNNNNNNNNNNNNNNNNNNNNNNNNNNNNNNNNNNNNNNNNNNNNNNNNNNNNNNNNNNNNNNNNNNNNNNNNNNNNNNNNNNNNNNNNNNNNNNNNNNNNNNNNNNNNNNNNNNNNNNNNNNNNNNNNNNNNNNNNNNNNNNNNNNNNNNNNNNNNNNNNNNNNNNNNNNNNNNNNNNNNNNNNNNNNNNNNNNNNNNNNNNNNNNNNNNNNNNNNNNNNNNNNNNNNNNNNNNNNNNNNNNNNNNNNNNNNNNNNNNNNNNNNNNNNNNNNNNNNNNNNNNNNNNNNNNNNNNNNNNNNNNNNNNNNNNNNNNNNNNNNNNNNNNNNNNNNNNNNNNNNNNNNNNNNNNNNNNNNNNNNNNNNNNNNNNNNNNNNNNNNNNNNNNNNNNNNNNNNNNNNNNNNNNNNNNNNNNNNNNNNNNNNNNNNNNNNNNNNNNNNNNNNNNNNNNNNNNNNNNNNNNNNNNNNNNNNNNNNNNNNNNNNNNNNNNNNNNNNNNNNNNNNNNNNNNNNNNNNNNNNNNNNNNNNNNNNNNNNNNNNNNNNNNNNNNNNNNNNNNNNNNNNNNNNNNNNNNNNNNNNNNNNNNNNNNNNNNNNNNNNNNNNNNNNNNNNNNNNNNNNNNNNNNNNNNNNNNNNNNNNNNNNNNNNNNNNNNNNNNNNNNNNNNNNNNNNNNNNNNNNNNNNNNNNNNNNNNNNNNNNNNNNNNNNNNNNNNNNNNNNNNNNNNNNNNNNNNNNNNNNNNNNNNNNNNNNNNNNNNNNNNNNNNNNNNNNNNAUAUAGAGCUCAAAUGAUUGAAAAUAAUUACUUUUGCAGCAUUUUUCUCAUGUCGGCCCAACGCUUUGGAUCCGAAUCCAUAGAGUCCAUGAUUAGAACUCUGGAGGUGUGAAGUUCAAUAUUUAGCAGAAUCCAGUGGAACCUGCGGACACGUUACAUGCACAGUCAUGCAUAACUCAUCGAUUAGACAUACCAUGCAUGGAGUAAACAAAAGAGAAUGGGCACAAGAGAGAAACACUCACCCAAAAUGGUAAGGAAAUAGAAUAUGACUUUUGAGUUGAUGCUUUCUAAGAAACUUGUACAAGUCUUUCUCCAUGUCUUCGGGGUGAUUUUGUAACACAUGUCCAUUAACGAUAUGUGGGUCAAUGAACCCAACAUCAUGGAUGUUUCUUAUUUUGCAUUCCCAAAUCUUCAAUCUGCAUAAUAGCGUACGCAACAAUAUAGUUAGGACAAUAUAUAUAUAUAUAUAUAGUGCAGGCAAUGAAGAACGAGAUGAGGUAGAAAUAAAUCACUUACAUAACGUAGCAACUCAGGAUAGAUUUGUCGAGCUCGCGCAGAUUGAACAGCUGGAACAAUUCACUCAUAUGAACUUGUACAAAGUACCGUUUGGUGUGAUGCUCCUCUGUAACAUCCGCAUAAAUAUAUUCUUUGUCGGCCCAUGUUAUGAAUUGCUUGUACCAACGUAGAAGAUUUCGCAUUUGUGGUGGUAGACUCUUUUCCCGUGCAGGCUCGACGAGAGGCCCAUUCCGCACAUAUUGUAAUGCUAUCUCACAUACUGGCGCAUCCUCAAGGCCUAAGAUGGCACGAAGAGUCAAACCCAUCUCGGACGUUUGUUUCAUGGCACUCGCUACAGUCAAUCCAAGUGCUGCCGCAGCUCCUAUGAUCUCGGGGUCCUCUUCCGGACCGGCUUUCACUAUGAGCGGGGGGAUCGAUUGUUUAUUCUGCAUCCCGAGCUGGUCAACUUGUUUCCCGCUUUUUUUACUUUCUUCUUUCUCCUCCUUCAAUAUUUUUGCUUGCCAACGAAGUUCAUGUCAAUAGUCGUCAGGCAUAUUCAGCUCGGCUUGGGACGGUGUCGUCAAAAAAUCCUUAGCCCACUUCUUUUGCUUCUCAGUGAAUACUUGCUUGGGCUCAGGCUCUUUUUUCGAAUUCGUAUCCGCCUUCCAUUUCUCAUAAUGAGCAGACGCGGCCAAUUUGGUUUCAGCUUCACUAAGUUCCCAAGGCCUUGGGAGGAGAGGCUUCAGUGAUGGCUCCGGUACCCUUGUGGUCUUACGUACAUAAGGGUCCGGGUUAAUAGUCCAGGAGAGGGUUUCCUUGCUGUCCGCCUGCUUCUACUUCUUCGCCGGAGGUGGAUUGGGGGGCGUCGUACCCGCCGGAGGAGGAUUGGGGGGCGUCGUACCUGCCGGAGGAGGAUUGGGGGGCGGCGGCUGCUUACCCGCCGGAGGUUGUGGAUCGGGGGACGGCGUCGAAUGGCGUGAAGGAGGUGUAGGUGAACCACCACGACCACCACCACCACCACCACCAUCGGAGGGGGUGGACUUGUUAGCAUUGGCGCCUCGCCUGGAAACACUAUGUACUUCUUUUUCCAUAGAAUGAUCUGGCGCUUGACAUCUCCAAGUCUUCUCUCCCCUUCGGGUGUAGCUUUGUCAAUCUCCAGGUCCUCAAACUAUUGGACUAUGUCUUCCACCGUGACACGAGCAUAGCCAUAUGCAAUGGGGUUGUUGUGGUGGAGUGCUCCAGGUGUACAGGGUAAAGCACUGCCAGUAGCUACCUUCGUGGAAACGUUCCCCACGGGAUAAUGCAGAUCACAUUCUUUCAUCUCCUUUACAUCAUCCACGGGGUAGUGAGGCUCCGGUGCACGAAUCUCGAUCAUCGGUGCAUUAGCACCAGGCGGGGCAUCCGUGGAAGCCACGCUGCUUCUCCGCUGCUGGCUUCCGCGAUCCGCUUCAUGAUCUUCAUGCGGCCCUGCAGCCGAUUUUUCUUUUACUAGUUCAUGCACGGUCUGCUUCAACUCAUGGAGUUCCGAUGCAAACUUCACCAAAAGAUCUGCAUCCCGGUCCGUCUUUCUCUUACGGCUUCUGUAACAGUACGGGUCAUUGUCCUGGGAAAACCCUACUUUCCACGAAAUUCUGCCUUUGCCUCGUACACGUCCUCCGUGUUCAUCAUUCCGAGGGCUGUUGUCAGUGCGUCUUUCUCUCUGUUGAACUUGAUCAAGCCCUCUUGAGCUUGGGUCAUUGCGUCAAUAAGGGCUUGGGUGGGAGCAAACUUUUUCUUCCGGUGAACACACACCCCUGUCUCCGGGUCUAGCGAUCCCCCAUGCCCGUACCACCAGCUUUUGGCCCUUGGGUCCCAUCCCUCUGUACCUAGAGGGAUUCCUCGCACCCUCAGGUCCUCCUCCAUCUUCUGCCACUUAGGCUCCGAAAGGCGGUAUCCUCCUGGCCCCAUAAUAUGAUGGAACUUUUUCUUACUCGCAUUAUCCUUAUUUUUUCCGACAUUUCCUUGAAAUGCUCUGAUUUUUUUUGCCUCACAAAUUCUGGCCAAUCAUCUUUCAGUUUCUCAUGUUGUCCAUUGAAAUCCGGAGUCUUGCCCUUGUUGACAUAGUCACGGGUUAAAUUUUUCUUGAAGUUCCGGAAUGCUUCGCCCAUCUUCUCAAGAGCGAACUCUUUAACUAGCCUCCUCCUCUCACGUCCACCCGGAACCUCGUUACCGAAUUCAUCGACUUUGUUGUAUUCCGGAGGUAGAAUGAAAUGUUCCAUAAGCUUUUUCCAGCAAUCCUUUUUCGUUCUCUUGUCGACAAAACUGAAACCAAGACGUGCCUUCUUUGGCUCCUUCCAUUCCUGGACGGUGAUCGGGACGUUGUCUCUAACAACGACUCCACAUUGGUUGAUAAACUUUGAGGUGUGCUGUAGGGGCUUGCCGGUUUCACUGACAAAAUCAAUGGCAUAUGUUUCUCCUUUUUUCAUCGCCUUGGAUUUGCCACGCUUUGUCGUACUCGAUCCGGCCGAGGGUCGCGCACGUUAAUACAUAUGUAUUCGCAUUUCAGUAAGUUUGUAUCACGAGAGGCUCAAUGUAUAUAUAUACCUCGCCGGAGGUGGUUGCUACUUGCAAUUCGAGAUUGUCGUUUGUUGACGGUUGACCUCCGUUGACAAUGUCCGUUCCUUCACCUUCUUGAUCAUCGACAAUGUCUGUUCCACCGUCAAGGUUCAGAAAAGAAGAGACUACAUCCUCUUCUUGCUCAUAUUCUGAGCCCGGCACAUAAGGAAUCUCGUUGUUUAUGAUGCCCAUUAAAUAACGUUCAGCCUCCGGAUCCCUAAGCGGCUCGGCUCUAUCGUCCGCCAUAUGUCACUCCUGCAUGUAGUCAAAAUUAAUUAAGUAUAAAGGAAUUAAAAAAUAAGAUUAAGGGGACAUAGAGGAGGAGCAGCUACGGUUGAAUGAUUAAGAGCUAUUAAAAAAUAAAAUUGAUGUUUUUCCUUUUCUUUUUCCUUUUCUUUUUCCUCUCUACUCUCUCUUUCCUUUUCUUUUUCCUUUUCUUUUCCUUUUCUUUUUCCUUUAUACAAUUAUUCCCAAAUAAAUUUCCUUUUCUUUUUCCUUUUCUUUUUCCUCUCUGCUCUCUCUUUCCUUUUCUUUUUCCUUUUCUUUUUCCUUUAUACAAUUAUUCCCAAAUAAAUUUCCUUUUCUUUUUCCUUUUCUUUUUCCUCUCUGCUCUCUCUUUCCUUUUCUUUUUCCUUUUCUUUUUCCUUUUCUUUUUCCUCUCUACUCUCUCUUUCCGUUUGUUGACGGCAGGCGGCGGCGGGAGGCAGAGGAGGGCAGGCCNNNNNNNNNNNNNNNNNNNNNNNNNNNNNNNNNNNNNNNNNNNNNNNNNNNNNNNNNNNNNNNNNNNNNNNNNNNNNNNNNNNNNNNNNNNNNNNNNNNNNNNNNNNNNNNNNNNNNNNNNNNNNNNNNNNNNNNNNNNNNNNNNNNNNNNNNNNNNNNNNNNNNNNNNNNNNNNNNNNNNNNNNNNNNNNNNNNNNNNNNNNNNNNNNNNNNNNNNNNNNNNNNNNNNNNNNNNNNNNNNNNNNNNNNNNNNNNNNNNNNNNNNNNNNNNNNNNNNNNNNNNNNNNNNNNNNNNNNNNNNNNNNNNNNNNNNNNNNNNNNNNNNNNNNNNNNNNNNNNNNNNNNNNNNNNNNNNNNNNNGCAGGGCAGGGCAGGGGCGGCGGCGGCAGUGCAGGGCAAGGGCGGCGGCGUAGGGCAGGGGAAGUGGGGGGCGGCGGAGCUCACUGGGGGCAGGGCGCUGGUGUCGGGGCAGGGCGUCGGCGUCGAUCGGCGUCGGGGCAGCAGCCUGGCGGCGUCGGCGUCGAUCGGCGUCGGGGCAGGGCGUCGGCGUCGAGAGGAGAAUGAGAGGUGGGGGAAAAUUUACUAAGUGUUAUAUAUAUAGACAGAGCAUUAGUCCCGGUUGGGGACGCCAACCGCGACUAAAGGUACCUUUAGUCGCGGUUGGUCUCCCCAACCGGGACUAAAGGUUCUUUCGCGCCGCUUUCGUUCCCGCGCGGAAAGAGCCUUUAGUCGCGGUUCGUGUCACGAACCGCGACUAAAGGUCCUUUUUCAUAUACUUUUCAGAAAAUACAAAUAAUAUAUCAAAAAAUUCAGAAAAAUAAAACUAAUUCAUUUUAAAAUCUUAAAAAUAGAAAUAAUAUAUCAAAAAAUUCAGAAAAAUAAAANNNNNNNNNNNNNNNNNNNNNNNNNNNNNNNNNNNNNNNNNNNNNNNNNNNNNNNNNNNNNNNNNNNNNNNNNNNNNNNNNNNNNNNNNNNNNNNNNNNNNNNNNNNNNNNNNNNNNNNNNNNNNNNNNNNNNNNNNNNNNNNNNNNNNNNNNNNNNNNNNNNNNNNNNNNNNNNNNNNNNNNNNNNNNNNNNNNNNNNNNNNNNNNNUUAAAAUCUUAAAAAUAGAAAUAAUAUAUCAAAAAAUUCAAAAAAAUAAAACUAAUUCAUUUGAAAAUCUUAAAAAUACAUAUAAUAUAUCAAAAAAUUCUGAAAAAUAAAACUAAUUCAUUUUAAAAAUUCAGACCGAUUGUUUUGUUCUACAUCCUCGAUCCCUUGAAGGUUUGACAAAAGGUUUGAUACAUCAUUCAGUUCAUCGGCCAAAUACAAAUCAUCCGGAUUCGCCAUCGUACGUUUUAAUUCACAUGAUCCAUUCAACAAAGUUUGGUACAAUAAAUUAUUACACAUCAAUUCUUCCCGUGUGUCCCUGCUUGCUUACGAUUGUGCCGUAUCCAUGGAGCAUCCUCAUCAUUUAACUUAAUGCUUGGGUCAGUGUUCACUUUGAAGGGCGGAAUUUCACCAAACAUAUUAUAAUCUUCUGACAUGUCUGUCUUGUCCUCCACUCCCACAAUGUUUCUUUUCCCUGAAAGAACAAUGUGGCGCUUUGGAUCAUCGCAUGAUGUACUGAUCGUUUUCUUAUCUUUCCGUUUCCUCGGUUUGCUACUCAUGUCCUUCAAAUAAAAAACCUGAGCGACAUCUUUGGCAAGGACGAAUGGUUCGUCAAGGUAACCAAGAUUGUUGAAAUCCACCAUUGUCAUUCCGUAUUGCUCGUCCACCUUUACCCCACCUCCUGUUAGCUUGAACCAUUUGCACCGGAACAAAGGGACCUUAAAGGAGGGUCCAUAGUCAAGUUCCCAUAUCUCCUCUAUGUGACCAUAAUAUGUGACCUUUUGCCCAUUCUCGGUUGCUGCAUCAAAGCGGACACCACUGUUUUGGUUGGUGCUCUUUUUAUCUUGGGCGAUGGUGUAAAAUGUAUUCCCAUUUAUCUCGUACCCUUGGAAAGUCGUUAUAGUCGAAGAUGGUGUCUUGGCCAACAUGUACAGCUGAUCUCCAACAUCAUUGUCAUUCAUUAAAUGUUUUCGCAACCAACUGCCGAAAGUCUCCAUGUGGGCCUUUCUAAUCCAGGAUUCAGGUUUCCCCGGGUUGUCCGAGCGUAAAAUAUUCUUGUGUUGCUCGAACUACGGAGCCACCAAGCUGGAAUUUUGUAGAACUGUGUGGUGUGCUUCAGUCAUAGAAUGACCGUCCAUACAUAUCGUUGAUUUCCUUCCGAUCGUGCCUUUUCCACUUAGUCUCCCCUCGUGCCGCGAUUGAGGAAUACCAAUCGGCUUAAGGUCAGGAACAUAGUCAAUACAGAACUCAAUUACCUCCUCAUUUCCAUAGCCCUUGACGAUGCUUCCUUCUGGCCUAGCACGGUUACGAACAUAUUUCUUUAAUACUCCCGUGAACCUCUCAAAGGGGAACAUAUUGUGUAGAAAUACAGGACCGAGAAUGGAAAUCUCUUCGACUAGGUGGAGCAGGAGGUGCGUCAUAAUAUCGAAGAAGGAUGGUGGGAACACCAACUCAAAACUGACAAGGCAUUGGACCACAUCGUUCUGUAACCGUGGUAGAUCUUCUGGAUUGAUUACCUUCUGAGAGAUUGCAUUGAGGAAUGCACAUAGCUUCACAAUGGCUACUCGAACAUUUUCCGGUAAGAGCCCCCUCAAAGCAAUCGGAAGAAAUUGCGUCAUAAUCACGUGGCAGUCGUGAGACUUCAGGUUUAGGAACUUUUUGUCCGCCAUGUUUAUUAUUCCCUUUAUAUUCGACGAGAAGCCAGACGGGACCUUCAUACUGCUCAGGCAUUCAAAAAAUGACCUUCUCUUCUUUGGUAAGAGCGUAGCUGGCACGACCUUGAAACCAUUCCGGAUGCCGGUCAUCUGGGUCUUUCAAAAGUUGUUGGUCCUGCCGUGCUUCCUUUGUAUCAUUUGUCUUCCCAUACACGCCCAAGAAGCUUAGCAGGUUCACGCAAAUAUUCUUCGUAACAUGCAUCACGUCGAUUGCAGAGCGGACAUCUAGGACUUUCCAAUAUUCUAGCUCCCAAAAUAUAGAUUUCUUCUUCCACAUGGGUGCGUGCCCGUCAACUCCCCGCGGAACUGAUUGUCCGCCAGGACCCUUUCCAAAGAUGACUUUCAAAUCCUUGACCAUAUCAAAUAUCUCAGCACCAGUACGUUCCGCAGGCUUCGGCCGGUGAUCUGCCUUGCCGUUGAAAUGCUUGCCUUUCUUUCUUACGUUAUGAUUUCGGGGAAGAAAUCGACGAUGACCCAGGUACACGUUCUUCUUACAAUUACCCAAACGUACACUUUCAGUCUCAUGUAAGCAGUGCGUGCAUGCAUUGUAUCCCUUAUUUGUCUGUCCCGAAAGGUUACUGAGAGCAGGCCAAUCGUUGAUGGUUACAAAAAGCAACGCUCGUAGGUCAAAUUCCUCUUCUUUGUGCUCAUCCCAGACACGUACACCAGCUCUGCCCCACAACUGUAAAAGUUCAUCAACUAAUGGCCUUAGGUACACAUCGAUGUCGUACCCGGGUUGCUUUGGACCUUGGAUGAGCACUGGCAUCAUAAUGAACUUCCGCUUCAUGCACAACCAAGGAGGAAGGUUGUAGAUGCAUAGAGUCACGGGCCAGGUGCUAUGGCUGGAGCUCUGCUCGCCAAAAGGAUUCAUGCCAUCAGUACUUAGACCAAAUCUUAUGUUCCUUGCGUCAGCUGCAAAAUCUUUGAACACUCUGUCGAUCUUUCUCCAUUGCGUUCCAUCAGCGGUGUGUCCCAACUCCCCGUCGGACUUACGGUCCUCUUUGUGCCAUCGCAACGACUUGGCAUGCUUUUUGUUCCUGAACAGACGUUUCAACCGUGGUAUUAUAGGAGCAUACCACAUCACCUUGGCGGGAACCCUCUUCCUGGGUUUCUCGCCCUCAACAUCGUCACCAGGGUCAUCGCCUCUGAUCUUAUAACGCAAUGCAGUGCAUACAGGGCAUUCAUUCAAAUUCUCGUAUUCACCGCGGUAGAGGAUGCAGUCGUUAAUGCAUGCAUGUAUCUUCAGAACCUCUAAACCUAGAGGGCAGACAACCUUCUUUGCUUCGUACGUACUGGCGGGCAACUCGUUAUUCUUCGGAAACAUAUUCUUCAACAUUUUCAGCAAAUUUUCAAAUGAUGAGUCAGCUACACCUUCCUGUGCCUUCCAUUUUAGCAAAUCCAGUGUGCAACCCAACUUUUUCAGACUAUUAUCGCAUCCUGGGUACAACGACUUUUUGUGAUCCUCUAACAUGCGAUCCAAAUUCUCCCUCUCCUUGUCAGUUUCGCAGCGUCUCCGUGCAUCAGCAAUGGUCCGACCAAGAUCAUCAGCGGGCUCAUCAUGUGCCUCUUCUUCACCUUCACCUAACCCUUCCCCACCUUCAGCAUCAUCCUCCAUGAAAGUAUCACCGAAAUGAUCAUGAUAGUUGUCAUCGAUAUCAUCCCCUUCUUCAUCUUGUUCCAUUCUAACCCCUCUUUCUCCAUGCUUGGUCCAACAAUUAUAGCUUCGCAUGAAACCGUGCCGAAGCAGGUGCAUGUGAACGUCUCUUGAGGAGGAGUAACCCUUCUGAUUCUUACAGACACCACAUGGACAGAUAAUAAAACCUCGCUGCUUGUUCGCAUUUGCCACUACGAGGAAAUCUUUCAAACCCGUAGUGAACCGCCGGAGAGUCGGGGACCGUACAUCCAUUGCCGAUUCAUCUGCAUUAUUAUUAUAUAAAGUAUAUAAUUAACCAUCAUGCAUUUGUUAAACUAACUAGCUAGAAAUAAUACAAAUUAAACAAUGAACUACACACAUCCAUAUUUUAUCAAUGACACAUGAAAGGUUCAAGUUGCUAACCGCGAUCGCGGAGGAAAAAUAAAUGAGAAAGCUCAAGUGUGGCUCGGACACUUCAUAUCAUGUUUGUUUCAUGCUCUCGGGCAUUUCAUCGAACACCUUGUGUGCAUAGGAGGAACCAAAAGCAAACCCACCAGCCCCCUUCUGAAUUGUGGCUAAGUGAAGUGAGCUGAGUCCUAUAUAUAGGGAUGGGCCUUUAGUCCCGGCUGGCCUGGCCAACCGCAACUAAAGGCCUUCGGGCCAGCCUGAGGACCUUUAGUCCCGGUUGGCCAGGCCAACCGGGACUAAAGCCCCUCCCGUCCGCCAGCUGUCGACCGAGCGCGCUGGGCCCAGAUAGUUGGUCGCGGGUCUCCUCCCGAACCGCGACUAAAGACCCCUUUGGUCGCGGUUCGAUUAUUUUAGAGACUAAUGGGGGCGUAUGGAAGCCUCUGUUUCUACUAGUGGAGUGCGACGACCCAGAUGAGGGCGCUCUUGAGCUUCUUCCCGACCGACCUAGAUGCAGGAGCAGACCACGGCGGAUCUAAUCAGCCAACGAAUAAAACUGAGGCAGGUAGAGGAAGUAAGGGAGGAAGAAGACUGACUUGUCCUGGUCGCCCUCGUAGUAGAACCUGUGUUUUGAUUUUCGGCCAAAAAAGUGGAUUUCGGCCAUCUCGGCCUGGGGCAAAAAGUGUAUUUAGGCCGAAAUUGUUCAAAUUUAGCAAAUUUUGGUCAAAUUUAAGUCAAAUUGCAGUCAAAAUUUGGUCAAAUUUCAGCCGAAAUUUUUGAAAAUGGCCGAAAUUCGGCCAUCUCAGCCUAGGGAGAAAAAAAAGCUGAAACCAAAAAUCAAAACACAGAGUAGAACAUGGCGAACAGGAUGACGAGGACAGCGUCGAGGAUGUAGACGACGAGCCAGAGCAUGUUCAUGGGCAGGAUCAAGCAUGGGCAGGAUAAGGGUGCAGGCCCCGUUGUAGGCGGCAUGCUUGCAGGCCUGGCGGUUGGCGACGUCGGCGGGGAGCAUGAGGAUGGAGAGGACGGCGACGGUGAUGCCGAGCACGACGACGAGCUUGAGGAAGUAGGCCUGGUUGGCAUCAUCCGGGUGCUGGUAGUUGACGAGGAGCACCAGGAUGCUGACCACCGCCGCCACGAUCACUAGCGCCACGUUAAAAAAACCAUCUCCUCGGGGCUCCGGUCCCGGUUCCGGCCCGCCGCCUCGCCCCCUUGGUCGGUCAGAUCUCUCUGUCCCUAGAGGCGGGGGGAUACAGGCUAGGGUUUGGGCGUGGGCGGGGAAUAGGCUGCUAUGGUGCCGGCAGCGGGGCGUGUAGGAGAGAAGGAUUAGGAGGAAUAAUUCACCACACUUUGAUUAAGCUCUCGGCUGGUUCUUAUGUACAGAUUACAGGGCCAGCCAGGGAGAUCAUGGGGUGAUCCACUACCUGGGAUCGUGCGCCACGAUCACUACAUGCGUGCGCCACGAUCAUACACACACACGCUACACCUAGUGUCUACGCAACUACGGUAUAGCAGUACAGUACAGCCUAACACCCCCCGGAGUCGUGACGUCGGCGGCGGCGACGCAAAGACUGGACCGGAACUCAGAGAAAACAUCCGAUGGCAGGCCUUUGGUCAUGAUGUCGGUGUGUUGUUGGCGCGUGGGGAUGUGAAGAACACGGAAGUGGCCGAGGGCGACGCGCUCCCGCACGAAAUGGAUGUCCAGCUCCACAUGCUUAGUGCAGCGAUGAUGCACCGGAUUGGCUGACAGGUAGACUGCGGACACAUUGUCACAGUACACAAGUGCCGCCUUGGUCAUUGGAGCGGAGAGCUCGCCGAGAAGCUGGCGGAGCCAGAUGCAUUCAGCGACCGCGUUGGCGACGCCGCGGUAUUCAGCUUCGGCGCUGGAGCGCGAUACGGUCGCCUGGCGCUUGGAGGACCAGGAGACGAGAGCAUCGCCGAGGAAGACGCAGAAGCCCGACGUGGAGCGUCGGGUGUCGGGGCAGCCGGCCCAGUCCGCAUCGGUGAACGCACGGACGUCGAGCAUGGUCGAGGCGUGAAGAUGAAGCCCGAGUGCGCAGGUGCCCUUCACGUACCGGAGCACGCGCUUUACGAGCGCGAGGUGGCAUUCGCGCGGGUCAUGCAUGUGUAAGCAGAUUUGCUGGACGGCGUAGGCGAUCUCUGGACGCGUGAUGGUGAGGUACUGCAGGGCCCCGGCGAUGCUCCGAUAGGCCGAAGGGUCGUCGACGCAUGGCCCAUCGGCUGAGGGGAGUUUGCUCUUCGUGUCGAUGGGUGUCGGGGAAGGGCGGCAGGUGUCCAUGCCGGCGCGUUCCAGGAGCUCGUCGGCAUAUUGUUGUUGCGACAGGAAGAAGCCAGCUCGGGUGCGGGUGACGCGCAUGCCGAGGAAGAAGGCGAGCGAGCGCAGGUCCUUCAUGGCGAAUUCGCCUGUGAGGCGCUGGAUGACAUGGUGAAGCACGCGUGACGAGGACGCGGUGAGCACGAUGUCGUCGACGUAGAGGAGGAGGAACGCCAUGUCGUUGCCGUGCCGGAAGGUGAACAGCAACGAGUCCGAACGCGUAGCUGCGAAGCCAAUGGAGCGGACGAAGCCGGCGAAGUGGAGGAACCAGGCACGGGGCGCCUGCUUGAGCCCGUACAAGGACUUGGAGAGGCGGCAGACGUGCUCUGGUUUGUCGGGGUCGAUGAAUCCGGCGGGCUGGAGGCAGUAGACUUCCUCCUCAAGUUUCCGUGGAGGAAGGCAUUGGAGACGUCGAGGUGGUGCACCGGCCAGCCGCGCGACGCGGCCAUAGUGAGCACCAUGUGGAUCGUCACUGGCUUGACGACGGGGGAGAACGUCUCGCCGUAGUCGACGCCGGCACGCUGAUGAAAGCCCCGCACGACCCAGCAUGCUUUGUAGCGGGCCAGCACGCCGUCGGCGUCGUUUUUGUGCUUGAAGAUCCGCUUCCCUGUGAUCAGGUUGGCGCCGGGGGGGAGCGGGGCACCAGCUCCCACGUGCGAUUGCGCACGAGCGCAUCGUACUCAGCACACAUGGCAGCGAGCCAGUUCGGGUCGCGAACAGCAGCACGAACCGAACGCGGCACCGGCGACACCGAUGAUGAGCUAGAGGCGGUGGCCGCGUCGUAGUAGCGCGGCUUGGGGCGGAAGAUGCCGCGCUGGGCACGCGUGACCAUGGGCACAGGAGGCGCCGGUGCGCGGGGCGCCGCUGGUGGCGCGCUCGGAGACGAGCUGUCGGAGGAGCCACUGGGGAGUUGUCGGAGGAGGCGCUGGCGGAGGCGAAGACAAGCGGACCAGGCGCGGAUGGGCACGUCGAGGACGGAGCCGAGCCGCCAUCGGAAGCGCCCGCAGCGUACCGCGAGCUGACGCGGCGCGCCCCGCUGGUUGGCGAUGAUGAGCGGGGCAAGCCGGUGAUGGAGAUCAGGCGCGCCGGCAGCACGGGUGACAUGCUGCUGUCAGGCACCGGUGGAAGCGCGGGCAGCGCAGGAGGCCGGACGACGAGCGGGAUCUGCAGGUUAGAGGGUACGACGGGUGGCGUAGGCGACGGGGAAGAGGAUGCGAACGGGAAAACGUGUUCGUGGAAGAGAACGUGGCGAGACGUGAGGACGCGGCGAGAGGUGAGGUCAAAGCAGCGAAAACCACGAUGAUCGGGAGGGUACCCGAGGAAGACGCAGGCGAUAGAACGUGGCUCGAGCUUAUGGCGGGUGGUGGCGGUGACGUUCGGAUAGCAGAGGCAUCCAAAGACGCGGAGCUGCGAGUAAUUUGUGCGGGCAUGCGGUGACGUUCGGAUAGAUGCGGAGUAAUUUGUGCGACGCCGAGCAGGAGUUCAUGCGGAGUGCAGGGCGCCGAGGCGCGGCAGGGCCGACGAUUGAGCAGGUAGGUCGAGGUGUUGAGAGCCUCUGCCCAGAAGCGAGCGGGCAUGUGCGCAUGACAGAGAAGCACACGAACACCGUCGUUGAUCGUGCGGAGAACUCGCUCGUCCUUGCCGUUCUGCCGUGGCGAGCAAGCAGAGAGCGCGCGGCUGCACUGUCGAAUUCACGACCGUUGCCCGUUUCCAGUGCAAGUAUGGGUAACUGAAACUGAGUCUGAACAUAGGCAAAGAAAUCAACAAGUAUGGGAAGAACUUCAGACUUGUGUUUCAGAGGGAAAGUCCAGACAUAGUGACUGAAAUCAUCUAGUACAACUAAGUAAAACUGAUAGCCGGAUAUGCUUACAACGGGAGCGGUCCAUACAUCAAGGUGUAAAAGCUGGAAAGGAAAGAAACUAGCAGUGGUGGAUGUCUGAAACGUGUUGGAUCGAUGUCCGUGUAGCCCGCUUCUUUCUCUGUAGGAAGGACGCGGUUACGCUCGCGUUGACAUCGGAUGACUCGAUCACAUGCACGGGAGGGGCGGUACGACAUGGCACCGCCACGCCACCGUGCUCCCUCCCAGUGCCGACCUGGAGCAACUUGCCACUCCUCAGCUCGUGACCGGUGGGCUUGACGGGCCACCUAGCCAUUUUUUAUGCCAGACAACUCUUCUUCCUGCUCAUCAGAUGUCAUGGAUAAAACUGUUUAAGGAGGAAAAUGAUGAGUGGACGUGUGAUGCGGUUCUUGCCCAACAUCUGACAUUGUUUAAAUAGCGAGGGGACACGAGAGGAGCCAACUGGCGUUCUGUUUAAUGCCAACCGGCUCGUGAACGAACAUGUGGCCGGAGUAAUUAUCCUGGCACACACGAGGGUUUAAUGGUGGAAGGCGGGCAGUCUGCAGGAAUGAGGCGAGGAUGUGUGCUUAGCCGGCGUGCAGUAGGCGGCGCCCUCGGCCGGCGUGCUGCUUCCAUUGCGGAGGCAGUGAGAGGUCGCGUCCGCUCUGCAGCGCAUGAAUGCGGGCAGCUGGCGCAGAGCGGGAACGCGUGCGGGCGAGGGAGGAGGGGGUUUGGGCGGGUGGUCAGAAGAGGUCGUGGGUGUUGUCCGAACGCCUGCAAAUCCCCCCUCCAUAUUUGUCUCCAGUUUGCGGGAGAAAGUACGUCCGGACCGUCUCCAAUGGACCAAUACAGGCCCGCAUUAGAUGGCACAACACGUCCGGACCAUGUGGUCCGGAUGGUUGUGGACAGUUUAAUUGAGGGUCGGCGUUGGAGAUGCCUUAGAGUUUAUGAAUCCAUUGUGUUUUUCUAAUCAUAAAAAAGCACUUACAAUAAGUUAUAAGGAAAGACACGUUUAUAUGUUAGGUUCAGACUCCAGGUUUCGUUUUACAUAUGCUUUAUUCAUCCGACUGAUUCCAAUAGAGUGAGCCUAGCGUUGUUUUUCUGGAAACUCGCGGGAUAAGGAGACAUGCAUACACAUUCUUUCAAGCAAAUCACAUCCAUUCUUUUUAACUCAUUUUUCUUCUUUUAAUAAUAUAAUAGAUCAUUUAUAUUUUUUAUCUGAAACAGUUGACGUGUAAUUUAUAUUGUAAUCUGAGGAUAAUGUUUGGAUUUUACUUUCAAAUAUAUUUGAAAUGGCCAUGAUGGAAUCACAUCCAUUUAUUUUAUUAUUAUUUGAAUUUGAUCCAAAAGAUAAAUAAUGAGUUGAGGUCAUGUCAACUUUUCUGAGAACUUUGCUAAUCAAAAUAUAAAUUGUAUUUAAAAAAUCUAUUUUUUAGCACGCAUGAAAAACAUAACACGUAUCUUUUCACACAUAAUGAACGGUUGUCAUAAGAACUCAUGCCAUGCCACAACCUCCCUCCGACCCUGCCAACAUUGUUGCAGCUGCACUCGCAAGCCUUAGCGUAGAUGAUAAUUUAUACAAUUUGCGUAAAACAAAAUAAGAUCUACAAAUUAAUAGAAGCUAGAACGUACAUUGGCAUGCACACACAUUGCAAGCUAUACUAAGCUGAUAAGUGUUAAUAACUUGUACAACAUAUACAACACUUAAGACAAGUAAAAGCAAUUUGAUGAGUCAUGGUCUAUCAAAGCCACAUUACUAGUCUAAUCCAUCUUAACAGGUCACACAUGAUUAAAAUCUUGUUUGUGUGCAAGUCAAGCUUAUCUAGUUUACAUGUAACAACUUGUAGAACAUUAAAAAAUUUAUGUUUGCUAAUAACUUCUAGAACACUACAACACUUGACAUGUAAAAGGAAUUUGAUGAGUCAUGGCCUACUAAAGCAAGUUAUAUUACUAGUCUUAUCUACCUUAACAGGCCACACAAGAUUACAAACCAAGUUCUGUGCCAGCCAUGCUUAUCUAGUUUAUGCGUAACAAUUUGCAGAAAAUUACAAACUUAGUUUCAGAAAAAUAGGCAAUCUAGAUUAGUGUUUGAGCUAUAAAGUGAAUAAAAUGAGUCAUCUGUGUUAUCACACCUUUUUGGUUGUGGAAUGAUAGUGCAACAACAAGGAACUUUAAUGACCAGUUCAAGAAUACACUUGUAAGUAGUGCCACCGAACACAACAUACCAAAUUAUGAUUUUGAGAAGCAUCCAAGCACUUCCACACAAGCAAAUGCCAAUUGUGAAAGAGAUCAUGCCAUGGCAGCUAUAAAUAGGCCCGUAGCAUGACGAUCAUCCUUCCUCAUCCAUCAUUCUCAAAAGUAGAGCGCAUCAUUUAAGCCAAGCAAGCAGUGCUCAAUACAAAUCCACCAUGAAGACCUUUCUCAUCCUUGCCCUCCUUGCUAUUGUAGCAACCACCGCCACAAUUGCAGUUAGAGUUCCAGUGCCACAAUUGCAGCCACAAAAUCCAUCUCAGCAACAACCACAAGAGCAAGUUCCAUUGGUACAACAACAGCAAUUUCCAGGGCAGCAACAACCAUUUCCACCACAACAACCAUAUCCGCAGCCGCAACCAUUUCCAUCACAACAACCAUAUCUGCAGCUGCAACCAUUUCCACAGCCGCAACUACCAUAUCCGCAGCCGCAACUACCAUAUCCGCAGCCGCAACCAUUUCGACCACAACAACCAUAUCCACAACCGCAACCACAGUAUUCGCAACCACAACAACCAAUUUCGCAGCAGCAACAACAACAACAACAACAAAUCCUUCAACAAAUUUUGCAACAACAACUGAUUCCAUGCAGGGAUGUUGUAUUGCAACAACACAACAUAGCGCAUGGAAGGUCACAAGUUUUGCAACAAAGUACUUACCAGCUGGUGCAACAAUUGUGUUGUCAGCAGCUGUGGCAGAUCCCCGAGCAGUCGCGGUGCCAAGCCAUCCACAAUGUUGUUCAUGCUAUUAUUCUGCAUCAUCAUCAACAACAACAACAACAACAACAACCGUUGACCCAGGUCUCCUUCCAACAGCCUCAACAACAAUAUCCAUCAGGCCAGGGCUCCUUCCAGCCAUCUCAGCAAAACCCACAGGCCCAGGGCUCUGUCCAGCCUCAACAACUGCCCCAGUUUGAGGAAAUAAGGAACCUAGCGCUAGAGACGCUACCUGCAAUGUGCAAUGUCUAUAUCCCUCCAUAUUGCACCAUUGCUCAAGUUGGCAUCUUCGGUACUAACUGAGAAGAGAAGAACUCUAGUAGUAGAUAUAUGAUACACCGUUUUCUUAGUCCAUGGUUUGGUCGUUGUAGCGGUGAAAAAAUAAAGUGACAUGCACUAUCAUGCAAGAACCCGAACUAUACUAGUUCAAACAUGGGAAUAAAAGACAAACACAUGUCUUGACUACAUAUGAUUGUUUGUUUGAGUUCCACUCAUGUGCCCACUUACAAGUUCACCCCUAAUUAUAUAUAUUAUGCAUUAAGUAGAUAUUUAUGUUGCAUUAAUCUAAAGAUAACAAAAUGAGUCUGAAAUUUGAAUUAAAUUGAAGUAUUUCCUUGGACUUUCAAAUGGAGUAUUAUUAAAGUAGUAAGGACUAUCCACAUCCUUGGCUUGCCCUUGAUCAAUUAUUUCCAGAGAAGCAUUCAAUUCAUCAAUCAAUUACAUUGAUUUUUGUGGCUGGUACUUCUCCUCAACAUGAGUAUAUUCAUCGCGGCAACUCCAAAUAGGCAUGAAUGAGGUACCGGUGCUCUGGAGCACUGGUACCUAACUGCUUCUCAUGUGAAGGGGUGCGGGCGCGGGAGAGGUGUUUUUGGUGGGCCAGGGGAGUAAGAAGCGGCCGUGGCAGCGGUCCAGACGCCCACAAAGCCCCGUAGUUUGUUUUUGGUUUACAGGAAAAUGCACAUCCAGACCGGCCUGCGGGCCGAUAUAGGACCGUAUUGGAUGGCAAAACAUGUCCGGAUGGUCGCGAGCGGUUUAAGGGUUAGCUUUUGUAACACCCGGUUAGUUAUGCUAUGGUAAUUCCCUGCUAAUGAUGUCACGUCAGCACGAUUACUGUUGUUAACCUCACAAUGAUUCAAUCCCAUUCAAAUUCAAAUUUAAAAUAAAGGCAAACAUCAAAAGUUUCAAACAUUAAAACUAAAAUCUUCGAGAGGUGAAAAAUAAUGCAUAAGUAAUUAUGGUGGAGAAACCACACUUUUAUAAAAUGUUUAAAUACUCUAAAAAUAAUAAAACCGUGGCUUAAACUAUUAUUUAAAUGCUUUUAAAAUAGUAAAAAUGUUCUAACUAAAUUAAUUGGGUACCAAACUUUUAGUGGCAGUGGUAUAUUUAGUAGAACUAAUUUAGAUGCUAAUAAAACAUAAAAGGAAAGACAAAACAAAUAAAAGUAAAAGGGGGCAACCCCUCGCUGGACCUCGGCCAAGCUGGCCACUGGGCUAGCUAGGUUGGCCCAACCGCCUCCCUUAACCCCCCACUCCCCAUUGAACCCUAGACCGAUCGCCCCACUUCCCCCACACCCCCUCGUUAGCCUCCCCACCUCUCGAUCCCAUCUGGAUCGGGGAGGGGAUCGCCCCCAUCGACCCCGUCGCGGUCGCUGGAUCGCCCGCCGGCGUCGCCGGACCUCCUCCCCGUCGCACGUCUCCGGCUCUCCUCCCCUCUCGCUCCUUUUCCUCGACCCGAUCUGGAUCGGACAGGGCCAAUGAGCCCAACGCCCCCCUGCAUCGACGCUGUGCUCCAGCACCGCCGCCCGAAGACCUCGCCAUCGCCGGACCUCGCGUCGCCUCCUCGUAUCCCUCCCCGACUCGCCUCCUCAAGCCACGCCGACCCCCUUCUCGGCAACGCUGUGAGCCGCCCCCGUUUCCCUCCUUCUCUUUCCACCGUGUUCACCGCGCCGCCUGCCGUGCCCCUCGCAGCGCGCACGCCCACCACCGCGCCAGCCCCCGCUCCGCGCCCUCUCCUGCACGCUUGUGCGCGCAUGACCCUAGCCGCGCCCACGCCGUGAUCCCCUUGUCCCGCGCUCGCCGCGGCCCCCAUGCUCCCCUGUGCCCUCUUUUGGGGGUGUCGGCUGCCCCUGUCCCGCAGCUCGCUGGCAUGUGUCCCCGCCCGCGCCUCGCCACCGCUCUACAGCUACGCUACUAUUGCGCUGUGGCCGCCGCCGCUUCCCGCUGCUCUGCCAGCGCCAAAGCUCCCGGUUGGCCCUGCCGCUGCUCGCAUUUAACCGCCGGCCUAAGCGGCCUAACCUCCCCCCCCCCUCGCUAAUGAACCCCCACCAACCCGCUGACACCGGGACCCACAUCCCCUAAUUAACCAUUUAAUAAAUUAAAACUCUUAAAUUAACAUUAGUGUAUGACAUGUGGGUCCCCUAUUAAUUAAACUGAUUUAAUUAAAAUCUAUUAACUUUGAGUCUAUGACAUAUGGGCCCCACUAAACAUUUGACCAGUCAACGGUCCAGUCAAAUGCUGACCGGACAGUUGACCAGAGGGCCCCGCCAGUCAGCCAAUGUGUUGUUCUGCUGGGUACCUUUCUAAGUACACCUAGCAUUUUGCAUUUACAAUAUUUGUUUUAAAAUAAAUUAGAAUAAUUUCAAAAAAAUAUUAAAACUUUUAAAAUUAAAAUAAAUAAUCCGUAACUCGGAUGAAAUUACUUUAUACAUGGAACUUGCUCAAAAAACGAGACGAAUCCGAAUACACAGUCCGUUCGUCUGCCACGCGUCCCUAGCAUAGCGAACAUGCAACCAUCCCCCUCCGGUUCGACUGUCCGAAAAAUUAUUAUUGCACAUGCCCGCUAAGAGGUUGGCUGUAUAUGACAUGACAACUUCUUAUAGCCGACCCUUGGCUGUAUUAUUAACCAUGCUCUUAGUGAGGUAGCUAGUAUAUCAUAGACGACUAGCUAGUAUCAGACUGGCCAAAGUGGGAGUAACUUCAGCAGUAACAUCGACUCCAACUCAGCAAACUUGCUUAUGUGGGAGUAAACCUUGUCCAAUGCAAAAUAGAAUCCCAGUCGUAAUUUUUUCAGGAAACGUGUGGGAUCCCAAACGAAAAGCACACAUCACUCUUGCGGCAACCGUCGGUGACACCCAAUAAAUCACAAACGGUCUGCAGCACUUGUAUGUGUGCAAAGGGGCUCCUGAACCGUUUGUGAUAGAACAUUAUCGCAGACGGUAAUUGUUGGCAAACGUGUGCGAUGGAGUCUAGCAUGGCAGACGGGUUACGCAGAAAACUCGUGUGCGAUGGGGCACAAAUCGCACACAGUUCAUAUGUUGGCCCAUGUGCCUUACAUACUAUUUCCCAAAUGGUUUGUUACGACAGACCGUAUCGUUUCAGUGCGUCAUUAGAAACGCUUAAUCACUGAUACCACACGUGCGAUAGAAUUUAGUGCGUGCUGCAUCGCACACGAUUACAUUUUGGAAGGCCUCUGGAUCACUGCUCCAUAUCCCCGACGGUUUCUGGGCCGUGUGGGAAGGACACCCUAUCGCACACACUCACUUGGCGACGGUUCCAAAUGCUGUUGCGGAAAGGGGUUAAAAACAGUUUGUUUAGGACCGACGCAUACCAGUGUCUAUCUAUCUAUCUAUCUAUCUAUCUAUCCAUCUAUCUAUCUAUCUAUCCAUCUAUCUAUCUCAAUCCACCUAUCUAUCUAUCCAUCUAUCCAUCUAUCUAUCUCUCCAUCUAUCCAUCUAUCUAUCCAUCUAUCCAUCCAUCUACUAUCCAUCUAUCUAUCCAUCCAUCUAUCUAUCUCUCUCUCUCUAUCUAUCUAUCUAUCUAUCUAUCUAUCUAUCUAUCUAUCUAUCUAUCUAUCUAUCUAUCUGUCUGUCUAACUAUCUAUCUGUCUAUCUAUCUAUCCAUCUAUUCAUCUAUCUAUCUAUGUAUCCAUUUAUCCAUUGAUCCAUCUAUCGAUCCAUCCAUCUAUCCAUCCAUCUAUCCAUCCAUCUAUCUAUCCAUGUAUCCAUGUAUCCAUCUAUCCAUCUAUCCAUCUAUUGAUCUAUCCAUCUAUCUAUCUAUCUAUCCAUCUAUCCAUCUAUCGAUCUAUCCAUCUAUCUAUCUAUCCAUCCAUCUAUCCAUCUAUCGAUCUAUCGGUCUAUCCAUCUAUCGAUCUAUCCAUCUCUCCAUCUACCCAUCUACCCAUCUAUCCAUCUAUCCAUCUAUUCAUCUACCGAUCUAUCUAUCCAUCUAUCUAUCUAGCUAUCUAGCUAUCUAUCAAUCUAUCUAGCUAUCUAGCUAUCUAUCUAUCUAGUUAUCUAGCUAUCUAUCAAUCUACCUACCUACCUACCUACCUAUCUAUCUAUCUAUCUAUCUAUCUAAAGGAAAUAUGCCCUAGAUGCAAUAAUAAAGUUGUCAUUUACAUUUCCUUAUAUCAUGAUAAACUAGCGGAGUCACCCGCGCAUUUGCGCGGCUAGAUUGACUACAUAUAUUGUUAUAUUUGGGAUUAUUUUUCUAUGCCAAUUUUAUGGCCUCUUACUCAGAUAUUAUCUAAUUGAAUUUACCACCACCAUAUGUUAUAUCCAUAGAUUAUAAUUAAAAGGCAACUUCCGACGAAACAUAGACAGAUUAUUGAGUGCUCAGUAGACGGACGCAAUAUCAUAUAUAGACUUCUAUACCAAUCUUCAUGGUUCCCAUCUUUGAUCCUCUCCUCGUCCCUUGGUAUCUAUCUUUGCACCCAAUAUGUCUUUGGAGUUCCAAGAAUUGAAUCUUAGCAUGAAUGGCUUCAAUGUGUACCAAAUGUUCUCUUGUUCCUCCCAAAUUAAUUACUGGUUGCAUUCUUAGUUGCUUUGACAUUCUUGGUUAAUGCAAUGUCUUGCCUACCAAUAUAUGCAUCCACACACGAUCAUAUUUAUAUGACCACUUACCUCUGUAUUCUGGUAUUUGUGCUUCAGAAUUUUUCUCUCAUUCAGUUUAUUCAUAGAUUAAAAACGUCGAUCGUUUCUUUAUUGGUUUGCAUUAUCUUGUUUGCCGAACGUAAGCAUCCACACAUGCUCGUCAUGAUAUGAUUGGUCAUCAUUGUAUAUUUGUAUUUGUGUGUUGAUAGCUUAAGGAUUUUCUCGGAUUCACUUCAUAGUUUAAGGAUUUUCUCGCGUUCAAUUUAUUCUACCUUAUUCAUUUUCAUGUUUCUUUAUUGCAUUUAUAUCAAUUCUUACAAUAUAUUUUCCAAGAUAUGAACUCAACUGCUAAUUACGUAGUUUUUCAUCAAAAAUUACAUGUAAAAAUGUUACAAAUGCAUAAACAUGAUAAAAAUAUAUAUCAUAUUCCAUUGAGAGAUCGCCCAUUUAAAAAAAACACGUUGACUUACAAAAAGGACAAUUCAAGCUGCAUGUACGUCCGACUCAUGUUUACCUGACAAUGUCGAUGUUGAUUUCAGCAGUAAAUGAGCUGUGUGUGACCUUUGCGCUUUCCGGUAUUCUUCUAACCUGUGUGCUUUAUGAUCAGUUUGUUGUGCUUAGUACUGGACACUGGAGUAUACUAUCAUAUUUGGUACAAAUAAAUCUGAACUACUAUAGUUAUGAUCCACUCUAUAGUUAAUGGUGGUGGUAAUUAAUAUAUGUGGUUAAAUACUUGCGCUCCUUAGGUGGGGAGUUGGAUUUGUAUUUCCCUAAAAUAAAUUUCAGAUUUCGUAAUAGUGGUGAAGCCAGCCGGAAGAACCUCUGCGUCAUUAUUAAUUUUGGUGAUAUUUUUCUUCAUAGUGUAGAAUAAUUUUAGUGCUUAUUCCGCAAAAAAUAUGGCCUCAACUAACCCCAUAGCUUGUAUGUUGCGCCACCACUGUUUCCUAUAUCUUAUUACAUCCGUUGUUUUUAGAUCUUGAUGCAUAACUUUGACAAUUUUUAAUAGAUAUGUGUCUGCAUAAAAAAUUAUAAAUGCUAUGAUAAUUUGAUUAAUUAUGAUGAAUAAAAUGUUAUUGCUCUGACUUGAUCCCUCUAGAAUUUUCCAAAAUUUCACAUUACUGUUGUAGUAGUGCAUGCUACCUCUUCAGCACUGCGUUAGUUUUCCCUUGAAGAGGAAAGGGUGAUGCAGUAAAUCAGCGUCAGUAUUUCCCUCAGUUUUUGAGAACCAAGGUAUCAAUCCAGUAGGAGGCAACACACGAGUCCCUCGCACCUACACAAACAAAUAAAAUCCUCGCAACCAACGCAAUAAAGGGGUUGUCAAUCCCUUCACGGUCACUUACGAAAGUGAGAUCUGAUAGAUUUGAUAAGAUAAUAUUUUUGGUAUUUUUAUGAUAAAGAUGCAACGUAAAGAAAGCAAAAUAAAAACAACGCCAGAAAUAGCUUGUUGACGGGAGAUUAAAUAUGAUGGAAAAUAGACCGGGGGCCAUAGGUUUCACUAGUGGCUUCUCUCGAGAGCAUAAGUAUUUCGGUGGGUAGACAAAUUACUGUUGAGCAAUUGACAGAAUUGAGCAUAGUUAUGAGAAUAUCAAGGUAUGAUCAUGUAUAUAGGCAUCACGUCCGAGGCAAGUAGCCCGACUCCUGCCUGCAUCUACUACUAUUACUCCACACAUCAACCGCUAUCCAGCAUGCAUCUAGAGUAUUAAGUUCAAAAGAACAGAGUAACGCUUUAAGUAAGAUGACAUGAUGUAGAGGGAUAAACUCAUGCAAUAUGAUAUAAACCCCAUCUUGUUAUCCUCGAUGGCAACAAUACAAUACGUGCCUUGCUGCCCCUACUGUCACUGGGAAAGGACACCGCAAGAUUGAACCCAAAGCUAAGCACUUCUCCCAUCGCAAGAAAGAUCAAUCUAGUAGGCCAAACCAAAUUGAUAAUUCGAAGAGACUUGCAAAGAUAACCAAUCAUACAUAAAAGAAUUUAGACAAGAUUCAAAUAUUGUUCAUAGAUAAACUUGAUCAUAAACCCAUAAUUCGUCGGUCUCAACAAACACACCGCAAAAGAAGAUUACAUCGAAUAGAUCUCCACAAGAGGGGGGGAGAACAUUGUAUUGAGAUCCAAAAAGAGAGAAGAAGCCAUCUAGCUAAUAACUAUGGACCCGAAGGUCUGAGGUAAAGUACUCACACAUCAUCGGAGAGGCUAUGGUGUUGAUGUAGAAGUCCUCCGUGAUCGAUGCCCCCUUCGGCGGAGCUCCGGAAAAGGCCCCAAGAUGGGAUCUCACGGGUACAGAAGGUUGCGGCGAUGGAAUUAGGUUUCAUUCCGUUUGGACUCGGUUUGAUAUUCUUUUUCUGUGAAACUCUGAACUAGGCAAAAAACAGCAAUUCUGGGGUGGGCCUCCGGUUAAUAGGUUAGUCCCAAAAAUAAUAUAAAAGUGUAUAAUAAAGCCCAUUAAUGUCUAAAACAGAAUAUAAUAUAGCAUGGAACAGUUAAAAAUUAUAUAUACGUUGGAGACGUAUCAAGCAUCCCCAAGCUUAAUUCCUGCUCGUCCUCGAGUAGGUAAAUGAUAAAAACAGAAUUUUUAAUGUGGAAUGCUACUUCGAAUAAUUUCAAUGUAAUUCUCUUAAUUGUGGUAUGAAUAUUCAGACCCGAAAGAUUCAAGACAAAAGUUUAAUAUUGACAUCAAAAUAAUAAUACUUCAAGCAUACUAACUAAGCAAUUAUGUCUUCUCAAAAUCAUAUAGUCUAGCUAUGCUCUAUCUUCACCACACAAAGUAUUUAAAUUAUGCACAACCCCGAUGACAAGCCAAGCAAUUGUUUCAUACUUUUGAUGUUCUCAAACUUUUUCAAUCUUCACAGAAUACAUGAGCAUGAGCCAUGGACAUAGCACUAUAUGUGGAAUAGAAUGGUGGUUGUGGAGAAGACAAAAAAGGAGAAGAUAGUCUCACAUCAACUAGGCGUAUCAACGGGCUAUGGAGAUGCCCAUUAAUAGAUAUCAAUGUGAGUGAGUAGGAAUUGCCAUGCAACGGAUGCACUAGAGCUAUAAGUAUAUGAAAGCUCAACAAAAGGAACUAAGUGGGUGUCCAUCCAACUCGCUUGCUCAUGAAGACCUAGGGCAUUUUGAGGAAACCCAUCAUUGGAAUAUACAAGCCAAGUUCUAUAAUGAAAAUUUCCCACUAGUACAUGAAAGUGAUAUCAUAGGAGACUCUCUAUCAUGAAGAUCACGGUGCUACUUUGAAGAACAAGUGUGGUAAAAGGAUAGUAACAUUGUCCCUUCUCUCUUUUUCUCUCAUUUUUUAUUUGGGUCUUUUAUCCUUUUUUUAUGGCCUCUUUUUUUAGUCCGAAGUCUCAUCCCGACUUGUGGGGGAAUCAUAGUCUCCAUCAUCCUUUCCUCACUUGGGACAAUGCUCUAAAAAAAUGAUGAUCAUCACACUUUUAUUUACUUACAACUCAAUACUUAGAACAAAAUAUGACUCUAUGUGAAUGCCUCUGGCGGUAUACCGUGAUAUGCAAUGAAUCAAGAGUGACAUGUAUGAAAGAAUUAUGAACGGUGGCUUUGCCACAAAUACAAUGUCAACUACAUGAUCAUGGAAAGCAAUAUGACAAUGAUGGAGUGUGUCAUAAUAAACUGAACGGUGGUAAGUUGCAUGGCAAUAUAUCUCGCAAUGGCUAUGGAAAUGCCAUGACAGGUAGGUAUGGUGGCUGUUUUGAGGAAGGUAUAUGGUGGGUGUAUGAUACCGGCGAAAAGUGCGCGGUAUUAGAGAGGCUAGCAAUGGUGGAAGGAAGAAAGUGCGUAUAAUCCAUGGACUCAACAUUAGCCAUAAAGAACUCAUAUACUUAUUGCAAAAAUCUACAAGUUAUCGAAGCAAAGUAUUACCCGCAUCAUCCUAGGGGGAUAGAUUGGUAGGAAAAGACCAUCGCUCGUCCCCGACCGCCACUCAUAAGGAAGACAAUCAAUAAAUAAAUCAUGCUCCAACUUCAUCACAUCACGGUUCACCAUACGUGCAUGCUAAGGGAAUCACAAACUUUAACACAAGUAUUUCGCAAAUUCAAAACUACUCAACUAGCAUGACUCUAAUAUCACCAUCUCCAUAUCUCAAAACAAUUAUCAAGUAUCAAACUUCUCAUAGUAUUCAACACACUCAUAAGAUUUUUUUACUAAUCUUGAGUGCCUAUCAUAAUUAAAGCAAAUUACCACACUGUUUUGUAGGACUAUCAAAAUAAUCUAAGUGAAUCAUGAGAGAACAAUAGUUUCUAUAAAACAAAACCACCACCGUGCUGUAAAAGAUAUACGUGAAGCACUAGAGCAAAAACUAUAUAGCUCAAAAGAUAUAAGUGAAGCACAUAGAGUAUUCUAACAAUUUCCGAAUCAUGUGUGUCUCUCUCAAAAGGUGUGUACUGCAAGGAUUAGUGUGGCAAACUAACAAAUAAAGACUUCAAAUAAUACAAGACGCUCCAAGCAAAACACAUAUCAUGUGGUGAACAAAAAUAUAGCUCCAAGUAAAGUUACCGAUGGAAGUAGACGAAAGAGGGGAUGCCUUCCGGGGCAUCCCCAAGCUUUGGCUUUUAGUUGUCCUUAGAUUAUCUUGGGGUGCCAUGGGCAUCCCCAAGCUUAGGCUCUUGCCACUCCUUGUUUCAUAAUCCAUCAAAUCUUUCAUCCAAAACUUGAAAACUUCACAACACAAAACUGAGCAGAAAAUCUCGUGAGCUCCGUUAGCAAAAGAAAAGAAAACACCACUUCAAGGUACUGUAAUGAACUCAUUCUUUAUUUAUAUUGGUGUUAAACCUACUGUAUUCCAACUUGUCUAUGGUUUAUAUACUAUUUUACUAGCCAUAGAUUCAUCAAAAUAAGCAAACAACACACGAAAAACAUAAUCUGUCAAAAACAGAACAGUCUGUAGUAAUCUAUAACUAACGCAAUUUUCUGCGACUCCAAAAAUUGACCCAAAAUAGGAAGACCUAGCCAAUUUUUUUAUUUAUCAGCAGCAAUUGGAAUCAAUAUUUUAUCACGUCCUGGUGAUUUUUAACAAUUAUUUUCGUGAACAGAAAGUUUCUGGAAUUUUCAGCAAGAUCAAAUAACUAUCAUCCAAGAAGAUCCUAUAGGUUAACCUUGGCACAAACACUAAUUAAAACAUAAAAACACAUGUAACCAGAGGCUAGAUCAAAUAUUUAUUCCUAAACAAAAGAAAAAAGCAAAAAAACUAAAAAUAAAAUUGGGUUGCCUCCCAACAAGCGCUAUCGUUUAACGCCCCUAGCUUGGCAUAAUAGCAAGGAUAGAUCUAGGUAUUGCCAUCUUUGGUAGGCAAUCCAUAAGUGGCUCUCAUAAUAGAUUCAUAAGGUAAUUUUAUUUUAUUUCUAGGGAAGUUUUCCAUGCCUUUCCUUAAUGGAAAUUGGAAUCUAAUAUUCCCUUGCUUCGUAUCAAUAAUUGCACCAAUCGUUCUAAGGAAAGGUCUACCAAGAAUAAUAGGACAUGAAGGAUUGCAAUCUAUAUCAAGAACAAUAAAAUCUACAGGCACAUAAUUCCUAUUUGCAACAAUAAGAACAUCAUCAAUUCUUCCCAUAGGUUUCUUAAUGGUGGAAUCCGCAAGGUGCAAGUUUAAAGAGCAAUCAUCAAAAUCACGGAAACCUAGCAAAUCGCACAAAGUCUUUGGAAUCGUGGAAACAGUAGCACCCAAAUCACACAAAGCAUAGCAUUCAUGAUCUUUAAUUUUUAUUUUAAUAGUAGGUUCCCACUCAUCAUAAAGUUUUCUAGGGAUAGAAACUUCCAACUCAAGUUUUUCUUCAUAAGAUUGCAUCAAAGCAUCAACGAUAUGUUUAGUAAGGCUUUAUUUUGACUAUAAGCGUGUGGAGCAUUUAGCACGGAUUGCAACAAGGAAAUACAAUCUAUCAAAGAGAAAUUAUCAUAAUUAAAUUCCUUUAAAUCCAAAAUAGUGGGUUCAUUAAUAUCUAGAGUUUUGAUUUCUUCAAUCCCACUUUUACCAAUUUUUGCAUCAAGAUCUAAAAACUCAGAAUUUUUGGAAUGCCUUCUAGGUAGAGGUGGAUCAUAUUCAGUCCCAUCAUUAUCAAGAUUCAUAUUGCAAAACAAAGAUUUAAUAGGGGACACAUCAAUAACUUUUAGAUCUUCAUCUUUAUUUUCAUAGAAACUAGAAGAACACGCUUUCACAAAACAAUCUUUCUUAGCACGCAUCCUAGCGGUUCUUUCUGUGCACUCAUCAAUGGAAAUUCUCAUGGCCUUGAGAGACUCAUUGAUAUCAUGCUUAGGAGAAAUUCUAUCAGCGUUCCUAGCCAAUUCAUCAACUUUAAGCAAUUUUUCUUCAAGCAAAGCAUUGAAAUUGUUUUGCGAAUUCAUAAAUUCUUUAACACUAGUCUCAAAUUCAGAAGGCAUCUUAUUAAAAUUUCCAUAAUAAUUGUUGUAGGAAUUACCAUAAUUAUUAGAGGAAUUACUAGGAUACGGCCUUGGAUUAAAGUUUCCUCUAUACGCGUUGUUACCAAAAUUAUUCCGACCAACAAAAUUCACAUCCAUAGAUUCAUUAUUAUUCUCAAUAAAAGUAGACAAAGGCAUAUCAUUAGGAUCAGAAGAAACACUUUUAUUAGCAAAUAAUUUCAUAAGUUCAUCCAUCUUUCCACUCAAAACAUUAAUUUCUUCUAUCGCAUGCACUUUUUUAUUAGUGGAUUUUUCGGUGUGCCAUUGAGAAUAAUUAACCAUAAUAUUAUCUAGGAGUUUAGUAGCUUCUCCUAAAGUGAUUUCCAUAAAAGUGCCUCCCGCGGCCGAAUCUAAAAGAUUUCUAGAAGAAAAAUUCAAUCCGGCAUAAAAUUUUUGUAUAAUCAUCCACAAAUUCAAACCAUGAGUAGGGCAAUUACGUAUCAUUAAUUUCAUCCUCUCGCAAGCUUGUGCAACAUGUUCAUGAUCAAGUUGCUUAAAAUUCAUAAUAUCAUUUCUAAGAGAGAUGAUCUUAGCGGGGGGGAAAUACUUAGAGAUAAAAGCAUCUUUGCACUUAUUUCAAGAAUCACUACUAUUUUUAGGCAAAGACGAAAACCAAGCUUUAGCACGAUCUCUAAGUGAAAAAGGAAAUAGCUUCAAUUUAACAAUAUCAUUGUCCACAUCUUUCUUCUUUUGCAUAUCACACAAAUCAACGAAGUUGCCAUGUCUAGGAAUGCUUGAAGCUUCAAAGAUUUCCUAUAAUACAACAUGCCUCUAACUAUUCACAAAAAGAAAAACAUGUAAAUGCGGAAUCAACCAAAUGAUGGUAAAUUGUAGUUGAUUUUGGCCAAGCAAACGUCAGAUGAAAGAAACAUACAUGAGUGAACAUCACGAUUGGAUGUUUUAUUCAAAUUUAACAGGUUAAACUCACCAAAUCCAUCUGGAUAUUUAGUAUUAAACUUCAACAGAUGGUCAGUUGUAGCUAGAUUCACACCACUGCAGCAAAAUUCCAUCUGCCACGGUUACAUCACACCAUCUUUUCAUCGUUACUAUUUAAAUUCCAAAUGCCUGCAACUCAUUUUUUUUGUUACGAUGUAUGCAUGAUUUUUAACUCAAGAGGAAGAGGGGAAACUAAAUCCAAGAAAAGAACACCAAGGAAGCAUCCAAAAUAGAGAAAGGAAAAAUCCAAAAUAGAGGCAGAAUCGAAGGGAAGAAACCCCAUAAAAAAUAGGAGAUCAAACGGUGAAAAAAAUCUAAGAGUCAAACAAUUCCAGGUAAGACCAAAUCGACGGCAAAAUAGCACAAGAGGGACUCACAUUAACAGGUAUACCAGGUAUACCAAUUCAGAAAGAAGUGUAAAGCGAACAGUGCAAUGGACCACUAGUAUAAAUUGGAUGUACACAAACAUGGGACUUAAACAGGAACUGCGAGAUGCAGGGUUCAUGUGCAAACCCAAAAAACGGAAAACUGAAACCCACAACAAGAUUUUAUCUUCAUAUAUAUAUAUAUAUAUAUAUAUAUAUAUAUAUAUAUAUAUAUAUUCAAGGCUCGCCCUAUCUAUUAGUUGCUUCUUGCGAAUCCCCACCUAUCAAGCGUUUUCUCUGAAUAAACAAACACAAUAGUAUUCUCUGAAUUAUACUGUACAACGGUAAUUAACCAAGCGACUGGAAUUAACAAUAUUAUGAGCUACUGGCUUUUUAGUCAGGUAAAUAUCAUUCUUAAGACUACGGAAAACAGCAGGCGGCGAAGAAAACAUCUAUUGAUGAGAACUAUGCACAUACUUAAGAAGGAAGUGACAUCUAUGGUAGCAGAACAUAUAUCAAGCUGUUGCAGCUACAUUAGCAGUUUAGCACAGUUCCUCCAUAAUACACAGGCUAGUGUAAUUUCACAAAUACAAUAAGCUAACAAUAUAUAUUUGGUAGAUGGAAAUGGCUGGAUCAUGACCAAUAUACCAUUACACAUCCGAUGAUGCAAAUAAAGAAACGAGGCCCAACAAUAGUGGAAAAUAAACCACAAUAGAACAUGUAUUUGGCGAAACCUCCGUACUGCAAUAUCAAACAUGAAUUGAAAUUAACAAUCUAGCAAAAAAACAUGACAGAUGCAGUCUUGGUCAUUUUUCCUUUUGUGACAUCCCCUAAAAAAAGUAAAAACAAUGUUGUUCGUAUUUUACCAGAGAUACACUGAGCUGGGACAAAUCGGUCUGAAAUAAAAUAUGAUGGCUUCGGAGGAUUCGAAAGGCAAGAAAUUUGCUUUCUUCCAACUUAUAUGGUCUGCUGAACUAAACUUCGUUUCAGCGGGCUUUGGCAAAAAUCUGUAACUGCAUACAUCAACUUGUGUGCCCUUCCUACGUCAAACUUUAAACCUGAUGGAUUAAAUAUUUUAGGUUAGGCUGAGAUCAGUGUACUUUAUGAGUGUUAAGUGUACUUUCUAAAUAGCAGAGAAACCAUAACAUCUAAGCACAACCCAGCAACUUGUACAAGCUAACAUCAAAUCUGAAAGAGGAAAUGUCGAGAACAGGUGAAGGUACCAUGAUCCACGACUGAGCAAAGUUAUCUAUAAUGCUCGGUGAAUAUCAUAAAUUAGGAUCAACUACGCUGAAGAACAAACGGGAAAGGAACCUAGAAAGAUCUUCUGCCGGUAGAAUAUAACUGAUACACUAUCCUCAUUCUCGAGAUCAAGGUCGUUUCUUGAAUUGCAGUUUCCUCACUGUAGUAUGGGGUCAUUACACUGCGAAGAACAAAGUGUCAUAUGAAUCAUUUAGAGCCCAAUAUUUUUCACUGAAACUCUUAUGAUCACAUAACGAAUUUAAACAUAAGGUUUAUUAGAUAUUUGUUGUUGUGAACAGAUAAUAUAUUUCUGGUGUUGACAAUGUUUUGAUUAUGGAUGCACUUCAAGAUGGGUGGCAAAGAUUCUGUUGUACAGGCCUCCACCUGGAAUUUCAUCACUUGUUAUUUUUGUUUUAGAAUGUCUAGGUGCAUUUUUCCUUUAAGGUGGAAACAGAUGUACUUGUAUAAGCAACAAGAAUACAAAGCGCCACUGCCAUACAUUGUGGAAGUUCAGUGCUUCUGUUUACAAAAUCUGCUUCAAAAAACAGAAGGAUUUAUAAUUUUUCAUUACAAUCAAGCGGACAUGAGCUGAUGAGUACAGAUGUAGACAUGUACUGAGAGCAGCACCCUUUCAAAAGUGGAUCAUUUACAUGUUGGAUAGUUUGAUGGUCUGAAAUUAGUGGUCGUGUUUCAGAAUUGUUAUCGAAUAGUAGGGGAUAUAUAUUAACUUCUGAAAUUAGUGGCUGUUUGUCAGAACUGUUAUCGAAUAACAGAGCACAUAUAUUAACUUCAAUAAGUGGAGUAAUAUCUUUGGAUUCGCUGUGAGGAAAGAUUACCAAAACAAAACAGAAGUGAGUGCGACGAACCAGAUGAGGGCGCUCUUGAGCCUCUUCCCGACCGACCUAGAUGCAGGAGCAGAACAGGGCGGAUCUAAUCAGCCAACGAAUAAAGCCGAGGCAGGUAGAGGAAGUAAGGGGGGAAGAAGACUGACUUGUCCUGGUCGCCCUCGUAGUAGAACCUGUGUUUUGAUUUUCGGCCGAAAAAAGAGGAUUUCGGCUGAAUUUCGGCCAUCUCGGCCUGGGGCGAAAAGUGUAUUUAGGCCGAAAUUGUUCAAAUUUAGCAAAUUUUGGUCAAAUUUAAGUCAAAUUGCAGUCAAAAUUUGGUCAAAUUUCAGCCGAAAUUUUUGAAAAUGGCUGAAAUUCGGCCAUCUCAGCCUAGGGAGGAAAAAAAGCUCAAACCGAAAAUCAAAACACAUAGUAGAACAUGGCGAACAGGAUGACGAGGAAGACGAGGACAGCGUCGAGGAUGUAGACGACGAGCCAGAGCGUGUUCAUGGGCAGGAUCAAGCAUGGGCAGGAUAAGGGCGCAGGCCCCGUUGUAGGCGGCGUGCUUGCAGGCCUGGCAGUUGGCGACGUCGGCGGGGAGCAUGAGGAUGGAGAGGACGGCGACGGUGAUGCCGAGCACGACGACGAGCUUGAGGAAGUAGGCCUGGUUGGCAUCAUCCGGGUGCUGGUAGUUGACGAGCAGGUAGACGCUGACGAGGAGCACCAGGAUGCUGACCACCGCCGCCACGAUCACUAGCGCCACGUUAAAAACCCCAUCUCCUCGGGGCUCCGGUCCCGGUUCCGGCCCGCCGCCUCGCCCCCGUUGGUCGGUCAGAUCUCUCUGUCCCUAGAGGCGGGGGGAUACAGGCUAGGGUUUGGGCGUGGGCGGGGAAUAGGCUGCUAUGGUGCCUGCAGCGGGGCGUGUAGGAGAGAAGGAUUAGGAGGAAUAAUUCACCACACUUUGAUUAAGCUCUGGGAUGGGUCUUAUGUACAGAUUACAGGGCCAGCCAGGGAGAUCAUGGGGUGAUCCACUACCUGGGAUCGUGCGCCACGAUCACUACAUGCGUGCGCCACGAUCAUAUACACACACGCUACACCUAGUGUCUACGCAACUACGGUAUAGCAGUACAGUACAGCCUAACACCCCCCUCCCCCGGAGUCGUGACGUCGGCGGCGGCGACGCAAAGACUGGACCGGAACUCAGAGAAAACAUCCGAUGGCAGGCCUUUGGUCAUGAUGUCGGCGAGUUGUUGGCGCGUGGGGAUGUGAAGAACACGGAAGUGGCCGAGGGCGACGUGCUCCCGCACGAAAUGGAUGUCCAGCUCCACAUGCUUAGUGCAGCGAUGAUGCACCGGAUUGGCUGACAGGUAGACUACGGACACAUUGUCACAGUACACCAGUGCCGCCUUGGUCACUGGAGCGGAGAGCUCGCCGAGAAGCUGGCGGAGCCAGAUGCAUUCAGCGACCGCGUUGGCGACGCCGCGGUAUUCAGCUUCGGCGCUGGAGCGCGAUACGGUCGCCUGGCGCUUGGAGGACCAGGAGACGAGAGCACCGCCGAGGAAGACGCAGAAGCCCGACGUGGAGCGUCGGGUGUCGGGGCAGCCGGCCCAGUCCGCAUCGGUGAACGCACGGACGUCGAGCGUGGUCGAGGCGCGAAGAUGAAGCCCGAGUGCGCAGGUGCCCUUCACGUACCGGAGCACGCGCUUUACGAGCGCGAGGUGGCAUUAGCGCGGGUCAUGCAUGUGCAAGCAGAUUUGCUGGACAGCGUAGGCGAUCUCUGGACGCGUGAUGGUGAGGUACUGCAGGGCCCCGGCGAUGCUCCGAUAGGCCGAGGGGUCGUCGACGCAGGGCCCAUCGGCUGAGGGGAGUUUGCUCUUCGUGUCGGUGGGUGUCGGGGAAGGGCGGCAGGUGUCCAUGCCGGCGCGUUCCAGGAGCUCGUCGGCAUAUUGUUGUUGCGACAGGAAGAAGCCAGCUCGGGUGCGGGUGACGCGGAUGCCGAGGAAGAAGGCGAGCGAGCGCAGGUCCUUCAUGGCGAAUUCGCCUGUGAGGCGCUGGAUGACAUGGUGAAGCACGCGUGACGAGGACGCGGUGAGCACGAUGUCGUCGACGUAGAGGAGGAGGAACGCCAUGUCGUUGCCGUGCCGGAAGGUGAACAGCGAUGAGUCCGAACGCGUAGCUGCGAAGCCAAUGGAGCGGACGAAGCCGGCGAAGUGGAGGAACCAGGCACGGGGCGCCUGCUUGAGCCCGUACAAGGACUUGGAGAGGCGGCAGACGUGCUCUGGUUUGUCGGGGUCGACGAAUCCGGCGGGCUGGAGGCACUAGACUUCCUCCUCCAAGUUGCCGUCGAGGAAGGCGUUGGAGACGUCGAGGUGGUGCACCGGCCAGCCGCGCGACGCGGCCAGAGUGAGCACCGUGUGGAUCGUCGCUGGCUUGAUGACGGGGGAGAACGUCUCGCCGUAGUCGACGCCAGCACACUGAUGAAAGCCCCGCACGACCCAGCGUGCUUUGUUGCGGGCCAGCGCGCCGUCGGCGUCGUUUUUGUGCUUGAAGAUCCACUUCCCUGUGAUCAGGUUGGCGCCGGGCGGGCGGGGCACCAGCUCCCACGUGCGAUUGCGCACUAGCGCAUCGUACUCAGCACGCAUGGCACCGAGCCAGUUCGGGUCGCGAACAGCAGCGCGAACCGAACGCGGCACCGGCGACACCGAUGAUGAGGUAGAGGCGGUGACCGCGUCGUAGUAGCGCGGGUUGGGGCGGAAGAUGCCGCGCUGGGCACGCGUGACCAUGGGCACAGGAGGCGCCGGUGCGCGGGGCGCCGCUGGUGGCGCGCUCGGAGACGAGCUGUCGGAGGAGCCGCUGGCGGAGUUGUCGGAGGAGCCGCUGGCGGACACGAAGACAGGCGGACCAGGCGCGGAUGGGCACGUCGAGGACGGAGCCGAGCCGCCAUCGGAAGCGCCCGCAGCGUACCGCGAGCUGACGCGGCGCGCCCCGCUGGUUGGCGAGGAUGAGCGGGGCAGGCCGGUGAUGGAGAUCGGGCGCGCCGGCAGCACGGGUGACAUGCUGCUGUCAGGCACCGGUGGAAGCGCGGGCAGCGCAGGAGGCCGGACGACGAGCGGGAUCUGCAGGGUAGAGGGUACGACGGGUGGCGUAGGCGACGGGGAAGAGGAUGCGAACGGGAAAACGUGUUCGUGGAAGAGAACGUGGCGAGACGUGAGGACGCGGCGAGAGGUGAGGUCAAAGCAGCGAAAACCACGAUGAUCGGGAGGGUACCCGAGGAAGACGCAGGCGAUAGAACGUGGCUCGAGCUUAUGAUGGGUGGUGGCGGUGACGUUCGGAUAGCAGAGGCAUCCAAAGACGCGGAGCUGCGAGUAAUCUGGGGCGACGCCGAGCAGGAGUUCGUGCGGAGUGCAGGGCGCCGAGGCAGGGCCGACGAUUGAGCAGGUAGGUCGAGGUGUUGAGAGCCUCGGCCCAGAAGCGAGCGGGCAUGUGCGCAUGACAGAGAAGCACACGAACGCCAUCGUUGAUCGUGCGGAGAACUCGCUCGUCCUUGCCGUUCUGCUGACUGGCGUAUGGGCAGGUGAGACGGAAGUUUGUGCCGUGGCGAGCAAGCAGAGAGCGCAUGGCUGCGCUGUCGAAUUCACGACCAUUGCCCGUUUGCAGUGCAAGUACGGGUAACUGAAACUGAGUCUGAACAUAGGCAAAGAAAUCAACAAGUAUGGGAGGAACUUCAGACUUGUGUUUCAGAGGGAAAGUCCAGACAUAGUGACUGAAAUCAUCUAGUACAACUAAGUAAAACUGAUAGCCGGAUAUGCUUACAACGGGAGGGGUCCAUACAUCAAGGUUUAAAAGUUGGAAAGGAAAGAAACUAGCAGUGGUGGAUGUCUGAAACGGGAGCCAGGUGUGUUUGCCAACACGACAGGCAUGACAGACAGGCGGAUCACGGCAGAACUCCAGGGACUGAUCGGCAGCAACGGUGUGGAGUGCGGCAGCCCCUGGGUGGCCGAGACGUUGAUGCCACAGGUCGGUCGUGGCGGAGCCGGCGAAGAUGCCCGGGGAAUGGACGGAUGGCCGCACCACGGGAUAGAGAUCGCCGUCGGAGUCAGAUCGGAGAAUCACCACCCUGGUUCGUAGGUCCUUGACAGAGAAACCACGAGCGUCAAAUUCAACAGAAACGGGGUAGGAACGACAAAGCUGCCGAACUGAAAGUAGGUUUUUGACGAUAGAUGGAGAGACGAGAACGUUGCGGAGAGGAAUGGGGGAAGUGCUGGUGAUCAGUGCGCCCGUGCCAACGUGGGUGAUGGGCAGGCGCUCACCACUGCCCACGAUGAUAGAUGCAGCAGUAGAGGACGGGCGAGUGGAGAGGAGAUUACCAGGGGAGGACGUCAUGUGCGCCGCGGCGCCGGAGUCGAGGUACCACUCCGGUGCGCUGCCAGAGGAGGAAGGGCUGGCCGAGGCGCUGUGGAGGGCGGCCUGGAGCGAGGCCAUGUCCCAUGGCUGGUGGGUUGCAGUCGACGAGCUGGCGCCGGGGUGCCCGUAGCCUGACAGGACGCCGGAGACGGGUGGAGUGACGCCGUAGCCGGGGAGGGUAGCGCCGUAGCCGUAUGGUGCAGCCAGCGACGGGGCGGCGAACAUGGCCUGCUGGUGCGGCGUACCAGGGCGGGGGCCGAGCACUCCAGCUCCAGGCGCGCGCCAAGGCAUCGGCCAAGCCUGGACCAUGCCGGUCCAUGCGUUGGUGCCAGGUGCAGGCGUGGGGUACGCCGGGGGAGGGCGGGGAGCCUGGGAGGACGGCGUGGGCGGGCCACCACUGCCGUUGCCACGUCCGCGGCGGCAUCCGCGCCCACGCCCUUGGUUGGUGUUGCUGGGCGGGGGUGUGGGUGGUGUAGGAGAGCCGCCACGCCCGGCGACGAGAGCGUGCGCAGACUGCUGGCGAGCGGUCGACUGCUCUGCUCGGUGUUCCUCAAGCAGGAGGAAGGAGCGCACCUGCAGGAACGACGGGAGCGGGACCUGCGAGGUGAGGGAUGGCGGAGUGGAACUGCCGGUUCAGACCGCGGAGCAGGUUGAAGACCUGCCGCGAGUCGGUUACCGGCUGCCCGAGGUCGCAGAGUUGAUCCGUGAACGACUUCAUCUUGGUGCAGUACGCCAUGAUCGACAUGUCGCCCUGAACGACAGCGUGGUACUCGGCGUCGAGGUAGACAGCGCGAGCGAGGUGGUUGUCGCGGAAGAUUCCAUCGACCGCAGUCCAGACGGCCAGAGCAGUGUCGUCCGGCUGCAUGACGGCGUCGAGCAGGUCCGGCGAUAUGGUGGUGUAGAACCAAUGGACGACGACGUGAUCAGCCAUGCCCCACUUGGGAUCAUCGUGGCGGUGCAUGGCCGUGGUGUCGACGUGAGUGCGGAGGCCGAACAUGCCGAUGACGGUGUCGAAGUGGCGGCGCCACUGCGUGUAGUUGCCGGCGAGAAGGUCGAGGGUGACCGGGACAUGACGACGGAUGUCCACGGUCUGCAGGAUCGCGGAGGCGACAGGUGCUGUAGGAGGAGGAAGAGGGAUGACGGGCACUGCGGGCGCGACAGGUGCUAGAGCCGGCGGUGCGUUGGCCAGGGGGACAGCGUUGAGGACGCCGUCGGCGCCGUGCUGCGAGGAGCGAGGGAACACGACGGGGUUUUCAUCCAUGGCGGCGGAAGCGGGACUGGCGACCUGCGCGAAGGGAUUGAGCAGGUCGGGGGAGUCUGAUACCAUAUAGGAAAGAAGGAUUAGGAGGAAUAAUUCACCACACUUUGAUUGAGCUCUCGGUUGGGUCUUAUGUACAGAUUACAGGGCCAGGGAGAUCAUGGGGUGAUCCACUACCUGGGAUCGUGCGCCACGAUCACUAUAUGCGUGCGCCACGAUUAUAUACACACAUGCUACAACUAGUGUCUACGCAACUACGGUAUAGCAGUACAGUACAGUCUAACAGGGCGGCCACCGGCGGGGAGGGCGGGAUCCGCGCGGGGUGGCGGGAUUUGGGCAGGCGGUGGGCUCGGGGGAGGGCGGUGGCAGCGAAGCAGCAAGGAGGGGCUGGAGGAGAUGAAACGAAAGAGGUCGCGUGACACAGCGACAGCGUCGUCCAAUCCCCUCGCUGCCGAUUUAAAAAAAGGUAAUGAUAACUCCCGAACGUUCAGGAGUUAAGCAUGGCAACCCGAACGGGUUUAGAUGGCAAGUUUAGUUUGCGUGAGAUUAGGGAAACAUGGUAAUUUUCUGACAAAAGAAAUGAAAAAGGACGAAGUUGCCAUCCCCUAUCAACUAAAGUUGCCAUCCCCUAUGAACUAAAGUUGCCAUGUAAAAACGUUCGGGACGAAAUGCUCAAAAUCCGAACGUUCGGAAGUUAUUGGAUUCAAAAAAAAUCCCCUUGCUGCCAAUCGCUGGCCCGUUUCUUUUUUCGCCCAAUCGCUAGGUGAUGACGUGGCUAUCACGGGAAGGCGCCCUUGAUGCGUAGUCGAAUGGUUUUAAUUAAUAGGAAGCGAGUGCUUACUCUAGUUACUGAAUUAUGUACACCAAAUAAAGCCAUUUACACGUAGUUAAUGACAAAAAAAGUUGAUGUUUGCUGCGCAAACGUGUAGUACAAAUUAAGAAGUGCAAGAUAAAAAAAAUGCUGGUCCUUGAUUCGUUGUUGAUCGUCAGCAUGCCAUCAUCAAUUUGUAGUUAAUUAUCAUACAAAUUGGCUCUUUCAUAGAGUUGGAGGCUAGCUCCUUUGAUCAGCACGCGCUUAAACAUAAACAGCACGUAUAUGUUUUGUCUCCGGAGUUCAAUUCUUCAUCGGCCAGCAAAAAUGGCCCGACCGGGUAGAGGAAAAGGCAUGUUUGUUAGUACGCCUGGAGGAAAUGCCUUUGAUUAGGGCAUCUUCAACAGCGACCAGUAAAUUUCCUCCCGCGUUCGUCCACGGAUAGGGGAUCAGUCCGCGGAUACGGAUACAGGAAUCAUCCAUCCAACGCUGUCCGCGUAUAUUUCAAACACAUGUUUUUUUGAAAAUAGGAUGAAAUUCAUGCAAACACAAUGGAUUUCAUACAAACCGGACAAAAAUGUUUACAUUUUGGACAUAUUUUUUUUACUAAAAACUCUACAGCCGGUGCCGGCGAAUAUCCACUCCGGCGACAUGGAUACCCUUGACUAGUCUACUGCCGGCCGCAGCGGAUCUCCAAUGUCGUCCCCAUGUCCGGCAGCUAUGAGCCCUAGAGGUAUAUGCUUCAGCGCAAAGAGCGGCUCGCCUCCCUACCGCUCAUCGGAGUGGAACAACCAGCUGAUGCUUCUGCCGAUGGAAAGGGUCCCUACGCUACACAGAUUAGAGUUGGUUUUGGGCUGGGAACGGCGGUGGCCUGCCAGAGCGCAAGAUACCGACUGUGUAUGCUGGUGUCACCUGGUGUGGCAUUCGUGGGACCCAAGCGGCAGCGCCUCCUCGAUGAUGGCGGCGAGCGCGGACGUGUUGGACACCACCUCGUCGAUGUCCGUGCAGCCCGCUUCUUUCUCUGUAGGAAGGACGCGGUUACGCUCGCGUUGACAUCGGAUGACUUGGUCACAUGCACGGGAGGGGCGGUAUGACAUGGCACCGCCAAUGGCAGCCAUGAUGCCCGCGCCACCGUGCUCCCUCCCAGUGCCGACCUGGAGCAACUUGCCACUCCUCGGCUCGUGACCGGUGGGCUUGACAAGCCACCUAGCCAUUUUUUAUGCCAGACAACUCUUCUUCCUGCUCGUCAGAUGUCAUGGAUAAAACUGUUUAAGGAGGAAAAUGAUGAGUGGACGUGUGAUGCGGUUCUUGCCCAACAUCUGACAUUGUUUAAAUAGCGAGGGGACACGAGAGGAGCCAACCGGCGUUCUGUUUAAUGCUAACCGGCUCGCGAAUGAACAUGUGGCCGGAGUAAUUAUCCUGGCACACACGAGGGUUUAAUGGUGGAAGGCGGGCAGUCUGCAGGAAUGAGGCGAGGAUGUGUGCUUAGCCGGCGUGCAGCAGGCGGCGCCCUCGGCCGGCGUGCUGCUUCCAUUGCGGAGGCAGUGAGAGGUCGCGUCCGCUCUGCAGCGCAUGAAUGCGGGCCACUGGCGCAGAGCGGGAACGCGUGCGGGCGAGGGAGGAGGGGGUUUGGGCGGGUGGUUAGAAGAGGUCGUGGGUGUUGUCCGAACGCCUGCAAAUCCCCCCUCCAUGUUUAUCUCCAGUUUGCGGGAGAAAGUACGUCCGGACCGUCUCCAAUGGACCAAUACAGGCACGCAUUGGAUGGCACAACACGUCCGGACCAUGUGGUCCGGAUGGUUGUGAACAGUUUAAUUGAGGGUCGGCGUUGGAGAUGCCUUAGAGUUUAUGAAUCCAUUGUGUUUUUCUAAUCAUAAAAAAGCACUUACAAUAAGUUAUAAGGAAAGACACGUUUAUAUGUUAGGUUCAGACUCCAGCUUUCGUUUUACAUAUGCUUUAUUCAUCCGACUGAUUCCAAUAGAGUGAGCCUAGCGUUGUUUUUCUGGAAACUCGCGCGAUGAGGAGACAUGCAUACACAUUCUUUCAAGCAAAUCACAUCCAUUCUUUUUAACUCAUUUUUCUUCUUUUAAUAAUAUAAUAGAUCAUUUAUAUUUUUUAUCUGAAACAGUUGACGUGUAAUUUAUAUUGUAAUCUGAGAAUAAUGUUUGGAUUUUACUUUCAAAUAUAUUUGAAAUGGCCAUGAUGGAAUCACAUCCAUUUAUUUUGUUAUUAUUUGAAUUUGAUCCAAAAGAUUAAUAAUGAGUAGAGGUCAUGUCAACUUUUCUGAGAACUUUGCUAAUCAAAAUAUAAAUUUUAUUUAAAAACAUCUAUUUUUUAGCACGCAUGAAAAACAUAACACGUAUCUUUUCACACAUAAUGAACGGUUGUCAUAAGAACUCAUGCCAUGCCACAACCUCCCUCCGACCCUGCCAACAUUGUUGCAGCUGCACUCGCAAGCUUUAGCGUAGAUGAUAAUUUAUACAAUUUGCGUAAAACAAAAUAAGAUCUACAAAUGAAUAGAAGCUAGAACGUACAUUGGCAUGCACACACAUUGCAAGCCAUACUAACCUGAUAAGUGUUAAUAACUUGUACAACAUAUACAGCACUUAAGACAAGUAAAAGCAAUUUGAUGAGUCAUGGUCUAUCAAAGCCACAUUACUAGUCUAAUCCAUCUUAACAGGUCACACAUGAUUAAAAUCUUGUUUGUGUGCAAGUCAAGCUUAUCUAGUUUACAUGUAACAACUUGUAGAACAUUACAAAAUUUAUGUUUGCUAAUAACUUCUAGAACACUACAACACUUGACAUGUAAAAGGAAUUUGAUGAGUCAUGGCCUACUAAAGCAAGUUAUAUUACUAGUCUUAUCUACCUUAACAGGCCACACAAGAUUACAAACCAAGUUCUGUGCCAGCCAUGCUUAUCUAGUUUAUGCGUAACAAUUUGCAGAAAAUUACAAACUUAGUUUCAGAAAAAUAGGCAAUCUAGAUUAGUGUUUGAGCUGUAAAGUGAAUAAAAUGAGUCAUGCGUGUUAUCACACCUUUUUGGUUGUGGAAUGAUAGUGCAACAACAAGGAACUUUAAUGACCAGUUCAAGAAUACACUUGUAAGUAGAGCCACCGAACACAACAUACCAAAUUAUGAUUUUGAGAAGCAUCCAAGCACUUCCACACAAGCAAAUGCCAACUGUGAAAGAGAUCAUGCCAUGGCAGCUAUAAAUAGGCCCGUAGCAUGACGAUCAUCCUUCCUCAUCCAUCAUUCUCAUAAGUAGAGCGCAUCAUUUAAGCCAAGCAAGCAGUGCUCAAUACAAAUCCACCAUGAAGACCUUUCUCAUCCUUGCCCUCCUUGCUAUUGUAGCAACCACCGCCACAAUUGCAGUUAGAGUUCCAGUGCCACAAUUGCAGCCACAAAAUCCAUCUCAGCAACAACCACAAGAGCAAGUUCCAUUGGUACAACAACAGCAAUUUCCAGGGCAGCAACAACCAUUUCCACCACAACAGCCAUAUCCGCAGCCGCAACCAUUUCCAUCACAACAACCAUAUCUGCAGCUGCAACCAUUUCCGCAGCCGCAACUACCAUAUCCGCAGCCGCAACCAUUUCGACCACAACAACCAUAUCCACAACCGCAACCACAGUAUUCGCAACCACAACAACCAAUUUCGCAGCAGCAGCAACAACAACAACAACAACAACAACAACAACAACAAAUCCUUCAACAAAUUUUGCAACAACAACUGAUUCCAUGCAGGGAUGUUGUAUUGCAACAACACAACAUAGCGCAUGGAAGCUCACAAGUUUUGCAACAAAGUACUUACCAGCUGGUGCAACAAUUGUGUUGUCAGCAGCUGCGGUAGAUCCCCAAGCAGUCGCGGUGCCAAGCCAUCCACAAUGUUGUUCAUGCUAUUAUUCUGCAUCAACAACAACAACAACAACAACCGUUGAGCCAGGUCUCCUUCCAACAGCCUCAACAACAAUAUCCAUCAGGCCAGGGCUCCUUCCAGCCAUCUCAGCAAAACCCACAGGCCCAGGGCUCUGUCCAGCCUCAACAACUGCCCCAGUUUGAGGAAAUAAGGAACCUAGCGCUAGAGACGCUACCUGCAAUGUGCAAUGUCUAUAUCCCUCCAUAUUGCACCAUUGCUCAAGUUGGCAUCUUUGGUACUAACUGAGAAGAGAAGAACUCUAGUAGUAGAUAUAUGAUACACCGUUUUCUUAGUCCAUGGUUUGGUCGUUGUAGCGGUGAAAAAAUAAAGUGACAUGCACUAUCAUGUAAGAACCCGAACUAUACUAGUUCAAACAUGGGAAUAAAAGACAAACACAUGUCUUGUCUACAUAUGAUUGUUUGUUUGAGUUCCACUCAUGUGCCCACUCACAAGUUCACCCCUAAUUAUAUAUAUUAUGCAUUAAGUAGAUAUUUAUGUUGCAUUAAUCUAAAGAUAACAAAAUGAGUCUGAAAUUUGAAUUAAAUUGAAGUAUUUCCUUGGACUUUCAAAUGGAGUAUUAUUAAAGUAGUAAGGACUACCCACAUCCUUGGCUUGCCCUUGAUCAAUUAUUUCCAGAGAAGCGUUCAAUUCGUCAAUCAAUUACAUUGAUUUUUGUGGCUGGUACUUCUCCUCAACAUGAGUAUAUUCAUCGCGGCUACUCCAAAUAGGCAUGAAUGAGGUACUGGUGCUCUGGAGCACUGGUACCUAACUGCUUCUCAUGUGAAGGGGUGCGGGCGCGGGAGAGGUGUUUUUGGUGGGCCAGGGGAGUAAGAAUCGGCCGUGGCAGCGGUCCAGACGCCCACAAAGCCCCGUAGUUUGUUUUUGGUUUACAGGAAAAUGCACAUCCAGACCGGCCUGCAGGCCGAUAUAGGACCGUAUUGGAUGGCAAAACAUGUCCGGAUGGUCACGAGCAGUUUAAGGGUUAGCUUUUGUAACGCCCGGUUAGUUAUGCUAUGGUAAUUCCCUGCUAAUGAUGUCACGUCAGCACGAUUACUGUUGUUAACCUCACAAUGAUUCAAUCCCAUUCAAAUUCAAAUUUAAAAUAAAGGCAAACAUCAAAAGUUUCAAACAUUAAAACUAAAAUCUUCGAGAGGUGAAAAAUAAUGCAUAAGUAAUUAUGGUGGAGAAACCACACUUUUAUAAAAUGUUUAAAUACUCUAAAAAUAAUAAAACAGUGGCUUAAACUAUUAUUUAAAUGAUUUUAAAAUAGUAAACAUGUUCUAACUAAAUUAAUUGGGUACCAAACUUUUGGUGGCAGUGGUAUAUUUAGUAGAACUAAUUUAGAUGCUAAUGAAACAUAAAAGGAAAGACAAAACAAAUAAAAGUAAAAGGGGGCAACCCCUCGCUGGGCCUCGACCAAGCUGGCCACUGGGCUAGCUAGGUUGGCCCAACCGCCUCCCUUAACCCCCCACUCCCCAUCGAACCCUAGACCGAUCGCCCCACUUCCCCCACACCCCCUCGUCAGCCUCCCCACCUCUCGAUCCCAUCCAGAUCGGGGAGGGNNNNNNNNNNNNNNNNNNNNNNNNNNNNNNNNNNNNNNNNNNNNNNNNNNNNNNNNNNNNNNNNNNNNNNNNNNNNNNNNNNNNNNNNNNNNNNNNNNNNNNNNNNNNNNNNNNNNNNNNNNNNNNNNNNNNNNNNNNNNNNNNNNNNNNNNNNNNNNNNNNNNNNNNNNNNNNNNNNNNNNNNNNNNNNNNNNNNNNNNNNNNNNNNNNNNNNNNNNNNNNNNNNNNNNNNNNNNNNNNNNNNNNNNNNNNNNNNNNNNNNNNNNNNNNNNNNNNNNNNNNNNNNNNNNNNNNNNGAGGGGAUCGCCCCCAUCGACCCCGUCGCGGUCGCCGGACCUCCUCCCCGUCGCACGUCUCCGGCUCUCCUCCCCUCUCGCUCCUCUUCCCCGACCCGAUCUGGAUCGGGAAGGGCCAAUGAGCCCAAGCCCCCUCCAUCGACGCUGUGCGCCAGCACCGCCGCCCGAAGACCUCGCCGUCGCCGGACCUCGCGUCGCCUCCUCGUAUCCCUCCCCGACUCGCCUCCUCAAGCCACGCCAACCCCCUUCUCGGCAACGCUGUGAGCCGCCCCCGUUUCCCUCCUUCUCUUUCCACCGUGUUCACCGCGCCGCCUGCCGUGCCCCUCGCCGCGCGCAUGCCCACCACCGCGCCAGCCCCAGCUCCGCGCCCUCUCCUGCACGCUUGUGCGCGCAUGACCCUAACCGCGCCCACGCCGUGAACCCCUUGUCCCGCCCGCCUUCGUUCCGCGCUCGCCGCGGCCCCCAUGCUCCCCUGCGCCCUCUUUUGGGGGCGUCGGCUGCCCCUGUCCCACUGCUCGCUGGCAUGCUGAAGGAAAUAUGCCCUAGAGGCAAUAAAUAAAGUAUUAUUUAUUUCCUUAUAUCAUGAUAAAUUUUUAUUAUUCAUGCUAGAAUUGUAUUAACCGGAAACAUAAUACAUGUGUGAAUACAUAGACAAACAGUGUGUCACUAGUAUGCCUCUACUUGACUAGCUCGUUAAUCAAAGAUGGUUAUAUUUCCUAGCCAUAGACAUGAGUUGUCAUUUGAUUAACGGGAUCACCUCAUUAGGAGAAUGACGUGAUUGACUUGACCCAUUCCGUUAGCUUAGCACCCGAUCGUUUAGUAUGUUGCUAUUGCUUUCUUCAUGACUUAUACAUGUUCCUAUGACUAUGAGAUUAUGCAACUCCCGUUUACCGGAGGAACACUUUGUGUGCUACCAAACAUCACAACGUAAAUGGGUGAUUAUAAAGGUGCUCUACAGGUGUCUCCAAAGGUACUUGUUGGGUUGGCGUAUUUCGAGAUUAGGAUUUUUCACUCCGAUUGUCGGAGAGGUAUCUCUGGGCCCACUCAGUAAUGCACAUCACUAUAAGCCUUGCAAGCAUUGUGACUAAUGAGUUAGUUGCAGGAUGAUGUAUUACGGAACGAGUAAAGAGACUUGCCGGUAACGAGAUUGAAAUAGGUAUCGAGAUACCGACGAUCGAAUCUCGGGCAAGUAACAUCCCGAUGACAAAGGGAACAACGUAUGUUGUUAUGCGGUCUGACCGAUAAAGAUCUUCGUAGAAUAUGUAGGAACCAAUAUGAGCAUCCAGGUUCCGCUAUUGGUUAUUUACCGGAGAGGUGUCUCGGUCAUGUCUACAUAGUUCUCAAACCCGUAGGGUCCGCACGCUUAAAGUUACGAUGAUAGUUAUAUUAUGUGUUUAUAUGUUUUGAUGCACCGAAGGUUGUUCGGGGUCCCGGAUGUGAUCACGGACAUGACGAGGAGUCUCGAAAUGGCCGAGACAUAAAGAUUGAUAUAUUGGACGACUAUAUUCGGACACCGGAAGUGUUCCGGAGAAGUUUCGGAUAAAACCGGAGUGCCGGAGGGGUUACCGGAACCCCCCGGGGAAGUAUUGGGCCUUAGUGGGCCUUCAGGGGAGAGAGAGGGCAGCAGCGAGGAGGUGGCGCGCCCCCUCCCAUGAGGAGUCCGAAUUGGACUAGGGGAGGGGGCGCAGCCCCUCUUUCCCUCUCCCUCUCCCUCUCUUUCCUUCCCCCCCUCUCUUCCUAGUUGGACUAGGAAAGGGGAGUCCUACUCCUACUAGGAGGAGGACUCCCCUCUCUCUCCUUGGCGUGCCAAAGGGCAGCCGGCCUCCCCCUUGCUCCUUUAUAUACGGGGGCAGGGGGCACCUCUAGGCACACUUGAUAUACGAUAUUUUAGCCGUGUGCGAUGCCCCCCUCCACCAUAUUACACCUCGAUAAUACCGUUGCGGAGCUUAGGCGAAACCCUGCGUCGGUGGAACAUCAUCAUCGUCACCACGCCAUCAUGCUGACGAAACUCUCCUUCAACACUCGGCUGGAUCGGAGUUCGAGGGAUGUCAUCGAGCUGAACGUGUGCUGAACUCGGAGGUGCCGUGCGUUCGGUACUUGAUCGGUCGGAUCGUGAAGACGUACGACUACAUCAACCGCGUUGUGAUAACGCUUCCGCUGUCGGUCUACGAGGGUACGUGGACAACACUCUCCCCUCUCGUUGCUAUGCAUCACCAUGAUCUUGCGUGUGCGUAGGAAAUUUUUUGAAAUUACUACAUUCCCCAACACAUGUGUCCCCGCCCGCGCCUCGCCACCGCUCUACUGCUACGCUACUAUUGCGCUGUGGCCGCCGCCGCUUCCCGCUGCUCUGCCAGCGCCAAAGCUCCCGGUUGGCCCUGCCGCUGCUCGCGUUUAACCGCCGGCAUCCCCUAACCUCCCCCCCUCGCUAAUGAACCCCCACCGACCCGCUGAUACCGGGACCCACAUCCCCUAAUUAACCAUUUAAUAAAUUAAAACUCUUAAAUUAACAUUAGUGUAUGACAUGUGGGUCCCCUAUUAAUUAAACUGAUUUAAUUAAAAUCUAUUAACUUUGAGUCUAUGACAUAUGGGCCCCACUAAACAUUUGACCAGCCAACGGUCCAGUCAAAUGCUGACCGGACAGUUGACCAGAGGGCCCCGCCAGUCAGCCAAUGUGUUGUUCUGCUGGGUACCUUUCUAAGUACACCUAGCAUUUUGCAUUUACAAUAUUUGUUUUAAAAUAAAUUAGAAUAAUUUCAAAAAAAGAUUAAAACUUUUAAAAUUAAAAUAAAAUAAUCCGUAACUGGAUGAAAUUACUUUAUACAUGGAAGUUGCUCAAAAAACGAGACGAAUCCGAAUACACAGUCCGUUCGUCUGCCACGCGUCCCUAGCAUAGCGAACAUGCAACCAUCCCCCUCCGGUUCGACUGUCCGAAAAAUUAUUAUUGCACAUGCCCGCUAAGAGGUUGGCUGUAUAUGACAUGACAAAUUCUUAUAGCCGACCCUUGGCUGUAUUAUUAACCAUGCUCUUAGUGAGGUAGCUAGUAUAUCAUAGACGACUAGCUUGUAUCAGACUAGCCAAAGUGGGAGUAACUUCAGCAGUAACAUCGACUCCAACUCAGCAAACUUGCUUAUGUGGGAGUAAACCGUGCCCAAUGCAAAAUACAAUCCCAGUCGUAAUUUUUUCAGGAAACGUGUGGGAUCCCAAACGAAAAGCACACGUCACUCUUGCGGCAACCGUCGGUGACACCCAAUAAAUCACAAACGGUCUGCAGCACUUGUAUGUGUGCAAAGGGGCUCCUGAACCGUUUGUGAUAGAACAUUAUCGCAGACGGUAAUUGUUGCCAAACGUGUGCGAUGGAGUCUAGCAUGGCAGACGGGUUACGCAGAAAACUCGUGUGCGAUGGGGCACAAAUCGCACACAGUUCAUAUGUUGGCCCAUGUGCCUUACAUACUAUUUCCCAAAUGGUUUGUUACGAUAGACCGUCUCGUUUCAGUGCGUCAUUAGAAACGCUUAAUCACUGAUACGACACGUGCGAAAGAAUUUAGUGCAUGCUGCAUCGCACACGAUUACAUUUUGGAAGGCCUCUGGAUCACUACUCCAUAUCCCCGGCGGUUUCUGGGCCGUGUGGGAAGGACACCCUAUCGCACACACUCACUUGGCAACGGUUCCAAAUGCUGUCGCGGAAAGGGGUUAAAAACAGUUUGUUUAGGACCGAAGCGUACCAGUGUCUAUCUAUCUAUCUAUCUAUCUAUCUAUCUAUCUAUCCAUCCAUCUAUCUAUCUAUCUAUCUAUCUAUCCAUCUAUCCAUCUAUCUAUCUCAAUCCACCUAUCUAUGUAUCCAUCUAUCCAUCUAUCUAUCUCUCCAUCUAUCCAUCUAUCUAUCCAUCUAUCCACCCAUCUACUAUCCAUCUAUCUAUCCAUCCAUCCAUCCAUCUAUCCAUCCAUCUAUCUAUCUAUCUAUCUAUUUAUCUAUCUAUCUAUCUAUCUACCUAUCUAUCUAUCCAUCUAUUCAUCUAUCUAUCUAUGUAUCCAUUUAUCCAUUGAUCCAUCUAUCGAUCCAUCGAUCCAUCCAUCCAUCCAUCUAUCCAUCCAUCAAUAUAUCCAUGUAUCCAUGUAUCCAUGUAUCUAUCUAUCGAUCUAUCCAUCUAUCUAUCUAUCUAUCCAUCUAUCCAUUUAUCGAUCUAUCCAUCUAUCUAUCUAUCCAUCGAUCUAUCGAUCUAUCGAUCUAUCGGUCUAUCGGUCUAUCCAUCUAGCGAUCUAUCCAUCUCUCCAUCUACCCAUCUAUCCAUCUAUUCAUCUACCGAUCUAUCUAUCCAUCUAUCUAUCUAGCUAUCUAGCUAUCUAGCUAUCUAGCUAUCUAUCUAUCUAUCUAUCUAGCUAUCUAGCUAUCUAUCUAUCUAGUUAUCUAGCUAUCUAUCUGUCUACCUACCUACCUACCUACCUACCUAUCUAUCUAUCUAUCUAUCUAUCUACCUAUCUAAAGGAAAUAUGCCCUAGAUGCAAUAAUAAAGUUGUUAUUUAUAUUUCCUUAUAUCAUGAUAAACUAGCGGAGUCACCCGCGCAUUUGCGCGGCUAGAUUGACUACAUAUAUUGUUAUAUUUGGGAUUAUUUUUCUAUGCCAAUUUUAUGGCCUCUUACUCAGAUAUUAUCUAAUUGAAUUUACCACCACCAUAUGUUAUAUCCAUAGAUUAUAAUUAAAAGGCAACUUCCGACGAAACAUGGACAGAUUAUUGAGUGCUCAGAAGACGGACGCAAUAUCAUAUAUAGACUUCUAUAGCAAUCUUCAUGGUUCCCAUCUUUGAUCCUCUCCUCGUCCCUUGGUAUCUAUCUUUGCACCCAAUGUCUUUGGAGUUCCAAGAAUUGAAUCUUAGCAUGAAUGGCUUCAAUGUGUACCAAAUGUUCUCUUGUUCCUCCCAAAUUAAUUACUGGUUGCAUUCUUAGUUGCUUUGACAUUCUUGGUUAAUGCAAUGUCUUGCCUACCAAUAUAUGCAUCCACACACGAUCAUAUUUAUAUUACCACUUACCUCUGUAUUCUGGUAUUUGUGCUUCAGAAUUUUUCUCUCAUUCAGUUUAUUCAUAGAUUAAAAACGUCGAUCGUUUCUUUAUUGGUUUGCAUUAUCUUGUUUGCCGAACGUAAGCAUCCACACAUGCUCGUCAUGAUAUGAUUGGUCAUCAUUGUAUAUUUGUAUUUGUGUGUUGAUAGCUUAAGGAUUUUCUCGGAUUCACUUCAUAGUUUAAGGAUUUUCUCGCCUUCAAUUUAUUCUACCUUAUUCAUUUUCAUGUUUCUUUAUUCCAUUUAUAUCAAUUCUUACAAUAUAUUUUCCAAGAUAUGAACUCAACUACUAAUUACGUAGUUUUUCAUCAAAAUUUACAUGUAAAAAUGGUACAAAUGCAUAAAGAUGAUAAAAAUAUAUAUCAUAUUCCAUUGAGAGAACGCCCAUUUAAAAAAACACGUUGACUUACAAAAAGGACAAUUCAAGCUGCAUGUACGUCCGACUCAUGUUUACCUGACAAUGUCGAUGUUGAUUUCAGCAGUAAAUGAGCUGUGUGUGACCUUUGCGCUUUCCGGUAUUCUUCUAACCUGUGUGCUUUAUGAUCAGUUUGUUGUGCUUAGUACUGGACAUUGGAGUACACUAUCAUAUUUGGUACAAAUAAAUCUGAACUACUAUAGUUAUGAUCCACUGUAUAGUUAAUGGUGGUGGUAAUUAAUAUAUGUGGUUAAAUACUUGCGCUCCUUAGGUGGGGAGUUGGAUUUGUAUUUCCCUAAAAUAAAUUUCAGAUUUCGUCAUAGUGGUGAAGCCAGCCGGAAGAACCUCUGCGUCAUUAUUAAUUUUGGUGAUAUUUUUCUUCAUAGUGUAGAAUAAUUUUAGUGCUUAUUCCGCAAAUAAUAUGGCCUCAACUGACCCCAUAGCUUGUAUGUUGCGCCACCACUGUUUCCUAUAUCUUAUUACAUCCGUUGUUUUUAGAUCUUGAUGCAUAACUUUGACAAUUUUUAAUAGAUAUGUGUCUGUAUAAAAAAUUAUAAAUGCUAUGAUUAAUUAUGAUGAAUAAAAUGUUAUUGCUCUGACUUGAUCCCUCUUGAAUUUUCCAAAAUUUCACAUUACAGUUGUAGUAGUGCAUGCUACCUCUUGAGCACUGCGUUAGUUUUCCCUUGAAGAGGAAAGGGUGAUGCAGUAAAGCAGCGUCAGUAUUUCCCUCAGUUUUUGAGAACCAAGGUAUCAAUCCAGUACGAGGCCACGCACGAGUCCCUCGCACCUACACAAACAAAUAAAAUCCUCGCAACCAACGCAAUAAAGGGGUUGUCAAUCCCUUCAUGGUCACUUACGAAAGUGAGAUCUGAUAGAUUUGAUAAGAUAAUAUUUUUGGUAUUUUUAUGAUAAAGAUGCAACGUAAAGAAAGCAAAAUAAAAACAGCGCCAGAAAUAGCUUGUUGACGGGAGAUUAAAUAUGAUGGAAAAUAGACCAGGUGGCCAUAGGUUUCACUAGUGGCUUCUCUCGAGAGCAUAAGUAUUUCGGUGGGUAGACAAAUUACUGUUGAGCAAUUGACAGAAUUGAGCAUAGUUAUGAGAAUAUCAAGGUAUGAUCAUGUAUAUAGGCAUCACGUCUGAGGCAAGUAGCCCGACUCCUGCCUGCAUCUACUACUAUUACUCCACACAUCGACUGCUAUCCAGCAUGCAUCUAGAGUAUUAAGUUCAAAAGAACAGAGUAACGCUUUAAGUAAGAUGACAUGAUGUAGAGGGAUAAACUCAUGCAAUAUGAUAUAAACCCCAUCUUGUUAUCCUCGAUGGCAACAAUACAAUACGUGCCUUGCUGCUCCUACUAUCACUGGGAAUGGACACCACAAGAUUGAACCCAAAGCUAAGCACUUCUCCCAUUGCAAGAAAGAUCAAUCUAGUAGGCCAAACCAAAAUGAUAAUUCGAAGAGACUUGUAAAGAUAACCAAUCAUACAUAAAAGAAUUUAGACAAGAUUCAAAUAUUGUUCAUAGAUAAACUAGAUCAUAAACCCACAAUUCAUCGGUCUCAACAAACACACCGCAAAAGAAGAUUACAUCGAAUAGAUCUUCAUAAGAGAGGGGGAGAACAUUGUAUUGAGAUCCAAAAAGAGAGAAGAAGCCAUCUAGCUAAUAACUAUGGACCCGAAGGUCUGAGGUAAACUACUCACAAAUCAUCGGAGAGGCUAUGGUGUUGAUGUAGAAGCCCUCCAUGAUCGAUGCCCCCUCCGGCGGAGCUCCGGAAAAGGCCCCAAGAUGGGAUCUCACGGGUCCAGAAGGUUGCGGAGAUGGAAUUAGGUUUUUGGCUCCGUAUCUGGUAGUUUGGGGGUACGUAGGUAUAUAUAGGAGAAAGAAGUACGUCGGUGGAGCAACGUGGGCCCCACGAGGGCGCGCCCCCCUACCUCGUGCCUUCCUAGUAGAUUUCUGGACGUAGGGUCCAAGUCCUCUAGAUCACGUUCGUUCCCAAAAUCACGUUUCCGAAGGUUUCAUUCCGUUUGGACUCCGUUUGAUAUUCUUUUUCUGUGAAACUCUGAACUAGGCAAAAAAUAGCAAUUCUGGGGUGGGCCUCCGGUUAAUAGGUUAGUCCCAAAAAUAAUAUAAAAGUGUAUAAUAAAGCCCAUUAAUGUCCAAAACAGAAUAUAAUAUAGCAUGGAACAAUAAAAAAUUAUAUAUACGUUGGAGACAUAUCAAGCAUCCCCAAGCUUAAUUCCUGCUCGUCCUCGAGUAGGUAAAUGAUAAAAACGGAAUUUUUGAUGUGGAAUGCUACUUGGCAUAAUUUCAAUGUAAUUCUCUUAAUUGUGGUAUGAAUAUUCAGACCCGAAAGAUUCAAGACAAAAGUUUAAUACUGACAUAAAAAUAAUAAUACUUCAAGCAUACUAGCUAAGCAAUUAUGUCUUCUCAAAAUAACAUGGCCAAAGAAAGUUAUCCCUACAAAAUCAUAUAGUCUAGCUAUGCUCUAUCUUCACCACACAAAGUAUUUAAAUUAUGCACAACCCCGAUGACAAGCCAAGCAAUUGUUUCAUACUUUUGAUGUUCUCAAACUUUUUCAAUCUUCACGCAAUACGUGAGCAUGAGCCAUGGACAUAGCACUAUAUGUGGAAUAGAAUGGUGGUUGUGGAGAAGACAAAAAAGGAGAAGAUAGUCUCACAUCAACUAGGCGUAUCAACGGGCUAUGGAGAUGCCCAUUAAUAGAUAUCAAUGUGAGUGAGUAGGAAUUGCCAUGCAACGGAUGCACUAGAGCUAUAAGUAUAUGAAAGCUCAACAAAAGGAACUAAGUGGGUGUGCAUCCAACUCGCUUGCUCAUGAAUACCUAGGGCAUUUUGAGGAAGCCCAUCAUUGGAAUAUACAAGCCAAGUUCUAUAAUGAAAAUUUCCCACUAGUACAUGAAAGUGAUAUCAUAGGAGACUCUCUAUCAUGAAGAUCAUGGUGCUACUUUGAAGAACAAGUGUGGUAAAAGGAUAGUAACAUUGUCCCUUCUCUCUUUUUCUCUCAUUUUUUUAUUUGGGUCUUUUAUCCUUUUUUUAUGGCCUCUUUUUUUUAGUCCGAAGUCUCAUCCCGACUUGUGGGGGAAUCGUAGUCUCCAUCAUCCUUUCCUCACUUGGGAAAAUGCUCUAAAAAAAUGAUGAUCAUCACACUUUUAUUUACUUACAACUCAACAAUUACAAAUCAAUACUUAGAACAAAAUAUGACUCUAUGUGAAUGCCUCCGGCGGUAUACCGUGAUAUGCAAUGAAUCAAGAGUCACAUGUAUGAAAGAAUUAUGAACGGUGGCUUUGCCACAAAUACAAUGUCAACUACAUGAUCAUGGAAAGCAAUAUGACAAUGAUGGAGCGUGUCAUAAUAAACUGAACGGUGGUAAGUUGCAUGGCAAUAUAUCUCGGAAUGGCUAUGGAAAUGCCAUGGUAGGUAGGUAUGGUGGCUGUUUUGAGGAAGGUAUAUGGUGGGUGUAUGAUACCGGCGAAAAGUGCGCGGUAUUAGAGAGGCUAGCAAUGGUGGAAGGAAGAAAGUGCGUAUAAUCCAUGGACUCAACAUUAGCCAUAAAGAACUAAUAUACUUAUUGCAAAAAUCUACAAGUUAUCGAAGCAAAGUAUUACCCGCAUCAUCCUAGGGGGAUAGAUUGCUAGGAAAAGACCAUCGCUCGUCCCCGACCGCCACUCAUAAGGAAGACAAUCAAUAAAUAAAUCAUGCUCCGACUUCAUCACAUAACGGUUCACCAUACGUGCAUGCUAAGGGAAUCACAAACUUUAACACAAGUAUUUCGCAAAUUCAAAACUACUCAACUAGCAUGACUCUAAUAUCACCAUCUCCAUAUCUCAAAACAAUUAUCAAGUAUCAAACUUCUCAUAGUAUUCAACACACUCAUAAGAUUUUUUUACUAAUCUUGAGUGCCUAUCAUAAUUAAAGCAAAUUACCACGCUGUUUUGUAGGACUAUCAAAAUAAUCUAAGUGAAUCAUGAGAGAACAAUAGUUUCUAUAAAACAAAACCACCACCAUGCUCUAAAAGAUAUACAUGAAGCACUAGAGCAAAAACUAUAUAGCUCAAAAGAUAUAAGUGAAGCACAUAGAGUAUUCUAACAAUUUCCGAAUCAUGUGUGUCUCUCUCAAAAGGUGUGUACUGCAAGGAUUAUUGUGGCAAACUAACAAAUAAAGACUUCAAAUAAUACAAGACGCUCCAAGCAAAACACAUAUCAUGUGGUGAAUAAAAAUAUAGCUCCAAGUAAAGUUACCGAUGGAAGUAGACGAAAGAGGGGAUGCCUUCCGGGGCAUCCCCAAGCUUUGGCUUUUAGGUGUCCUUAGAUUAUCUUGGGGUGCCAUGGGCAUCCCCAAGCUUAGGCUCUUGCCACUCCUUGUUUCAUAAUCCAUCAAAUCUUUCACCCAAAACUUGAAAACUUCACAACACAAAACUCAGCAGAAAAUCUCGUGAGCUCCGUUAGCGAAAGAAAAAAAAACACCACUUCAAGGUACUGUAAUGAACUCAUUCUUUAUUUAUAUUGGUGUUAAACCUACUGUAUUCCAACUUCUCUAUGGUUUAUAAACUAUUUUACUAGCCAUAGAUUCAUCAAAAUAAGCAAACAACACACGAAAAACAGAAUCUGUCAAAAACAGAACAGUCUGUAGUAAUCUGUAACUAACGCAAUUUUCUGGGACUCCAAAAAUUGACCCAAAAUAGGAAGACCUAGAAUUUUUUUUUUAUUGAUCAGCAGCAAUUGGAAUCAAUAUUUUAUCACGUCCUGGUGAUUUUUAACAAUUAUUUUCGUGAACAGAAAGUUUCUGGAAUAUUCAGCAAGAUCAAAUAACUAUCAUCCAAGAAGAUCCUAUAGGUUAAACUUGGCACAAACACUAAUUAAAACAUAAAAACACAUGUAAACAGAGGCUAGAUCAAAUAUUUAUUCCUAAAAAAAGCAAAAAGCAAAAAAACUAAAAAUAAAAUUGGGUUGCCUCCCAACAAGCGCUAUCGUUUAACGCCCCUAGCUAGGCAUAAUAGCAAGGAUAGAUCUAGGUAUUGCCAUCUUUGGUAGGCAAUCCAUAAGUGGCUCUCAUAAUAGAUUCAUAAGGUAAUUUUAUUUUCUUUCUAGGGAAGUGUUCCAUGCCUUUCCUUAAUGGAAUUUGGAAUCUAAUAUUCCCUUCCUUCGUAUCAAUAAUUGCACCAAUCGUUCUAAGGAAAGGUCUGCCAAGAAUAAUAGGACAUGAAGGAUUGCAAUCUAUAUCAAGAACAAUAAAAUCUACGGGCACAUAAUUCCUAUUUGCAACAAUAAGCACAUCAUCAAUUCUUCCCAUAGGUUUCUUAAUGGUGGAAUCCACAAGGUGCAAGUUUAAAGAGCAAUCAUCAAAAUCACGGAAACCUAGCAAAUCGCACAAAGUCUUUGGAAUCGUGGAAACACUAGCACCCAAAUCACACAAAGCAUAGCAUUCAUGAUCUUUAAUUUUAAUUUUAAUAGUAGGUUCCCACUCAUCAUAAAUUUUUCUAGGGAUAGAAACUUCCAACUCAAGUUUUUCUUCAUAAGAUUGCAUCAAAGCAUCAACGAUAUGUUUAGUAAGGCUUUAUUUUGACUAUAAGCAUGUGGAGAAUUUAGCACGGAUUGCAACAAGGAAAUAAAAUCUAUCAAAGAGCAAUUAUCAUAAUUAAAUUCCAUGAAAUCCAAAAUAGUGGGUUCAUUAAUAUCUAGAGUUUUGAUUUCUUCAAUCCCACUUUUACCAAUUUUUGCAUCAAGAUCUAAAAACUCCGAAUUUUUGGAACGCCUUCUAGGUAGAGGUGGAUCAUAUUCAGUCCCAUCAUUAUCAAGAUUCAUAUUGCAAAACAAAGAUUUAAUAGGGGACACAUCAAUAACUUUUAGAUCUUCAUCUUUAUUUUCAUAGAAACUAGAAGAACACGCUUUCACAAAAACAAUCUUUCUUAGCACGCAUCCUAGCGGUUCUUUCUUUGCACUCAUCAAUGGAAAUUCUCAUGGCCUUGAGAGACUCAUUGAUAUCAUGCUUAGGAGAAAUUCUAUCAGUGUUCCUAGCCAAUUCAUCAACUUUAAGCAAUUUUUCUUCAAGCAAAGCAUUGAAAUUCAUUUGCGAAUUCAUAAAUUCUUUAACACUAGUCUCAAAUUAAGAAGGCAUCUUAUUAAAAUUUCCAUAAUAAUUGUUGUAGGAAUUACCAUAAUUAUUAGAGGAAUUACUGGGAUACGGCCUUGGAUUAAAGUUUCCUCUAUACGCGUUGUUACCAAAAUUAUUCCGACCAACAAAAUUCACAUCCAUGAAGGAAAUAUGCCCUAGAGGAAAUAAUAAAGUUAUUAUUUAUUUCCUUAUAUCAUGAUAAAUGUUUAUUAUUCAUGAUAGAAUUGUAUUAACCGGAAACAUAAUACAUGUGUGAAUACAUAGACAAACAGAGUGUCACUAGUAUGCCUCUACUUGACUAGCUCGUUAAUCAAAGAUGGUUAUGUUUUCUAGCCAUAGACAUGAGUUGUCAUUUGAUUAACGGGAUCACCUCAUUAGGAGAAUGACGUGAUUGACUUGACCCAUUCCAUUAGCUUAGCACUCGAUCGUUUAGUAUGUUGCUAUUGCUUUCUUCAUGACUUAUACAUGUUCCUAUGACUACGAGAUUAUGCAACUCCCGUUUACCGGAGGAACACUUUGUGUGCUACCAAACGUCACAACGUAACUGGGUGAUUAUAAAGGUGCUCUACAGGUGUCUCCAAAGGUACCUGUUGGGUUGGCGUAUUUCGAGAUUAGGGUUUGUCACUCCGAUUGUCGGAGAGGUAUCUCUGGGCCCACUCGGUAAUGCACAUCACCAUAAGCCUUGCAAGCAUUGUGACUAAUGAGUUAGUUGCGGGGUGAUGUAUUACGGAACGAGUAAAGAGACUUGCCGAUAACGAGAUUGAACUAGGUAUCAAGACACCGACGAUCGAAUCUUGGGCAAGUAACAUACCGAUGACAAAGGGAACAACGUAUGUUGUUAUGCGGUCUGACCGAUAAAGAUCUUCAUAGAAUAUGUGGGAACCAAUAUGGGAAUCCAGGUUCCGCUAUUGGUUAUUGACCGGAGAAGUGUCUCGGUCAUGUCUACAUAGUUCUCAAACCCGUAGGGUCCGCACGCUUAAAGUUACGAUGACAAUUAUAUUAUGAGUUUAUAUGUUUUGAUGCACUGAAGGUUGUUCGGAGUCCCGGAUGUGAUCACGGACAUGACGAGGAGUCACGAAAUGGUCGAGACAUAAAGAUUGAUAUAUUGGACGACUAUAUUCGGACACGGAAGUGUUCCAGAGAAGUUUCGGAUAAAACUGGCGUGCCGGAGGGGUUACCGGAACCCCCCGGGGAAGUAUUGGGCCUUAGUGGGCCUUGAGGGGAGAGAGAGGGCAGCAUCCAGGAGGUGGCGCCCCCCCUCCCAUGAGGAGUCCUAAUUGGACUAGGAGAGGGGGGCGCAGCCCCUCUUUCCCUCUCCCUCUCCCUCUCCCUCUCUUUCCUUCCCCCCUCUCUUCCUAGUUGGACUAGGAAAGGGGAGUCCUACUCCUACUAGGAGGAGGACUCCCCCCCUCUCCUUGGCGCGCCCAAGGCAGCCGGCCUCCCCCUUGCUCCUUUAUAUACGGGGGUAGGGGGGCACCUCUAGACACACUUGAUAUACGAUAUUUUAGCCGUGUGCGGUGCCCCCUCCACCAUAUUACACCUCGAUAAUACCGUUGCGGAGCUUAGGCGAAGCCCUGCGUCGGUGGAACAUCAUCAUCGUCACCACGCCGUCGUGCUGACGAAACUCUCCCUCAACACUCGGCUGGAUCGGAGUUCGAGGGAUGUCAUCGAGCUGAACGUGUGCUGAACUCGGAGGUGCCGUGCGUUCGGUACCUGAUCGGUCGGAUCAUGAAGACGUACGACUACAUCAACCGCGUUGUGAUAACGCUUCCGCUGUCGGUCUACGAGGGUACGUGGACAACACUCUCCCCUCUUGUUGCUAUGCAUCACCAUGAUCUUGCGUGAGCGUAGGAAAUUUUUUGAAAUUAAUACGUUCCCCAACAGUGGUAUCAGAGCCUGAUUUUAUGCGUUGAUGUUAUGCACGAGUAGAACACAAGUGAGUUGUGGGCGAUAUAAGUCAUACUGCUUACCAGCAUGUCAUACUUUGGUUCAGCGUUAUUGUGAGAUGAAGCGGCCCGGACCGACAUUACGCGUACGCUUACGCGAGACUGGUUUCACCGUUGCGAGAACUCGUUGCUUAAAGGUGACUGGCGGGUGUCUGUUUCUCUCACUUUAGUUGAACCGAGUGUGGCUACGCCCGGUCCUUGCGAAGGUUAAAACAACACCAACUUGACAAACUAUCGUUGUGGUUUUGAUGCGUAGGUAAGGACGGUUCUUGCUAAGCCCGUAGCAGCCACGUAAAACUUGCAACAACAAAGUAGAGGACGUCUAACUUGUUUUUGCAGGGCAUGUUGUGAUGUCAUAUGGUCAAGACAUGAUGCUAUAUUUUAUUGUAUGAGAUGAUCAUGUUUUGUAACCGAGUUAUCGGCAACUGGCAGGAGCCAUAUGGUUGUCGCUUUAUUGUAUGCAAUGCAAUCGCCAUGUAAUUGUUUUACUUUAUCACUAAGCGGUAGCGAUAGUCGUAAAAGCAAUAAGUUGGCGAGACGACAACGAUACUACGAUGGAGAUCAAGGUGUCGCGCCGGUGACGAUGGUGAUCAUGACGGUGCUUCGGAGAUGGAGAUCACGAGCACGGUGCUUCGGAGAUGGAGAUCACAAGCACAAGAUGAUGAUGGCUAUAUCAUAUCACUUAUAUUGAUUGCAUGUGAUGUUAAUCUUUUAUGCAUCUUAUCUUGCUUUGAUUGACGGUAGCAUUAUAAGAUGAUCUCUCACUAAAAUUUCAAGAUAAAAGUGUUCUCCCUGAGUAUGCACCGUUGCGAAAAUUCUUCGUGCUGAGACACCACGUGAUGAUCGGGUGUGAUAGGCUCUACGUUCAAAUACAAUGGGUGCAAAACAGUUGCACACGCAGAAUACUCAGGUUAAACUUGACGAGCCUAGCAUAUGCAGAUAUGGCCUCGGAACACGGAGACCCAAAGGUCGAGCGUGAAUCAUAUAGUAGAUAUGAUCAACAUAGUGAUGUUCACCGUUGAAACUACUCCAUCUCACGUGAUGAUCGGACAUGGUUUAGUUGAUAUGGAUCACGUGAUCACUUAGAGGAUUAGAGGGAUGUCUAUCUAAGUGGGAGUUCUUAAAUAAUAUGAUUAAUUGAACUUAAAUUUAUCAUGAACUUAGUCCUGAUAGUAUUUUUGCAAAUUAUGUUGUAGAUCAAUAGCUCGCGUUGUUGCUUCCCUGUGUUUAUUUUUGAUAUGUUCCUAGAGAAAAUUAUGUUGAAAGAUGUUAGUAGCAAAGAUGCGGAUUGGAUCCGUGAUCUGAGGAUUAUCCUCAUUGCUGCACAGAAGAAUUAUGUCCUUGAUGCACCGCUAGGUGACAGACCUAUUGCAGUAGCAGAUGCAGACGUUAUGAACGUUUGGCUAGCUCAAUAUGAUGACUACUUGAUAGUUUAGUGCACCAUGCUUAACGGCUUAGAAUCGGGACUUCAAAGACGUUUUGAACGUCAUGGACCAUAUGAGAUGUUCCAGGAGUUGAAGUUAAUAUUUCAAGCAAAUACCCAAGUUGAGAGAUAUGAAGUCUCCAACAAGUUCUAUAGCUAAAAGAUGGAGGAGAAUAGCUCAAGCAGUGAGCAUGUGCUCAGAUUGUCUGGGUACUACAAUCGCUUGAAUCAAGUGGGAGUUAAUCUUCUAGAUAAAAUAGUGAUUGACAGAAUUCUCUAGUCACCAUCACCAAGUUAGUAGAACUUCGUGAUGAACUAUAGUAUGCAAGGGAUGACGAAAGUAAUUCCCGAGCUCUUCGUGAUGCUGAAAUUGACGAAGGUAGAAAUCAAGAAAAACAUCAAGUGUUGAUGGUUGACGAGACCACUAGUUUCAAGAAAAGGGCAAAGGGAAGAAGGGGAACUUCAAGAAGAACGGCAAGCAAGUUGCUGCUCAAGUGAAGAAGCCUAAGUCUGGUCCUAAGCCUGAGACUAAGUGCUUCUACUGCAAAGGGACUGGUCACUGGAAGCGGAAUUACCCCAACUAUUUGGUGGAUAAGAAGGAUGGCAAAGUGAACAACGGUAUAUUGGAUAUACAUGUUAUUGAUGUGUACUUUACUAGUGUUUAUAGCAACCCCUCGGUAUUUGAUACUGGUUCAGUUGCUAAAGUAGUAACUCGAAACGGGAGUUGCGGAAUAAACAGAGACUAGUAAAAGGCGAGGUGACGAUGUGUGUUGGAAGUAGUUCCAGGAUUGAUAUGAUCAUCAUCGCACAGUCCCUAUACUUUCGGGAUUAGUGUUGAAACUAAAUAAGUGUUAUUUGGUGUUUGCGUUGAGCAUGAAUAUGAUUUGAUCAUGUUUGUUGCAAUACGGUUGUUCAUUUAAAUUAGAGAAUAAUUGUUGUUCUGUUUACAUGAAUAAAACCUUCUAUGGUCAUACACCCAAUAAAAUGGUUUGUUGGAUCUCGAUCGUAGUGAUACACAUAUUCAUAAUAAUGAAGCCAAAAGAUGCAAAGUUAAUAAUGAUAGUGCAACUUAUUUGUGGCACUGCCGUUUAGGUCAUAUUGGUGUAAAGUGCAUGAAGAAACUCCAUACUGAUGGGAUUUUGGAAUCACUUGAUUAUGAAUCACUUGAUGCUUGCGAACCGUGCCUCAUGGGCAAGAUGACUAAAACGCCGUUCUCCGGAACUAUGUGGAGAGCAACAGAUUUGUUGGAAAUCAUACAUACAGAUGUAUGUGGUCCGAUGAAUAUUGAGGCUCGUAGCAGGUAUCAUUAUUUUCUGACCUUCACAGAUGAUUUGAGCAGACAUGGGUAUAUCUACUUAAUGAAACAGAAGUCUGAAACAUUUGAAAAGUUCAUAUAAUUUCAGAGUGAAGCGGAAAAUCAUCGUAACAAGAAAAUAAAGUUUCUACGAUCUGAUCGUGGAGAAGAGUAUUUGAGUUACGAGUUUGGCCUUCAGUUAAAACAAUGUGAAAUAGUUUCACUACUCACGCCACCUGGAACACCACAGCAUAAUGGUGUGUCCGAACGUCAUAACCGUACUUUAUUGGAUAUAGUGCAACCUAUGAUGUUUCUUACCGAUUUACCACUAUAGUUUUGGGGUUAUGCAUUAGAGACAGCUACAUUCACGUAAAAAAAAGGGGGCACCAUCUAAAUCCGUUUGAGAUGACACCGUAUGAACUGUGGUUUGGCUAGAACCCAAAGUUGUCGUUUCUUAAAGUUUGGGGUUGCGAUGCUUAUAAGAAAAAGUUUCAUCCUGAUAAGCUCAAACCCAAAUCGGAGAAAUGUGUCUUCAUAGGAUACCCAAAGGAGAAAGUUGGGUACACCUUCUAUCACAGAUCCGAAGGCAAGACAUUCGUUGCUAAGAAUGGAUCCUUUCUAGAGAAGGAGUUUCUCUCGAAAGAAGUGAGUGGGAGGAAAGUAGAACUUGAUGAGGUAACUGUACCUGCUCCCUUAUUGGAAAGUAGUUCAUCACAGAAAUCUGUUCCUGUGACUACUACACCAAUUAGUGAGGAAGCUAAUGAUGAUGAUCAUGUAACUUCAAAUCAAGUUACUACCGAACCUCGUAGGUAAACCAGAGUGAGAUCCACACCAGAGUGGUACGGUAAUCCUGUUCUGGAGGUCAUGUUACCUGACCAUGAUGAACCUACGAACUAUGAGGAAGCGAUGAUGAGCCCAGAUUCCGAGAAACGGCUUGAGGCCAUGAAAUCUGAGAUAAGAUCCAUAUAUGAGAACAAAGUAUGGACUUUGGUUGACUUGCCCGAUGAUCGGCAAGCCAUAGAAAAUAAAUGGAUCUUCAAGAGGAAGACGGACGCUUAGUGUUACUAUCUACAAAGCUAGAAUUGUCGCAAAAGGUUUUCGACAAGUUUAAGGUGUUGACUACGAUGAGAGUUUCUCACUCGUAUCUAUGCUUAAGUCUGUCCGAAAUAUGUUAGCAAUUGCCGCAUUUUAUGAAAUCUGGCAAAUGGAUAAACAAAACUGCAUUCCUUAAUGGAUUUAUUAAAGAAGAGUUGUAUAUGAUGCAACCAGAAGGUUUUGUCAAUCCUAAAAGUGUUAACAAAAUAUGCAAGCUCCAGCGAUCCAUCUAUGGACUGGUGCAAGCAUCUCGGAGUUGGAAUAUACGCUUUGAUAUGUUGUUCAAAGGAUAUAGUUUUAUACAAACUUGCGGUGAAGCAUGUAUUUACAAGAAAGUGAGUGGGAGCACUACAACAUUUCUGAUAAGUAUAUGUGAAUGACAUAUUGUUGAUCGGAAAUAAUGUAGAAUUAUUCUUAUAAGCAUAAAGGAGUGUUUGAAAUGAGCUUUUCAAAGAAAGACUUCGGUGAAGCUGCUUACAUAUUGAGCAUCAAGAUCUAUAGAGAUAGAUCAAGACGCUUGAUAAGUUUUUUCAAUGAGUACAUACCUUAACAAGAUUUUGAAGUAGUUCAAAAUAGAACAAUCAAAGAAAGAGUUGUUGGCUGUGUUACAAGGUGUGAAAUUGAGUAAGACUCAAAGCCCGACCACGGCAGAAGAUAGAAAAAGAAUGAAAGUCGUUCCCUAUGCCUUGGCCAUAGGUUCUAUAAAGUAUGCCAUGUUGUGUACCAGAUCUAUUCUAUACCCUACACUGAUUUUAGCAAGGGAGUACAAUAGUGAUCUAGGAGUAGAUCACUAGACAGCGGUCAAAAUUAUCCUGAGGAAUAAGGAUAUGUUUCUCGAUUAUGGAAGUGACAAAAGGUUCAUCGUAAUGGGUUACGUCGAUGCAAGUUUUGACACUAAUCUAGAUGACUCUAAGUCUCGGUCUAGAUAUAUAUUGAAAGUGGGAGCAAUUAGCUAGAGUAGCUCCGUGCAGAGCAUUGUAGACAUAGAAAUUUGCAAAAUACUUACGGAUCUGAAUGUGACAGACCCGUUGACUAAAAUUAUCUCACAAGCAAAACAUGAUAUCACCUUAGUACUCUUUGGGUGUCAAUCACAUAGCGAUGUGAACUAGAUUACUGACUCUAGUAAACCCUUUGGGUGUUGGUCACAUGACGAUGUGAACUAUGGGUAUUAAUCACAUGGUGAUGUGAACUAUUGAUGUUAAAUCACAUGGCGAUGUGAACUAGAUUAUUGACUCUAGUGCAAGUGGGAGACUGAAGUAAAUAUGCCCUAGAGGCAAUAAUAAAGUUAUUAUUUGUUUCCUUAUAUCAUGAUAAAUGUUUAUUAUUCAUGCUAGAAUUGUAUUAACCGGAAACAUAAUACAUGUGUGAAUACAUAGACAAACAAAGUGUCACUAGUAUGCCUCUACUUGACUAGCUCGUGAAUCAAAGAUGGUUAUGUUUCCUAGCCAUAGACAUGAGUUGUCAUUUGAUUAACGGGAUCACCUCACUAGGAGAAUGACGUGAGUGACUUGACCCAUUCCAUUAGCUUAGCACUCAAUCGUUUAGUAUGUUGCUAUUGCUUUCUACAUGACUUAUACAUGUUGCUAUGACUAUGAGAUUAUGCAACUCCCGUUUACCGGAGGAACACUUUGUGUGCUACCAAACGUCACAACGUAACUGGGUGAUUAUAAGGGUGCUCUACUGGUGUCUCCAAAGGUACUUGUUGGGUUGGCGUAUUUCGAGAUUAGGAUUUGUCACUCCGAUUGUCGCAGAGGUAUCUCUGGGCCCAAUCGGUAAUGCACAUCACUAUAAGCCUUGCAAGCAUUGUGACUAAUGAGUUAGUUGCGGGAUGAUGUAUUACGGAACGAGUAAAGAGACUUGCCGGUAACGAGAUUGAACUAGGUAUCGAGAUACCGAAGAUCGAAUCUCGGGCAAGUAACAUACCGAUGACAAAGGGAACAACGUAUGUUGUUAUGCGGUCUGACCGAUAAAGAUCUUCGUAGAAUAUGUGGGAACCAAUAUGAGCAUCUAGGUUCCGCUAUUGGUUAUUGACCGGAGAAGUGUCUCGGUCAUGUCUACAUAGUUCUCGAACCCGUAUGGACCCACGCUUAAAGUUACGAUGACAGUUAUAUUAUGAGUUUAUAUGUUUUGAUGUACCGAAGGUUGUUCGGAGUCCCGGGUGUGAUCGCGGACAUGACGAGGAGUCACGAAAUGGUCGAGACAUAAAGAUUGAUAUAUUGGACGACUAUAUUCGGACACCGGAAGUGUUCCGGAGAAGUUUCGGAUAAAACCGGAGUGCCGGAGGGGUUACCGGAACCCCCCGGGGAAGUAUUGGGCCUUAGUGGGCCUUGAGGGGAGAGAGAGGGCAGCAGCCAGGAGGUGGCGCGCCCCCUCCCAUGAGGAGUCCUAAUUGGACUAGGAGAGGGGGGCGCAACCCCUCUUUCCCUCUCCCUCUCCCUCUCUUUCCUUCCCCCCCUCUCUUCCUAGUUGGACUAGGAAAGGGGAGUCCUACUCCUACUAGGAGGAGGACUCCCCCCCUCUCCUUGGCGCGCCCAAGGCAGCCGGCCUCCCCCUUGCUCCUUUAUAUACGGGGGCAGGGGGGCACCUCUAGACACACUUGAUAUACGAUAUUUUAGCCAUGUGCGGUGCCCCCCUCCACCAUAUUACACCUCGAUAAUACCGUUGCGGAGCUUAGGCGAAGCCCUGCGUCGGUGGAACAUCAUCAUCGUCACCACGCCGUCGUGCUGACAAAACUCUCCCUCAACACUCGGCUGGAUCGGAGUUCGAGGGACGUCAUCGAGCUGAACGUGUGCUGAACUCGGACGUGCCGUGCGUUCGAUACUUGAUCGGUCGGAUCGUGAAGAUGUACGACUACAUCAACCGCGUUGUGAUAACGCUUCUGCUGUCGGUCUACGAGGGUACGUGGACAACACUCUCCCCUCUCGUUGCUAUGCAGCACCAUGAUCUUGCGUGUGCGUAGGAAUUUUUUUGAAAUUACUACAUUCCCCAACAA
rnacentral:lncRNA from 1 species